CAAGUAGAAGUUUAUUCUUUUUUGUAUCAGUUUUUGAUAGGGCAAAUUGCAAGUGCACGAUUAUGUCGUCAAAUAAUAAAAUAUCGAUCUCACAAGGACUGGGAAACUCCUUUAAUUAUAGAAAUUGAUUUAUAUUUAACUCAAAUAAGGAAUAAAAUUGAAUUUAGAACAAUUGUCAAGAAUAAUUAUGAAAAUAAUCAAAAGAGAUUAAAUCUAAUUUAGGAAGAGUUCUCAGGAAAAGGGUUACCGCCUUUACACUCGCAAAUCCUUGUUUUGCUCAUUUUCAUGAACUUUAAGUUGUGAGUGUGAAUUGCUCUUUAAUAUGUGUCAUCCUCUCUCGAGCUCUGGAAAGUGUUCUCAAUUGAAGUCGCACCUACUCUUGUGGUACGAUUAUCAAUCAAAUCCUUUACUUGGAUCGUUCUAUCCAAUCAUUUCGUAGAAACCCAAGGUGAAUUCCAUAAACCGCCGAGAAUCCUAAUAUUACUCUCGUGAAUUAGGAUUCUAAUUUGAAUAACUGAAUGGUCGGAUAGUUGGGUUCACCUCUCGGUCUUGAGGUGUAAUUUGUUGGCCAGACAACUCACACGAAUAAAACUCAGUUUAAUGAUUCAAAUCACAACACUCAAUAAAAUAGAAGUUAGAACAAGUAUUUAUUGAAUGUAAAAGGGCAUGGCCCCAAUCCUAGAAACAAAUGGAAUUACUCACUCAUGAUGUAAUAGAGAAUCCCAAAUUCUAAAUUAGAGAAUUGUAAAGUAAAGAAUGUAAAAUCAUUGAGGGAGAACCCCUAUUUGUCCUAAUUACAAAAUAUUGGGUUAAGCCCGACAAAAACAAAUCUAAUUCAUCCAAUCUCUACUCUGUUUUGCUUUAAUUCAUCCAAACUACACAAUAUAGCUAAAAUCACCCGCUCAAGCCAAACAAAGAGAAAUAAAGGCUAAAAACAAUCCUAAAGUCCUAAUUAUGUCCUAAAAUGUAAGUUAAAUGCAAUGUAAAUGUAGUAUAAUAUCACACUUAUCAAAUCUCCCCAAGCUUAUCUUUUGUUUGUCCUCAAGCAAGUAUUAUGUCUACCUUUCACAAUCAUGUAUGAAUGAUGAUAUAGAAACUAUGACCCAAAAUAAUAAGCAAUCUCAUGUUUAUUUUGAAACAAUCCAGGCAUCAAGAUAAGACAAUCAUAAACAAAUUUAAUUCAAGCUAAGUCCUUAAUUCAUAACAAUUGCAUGAAUUAGGAUCACUCUUCUCUCAUCACUCCCAUGUGUUUAAAGGUUAUAGUGUUUCGCUCAAAAAAUUUAAUGAAAGUAAAUUACCAUAGGCUUGAUUAUAGAGCAAAUCGACACUAACUAUAUUUGAAUGCAUAAAAAAUCAAGAGGUCUUUAAAUGGUUGCAAUGGGGCUUAGGUGAAUGAUUUAAGAUGAGACAAUCAAAGAAAUGAUAAUUCAAAAGACUUACAAAUAUUUCCCAAAAUACUUAAACAUUUAGACAUCUGAUUGAAGCAUUGAGAUUAUCUUGAUAGGCCUUACUUUAUCAUAUGAUCUUUUUUUAAUCAACUUGUUUCCUUACAAGACACUUUUUUUUCAGUCCCUUAUCUUUUAGUAUACUUUGUAGUUCUUCUUUUUUUCUUCUUUUUUUUCCAUUUUUUUGUUGAGAUUUUCUAAAAGAGAAGUGAUGAAAUUUAUUUAUUUAUUUUCUUCUUCACCUUUUUAUAGAUUCUUUCAUCAUAAAUGACAUUUUUACAUUUCUCAUUGCUUCAACCAAACAUCAUCAGUUACCUCAAACCCUCAUUUGAGUAGCUAUGAAAAAUCAUCUAAGUUUAGGCUCAAAAGUGGAUAACUAAUGAGUUUUUGAUGUUUAUAACAAGCGGUUGAAGGUCAAAAGAAAAAGUUCUAAUUACCUUUAUCAUUUUAAUGCAUACAGAUAGACUUCAAUCUUGAAACGGCCACAAAUCAAGUUCUAGAAUAUACAAUCAUAGAAAAUUAUGCACUCAUGAAAGAAAAAAGGUUUUAUGUAAUUGUCAAUUCAAAUUAUAACACUUAUUGUGUUUAGCCCAAGAUUCUCACAUUUGGUAUAUUCGACAAAAGUUAUGAAACAAAGACAUUUAUUUAACCAAAUUUAAUUCACAAUUGUCAAAUAUAAUGUCUUUCAUGUUAUUAUUCUUUCAGCAAAUUUUUUCUUCAAUGAUGGUCAUAGAUCAACAAUCAUCAUUCAUGCAUAUUUUUUUCAUUUAAAGCAGAUAGACAACACAUAGAAUAAAUCAGGAGAUAGAUGAUAUAUGAGACAUAUGAUAUGCAUGAUAAUAUUAAUAUUCAACCUAAAAAUUUUAAAAUCUAUAUGGUAUACAUGAAAUGAAUGAACUAUCUAAAUGCAAAACUCUCUCAAGCUUAGACUUUUACAUUGUCCCCAAUGUAAAAAUCUAAACAAUAAGAGAAAGAAAAAGAAAAAUCCCGGAUUAGGUAAGAAGUGUCAUUAACUCAUGUGUCAAUUAUAAGUAGUUGGCUUCAUUGGGUGUAGUGGAAGUACCUGCAAAAGAAGAGAAAAAUGUCUCAAAUAGCCAUAUGUCCUAGAUGGACUAGGAGCAAAUAUCUUGAGAAGUAACAUCAUUUUUUUUUGCCGACACUAUAUACAUCCUCCUACAAAGGCUCCAAACUCAGGGAGACACUAAAGCUGACACUAAAACACUAAAAUUAAUGAAUCUAAAAAUUUACCUCUAACAUGAGUUUCCUCCCACGAAGCGUUCAUUUAACGUCAUUAGCUUGACGGUUGAUCUUUGUAGCUCAUGUAGGAUUCAAGAUGGCUAUGUUUGUUUUUUCUCCAGUCGCCCAUCUUCUAGAUAAUGCUUCUCGAGAAGCAAAUAAUCGAGGUAGACUCUCGAGAACAUAAUCAGCAACGAUAGUUAAAUUCUGAAUGUCCUUUAAUGCAAGAUAAUCGACGACAGAAUCAAUAGUGGGUGCACCGAUUUCUUCAAGUUCGUCACUGGUGCAUUCGAACUUGAGGACAUCGAUUUCGGAGUCAGAAUUUCUAUUGGCAAGAAAAUUAAGAACGAAAUCUUGGAAAAUAAAAUCAUGAUCAAAAGAAGAGCUAUGAAAGUUAAGAAAAGGGAGUGAAAUCCAAAUAUUCUUCCAUCAAUGAGCGAGAACAUUGGUUUGAACAACAUUUUUUGCUUCAACGAAGGAAAGAAUACGGUGAAUGAGUUCAUGAGGUAAAUAGCUCAGUUUGUCUUCUCCCUUCUUCUUGAUUCUGCUUAUACCCCUGCUUGAGUUCUUCCAUAUUCUUCUAUUCAUCAUGUUUAGAUGCAUUUUAUUAUUGUGUAUAUCUCUUGUCGAUUUUCUUAUCGGUUUCUUUGGUAUAGUUUAAUUUAUAUAGGUCUUGGUUCCAAUUGAAAUUAAUAUGAAUGUCUAUGUAGAUAAUAAUUAUACGUUAAAGGUAAGUGUAAGUGUCAUGUGUAAUUAUGGUAAUGUAAUAAAUGAAAAUAAUUUUAUAUAUCUCUUAUCGAUAUUUUUAUUGGGGUUCGCUAAUAUAAUUUAAUUUAUAUAGGUCUUGGUUCAAACGGAAAUUAAUAUGAAUGUCUAUGUAGAGGACAAUUAUAUGUUAUAGGUCAAGUGUAAGUGUCAUAUCUAAUUAUGGUAAUAUAAUAAAUAAGAAUAAUUAUUGUUACGGGAAAUAAGAACAAUUAAUAAAAAUGUAUAAUCAAAAUUAAAAGAUAAUCUAACAAAUGUUGGUAUAGUGGCAUAAAGUUUUACUAGAUAUCCAAGAUGACUAAAAAUCAAAGUUUGAUUCUUGAGAAUGACAUUUAUUGAAAUUAUCAAUCAUACAAUCCAAGAGAAAUUAGUUUCGUACCCAUAUAAUGAAGAACAUGUACUAAAAAUUAAAAAAAUAUAUAAUCAAUGAAUAUAUUAAAUUAAACUUUUUAUCUUAUUGAUGAUGUUACAAUUGUUACUUCUUGAGAUCUUAUCUUCUCCCAUGGAUGAAUCAUUAUAUUUUGUUAUCACAUCAAAUAAUGUCAAAUUUAAUUUUGUCUUUUUUCUUGCAUCAGUCAAAGCAAAUAUAAAAUUAAAUAUUUAUAUAUAUACUAAAUAUACACCAUGUGAGUAUUGAUAUAACAGACCCAUAUAUGUGGUGGGUAGAGUAUGUAUGACAUUUAAUUAGGAAAAAUGAUUCAAAUGAAAAUACAAUUAAUCUAAAUUGUUUGAUCUUAUUUAAAUUGCUGAAAUUAAAAGAUGAAUGUAGAUAAUUUUUAUUUUUUAAUAAUUAUGUAUACUUACUUUUAAAUUUAAUCAUCCACAUAUAAAUGUAUAAUUUAAUUUUAUUGUAUUUGCAAUUUUUAUAUAAGAAUUAUUUCAAUAGACAUCUAAUUAUUAGUUUUUCUAUAUUUUUAUUUGUUAACCUUUUUAUUUAAAAAUAUUUUUAAAGAAAUAAUUUAAUAAAGUGCAUAUAUUGAGUAUUAAAUCAUUCUAAUAUUAGAUAACGUAUAAUAGCUUAUAGAAUAUAUAUUUUUAUUCCUAGUUUUUGUUUUUUAUUCAUUUUUAUUGUACCCAAAAAAAACCAUACUUAAAGAAUAACUAGAAAAGGUUUAAUAUAUAUCUAUAUUCUAGAUAAUAUUGAAUUUACCUUUGUAUUUAUCUCUACGAUCAAUCUAUUUACUGAGUUCUCUAAUAUAAUUUAUAUAUGUUUUUGUUUGAAUAAAAAUUUAAUUUAGAUAGGUCGUGAUUAGAAUGGAAAUUAAUAUGAAUGUGAGAGGACACAUAUAUGUUAUAUGUGAGGCAGAGGUGUCAUGUAUAAUUAUGAGAAUGAAGUAAAUGAGAAUAAAUAUUUUUAUAGUCAUCAUGGUUAAAUACUUUUUAUCUUCUUCCAAGAUGAAUCAUUAUGUUUAGUUGUCACUUCAGAUAAUGUCAAAUUUAAUUUUGGGUCUAUAUUUCUUUUCUUUUCUUUUUUCAAUCGGUCAAAGCAAAUAUAGUAUUAAUAUAUAUAAUGAGAGAUUUGUUUACAUUCAAAUUAAUUUAUACUAGUUAGACUUAAUCUUAAUUAUUCAUUUUCUUAGAUCCAAUCGAUCAAAUGGGUAAAACUUAAAAGUUUUUAAGAUUUUUCUUUUUCUCUCUCAUCACUUAUUGCACUUACCUAUUUGGUCUAUUGGAUCUAAGAAAAUGAAUGAGUGAAAUUAAGUGUAACUAGUAUAAAUAGAUCCAAGAGACUCAUAUAUACGCACAAGAGACGAUGUGAGUAUGUGUAGCAUUUAAUUAGGAAAAAUGAUUCAAAUGAAAAUACAAUUAAUCUGAAUUGUUUGAUCUUAUUUAAAUUGCUAAAAUUAAAAAAUAAAUUUCCAUAAUUUUUUUUUUAAUGAUGAAAUAUAUUUACUUUUAAAUUUAAUCGCCUACGUAUAACUACAUGACUUAAUUUUAUUGUACUUGCAAUUUUCAUAUAAGAAUUAUUUUAAUAGACAUCUAAUUAUUAGUUUUUCUAUAGUUUUAUUUGUUAAAUUUUUUAUUUAAAAAUAUUUUUAUAGAAAUAAUUUAAUAAAAUGCAUAUUUUGAGUAUUAAAUCAUUAAAAUAUUAGAUAAUGUAUAAUAGCUUAUACAACAUAUAUUUUUAUUCCUAGUUUUUUGUUUUUUAUUCUUUUCCAAUAUACCAAAAAAACCUUACUUAAAGAAAAACUGUAACUAGAAAAGGUUUAAUAUACAUACACAUCCUAGAUAAUAUAGAAUUUACCUUUGUGUUUAUCUCUAAUCAAUCUUUUCACCAGGUUUUUUUAUAUAAUUUAUAUAUGUAUGUGCUUGAAUAGAAAUUAAUGCGUGGUUGAAUGAUCAAAUUUAAAACAUAAAUUAUGUGUCUGGUAGAGUUAACUAACUCUUAAUCUUCAACAUUCGUAUAUGGUUGUAUGACCAUGAUUUAUUAUUUCUAUGAUUUUUAAAUGAAAUUGUUCUUAUCUAUUUCAAUUAAUAAUAUAACAUUAUUUUCAAGAAAUAAUUUAAGAAAAAAAUAUUGUUUCAGUAUUAAAUCAAUGUAACACCAGUAUGAAAUGUAUAAUAGCUUAUCAAGUACUAUACAUAAAAAAAAAUAGUAGCUAGAAAAUGUUUAAUAUAUCUUUUGUGAUUACUUAUUUAACCUAAAUAAUAUCAAAUUUGUCUCUUCUUUUCCUACUCUUUUUUUAGUUGCCUUGUAUUUUUUCUCAACUAUCAAUAUUUUUACACAACUACAUAUUUUAUAACAUUUCUUUAUCACCUUAACUUUAUAUAUGACACUUUUGUUUCUUCGCCAUGAUUCUUUACCCUGAGUCCAAAGUCUUUAGAGUCACCUAAUAUCCCCUUUGCUAUCUUCUUCAUUUUUAUGGUAAUCUCAUCCCACAUAUUAUUAGCAAGUCCUUGUGCAAACCAAAACUCUUCCACAAAAAGCUCCUUUGUUCCUCACUCUUCAAUUGUCACUAUAUUUUUUAUUCUUUGUCUUUUCUUUCCACAAUAAACCCUACUUUUUGCACACAAAAAUUAGUACACCAACUUUGGUAAUACACCAUAAAUAACUUUAUAACUUCAAAUUUUCCUUCUUCUAAGUAUAACAUUAAGAAGUUAUGCACCGCAUAGUAUAAACCAUGAAUUUGAUACUAUCAACAUCAACAGCCUAUGUGGAAACGUUUAAAAGGAAAAGAGCAUAACAUGCCUUCAUGGAUUUGCCAUAUGAAACAAUUCUGCAUGGAAUAAAAUCUUCAAGCAUAGAUAGUAAAGGGCAUAAGUCACGUUCUUCUCAUACUAGCUCAUGAAGAGCAAUAUUUGCUUGACCCACCUGAACAUAUUAUAAAGAAAUUCUUGCCAAAUUGGAAUAGAUAGUUCAACUUCAUUAGCCUGCGCACUUAAAAAUUGUCCUGUGUUUGUGUCGUAACAAGAAAAGGAAACCAGUUGGUUGUGUUACCAAGAAUAUCACUUUUGCAGACAUCCUGUGAAGUUGUAAAAAAAACAAAGUGAAGGGAAUUGAAACUGACAAAAAGAACAUAAUACAAACAACGUAUAGAAGAUCAGAGAACAAUCUAUAGUCACUUGUAUGAAUAUAACAAAGAAGUUGUGAAAGAAAUUUCUCUAUUGGAUCAGAGAUCACAUGUAAUUUUACGGAGGUGAAUGUAAAUGUUGUAGUUCAGUUCAUUCAUAGUAAAUACACUAUGCGCACAAAGAAAAAAACAUUAAAGUGGUUCUUUGAUGUUAAAUUUAGACAUUAACUUGAUCAUGGAAGCUAAUUUGAUGUUCAAAUUAUAUUAAAUGACUACUUAGGUUUCACCAAUAUUAAUGUAAUUCAGAGAAAGACAGAAAAGAGUGACUGUUGUCAUAGUAAAUGAGUUAUGCUCACUCUAUGGAUGUGAAAUUGAGACAAGGGAUUGUCUCUUCUUCACCUGCAACUUUUCCAAAAGUUUAAUCAAAUUGAGUGCAGAUAAGCUAAACAUAAAAGAUUUUCCAAUUCAAUAUGCAAGAUGGAACAAGCAAGUUCUGCACACAUAGCUGCACAUUUAUAGUAUUUUGUAGGACAGGAAUCAAAUAAUCUUCCAAAAUAGAUGUAUUUAGCGCAGAAAGUGGCUGAUAUAAGCUGGAACUGCAGGCAGAAAAAUGGAGCAGCUUUGAAGAGAUGGCUUAGGAUCUCUAGGAAUAGAUACAAGUAAUGUGAUAAGAUAGUUUUAAUUAUUUUUGUGUCUUGUAAUUGUUUGUUGGGUGGAUGAACUUUUAAAGGUAUCAGCCAAAACAAUAGGGCAAAGCCUAAUUGCAUCCACGCAUUUUACCUGUCAUGUUUGAUGUUUAUGGUAAUAUAUCACAUACUCACUUAAAAACAAUAUUUAGGUAUAUUUACCAGCACCAAACUGAUUGUUGAGAAUCAAUAUAAAUGAUUACAUAUUAAAUAAAGGUCAAUUACUCAUUCUCUUGAAUUUAACUUCACUUAUACUUUCACCCAAAAAAAACAUUACUUAUCCUCUUAAAAAGAAACCGAUUUAAUCAUCAUUCCAUAUGUAUUAAGAUAUUUACAGCAUAAGGAAGCCCAAAAGGCUCCACUAAUAGGCUAUCAACCACAAAAUAUCCUAUAAACAUUUACAAAAUGACUAUCGGUAACAAAAUAUAAUGCCAGAAUAAAGAACAAUAGUCCCACUCCUAUAUGCUUUGCUGCACGCUUGCAAAACUUGUCAGUAACACACCUUCACUGACUUUCCCUUGAAGAAAACAUGACUUCUUUUUGUUAAGAACCGGAAAAAACAUCUAUUAAUCCCAAAAAGGAUAAAACCUCAAAAAUUAGCUGCAUCUUUCUUCAACCAGAUUGUUUAGCAUUAUAUGAACCUGGAAUUGAAAGCAAAAUAAAGGAUUUGUAAACUGAUUUCAACAAGGGCAUAAUAGACUAUACCAUAACUUGCUCUCUGCAUGCUGUUUGGAAAACAAAAUUCUAGCAUAUGAUCAAUAUUUGACAAUCAAAAGGGCUAAACUACAAUAGCAAGUGCAAUAUAAUGCACUUUGACUUAGAAAAUAGUGAAUUUGGAACAACAAAACAGGAUUGCAAUGUGCCUUCCAUUUCUCAGCCCUGGGUUUCGAUUAUUGAAAGUUGAGCUGAAUUUCACACCUAAUUUAUGACACGCAACAUGCAUAACACAGAUAUCGUAAGCACAUAAAUGCUAAGUGCUAUCUAGAUUUUUAAACAUGUAUGUUGAGGCUUGGGCAUUUACGAUCACUGAUACAUGAAAGCUAAGUGCUAUGCAGAUUUUUAAACAUGUAUGUUGAGGCUUGAACAUUUACUAUCAGUGAUAAAAGAAUACCAUAAAAGUUAUACCUUGUCUUCGAUAGCGGGUAAAACCAGGAGAUCUGCCAAGUAAGUAUGCCAUGACAUUGGUAGGUAAAGGAAAGGAGGAAGAUACAUCCACAAUGAUUUUAAAAGUCUGAACUCUGGUGAAAGGAGAAAGCCGACCCAUGAAUAGAGCAGGGAACAAAGAGAGAACCUAGGAAACAAGAGACAGACAAGAACUAAGAUUCAAGAAAUUACAGGUUCCAAAUCAUUAGACAUAAAAGUAACUUUAGACAUAAAAGUAAUCUAAUCUUCUAAUGAGAAAGCAACUUUAGACAUAAAAGUAAUAGCAUAAAAAAGCUUCUAUCCAGAAAACUUAUAACAGGUAUAAAUUGUAAUCCAAUUCUACUAUCUUUAUCAGGCACUAAGCUUUUAACAACUAUUGAUUGACAAAGAAAUAUACAUACUUUGACGACGUCGGGUGAGAGAUAUACAAACUUUGCACUCCCCAUUGCUUCAAACAGUUCAAUAAACUUCAUAGACAAUUUAGUGCCCUCAGUAUUGUCCAAUGCAUUAAGUACCUCUGAACUAUCCACAUCAAUAACCAGCUUCUCUAAAAAGUGAAGCUUGGCCUGAAUGGAAAAAGCAUAAAGAUUCAAGGGAUCAUCAUAGCUAAAAUACCGAAGCUUCGGCGUGAAAAGCUCGAUCACACACUCAGAAUCAAACUCUUCAUCCACCCUUAAACAUGAUAUGCUCAACUCUGUAAGCUGAGGAGCAUGAAUUUUAAAUUUAUCAAAUUUUCCAUAAAAUUGACAACAGUCAAAUAACAGAAAACUCAAUUUAGGACAACCGAGAAAAGGGUCAAGAAUCUCUACGUCCCUAAUCUCAAACUUGCAAUCAACAAGAGACAACUUUUGCAGCGAAACAAAUUCAAAGGUUGAAGUUUCAGUGGAUAUGUUACUGAGAUUGAGCACAGUUAGGGUUCGAGAAGUGAAUAAUCGAGGUAGACUCUCGAGAACAUAAUCAGCAACGAUAGUUAAAUUCUGAAUGUCCUUUGAUGCAACAUAAUCGACGACGGAAUCAACGGUGGGUGCACCUGUUUCUUCAAGUUCGUCACCGGUGCAUUCGAACUUGAGAACAUCGAUUUUGGAGUCAGAAUUUCUAUUGGCAAGAAAAUUAAGAACGAAAUCUUGGAAAAGAAAAUCAUGAUCAAAAGAAGAGCUAUGCAAGUUAUCUCCUUGAGUUCUUCCAUAUUCUUCUAUGCAUCAUGUUUGGAUGCUUUUUUAUUUCUGUAUCUAUCUCUUGUCGAGUUUCUUAUCGGGUUCUCUGGUAUAAUUUAAUUUAUAUAGGCGUCGGUUCGAAUGAAAAUUAAUAUGAAUAUUUAUAGAGAUCGGAGAGGACACAUAUAUGUUAUAACUGGGUAUAGGUGUCAUAUCUAAUUAUGGGAAAGAAAUAAAUAAAAAUAAUUGUUGUUACGAGAAAUAAGAACAAUUAAUAAAAAUAUGAAAUCAAAAUCAAGUAUGUUAAUAAGAUGUUAAUCCAAUAGUGUAAAAAUUAGAUUCUUAAGAUGAUCAAGAAUUUGAUUCAUUAGAGUAAUAUUUCUUAAGAGCGUAAAUCAUAUAAAUCUAAAAUUAUUAAUUUCCUACUUACAAAAUAAUGAAUACAUACUAAAAUUUAUAAAAUAUAUAUAUCGAGAAUAUGUUAAAUUAAACUUUUUAUCUUAUUGAUGCCGUUCCAAUUGCUACUCCUUGAGUUCUUAUCUUUGUUUAGUUUUGCUUCAGAUAAUAUCAAAAUUGAUUUUGUGUCUAUUUUUCUUCUCUUUUCUAUCACUCAAAGCAAAUAUAAUAUUAAUAUAUAUAUAUAUAUUAAGAGAAAAUGAUGUAUACACAAAUAGUGUAAAAGUUCUUUACAUUAUCACUGUAUUAUCCAAUCUUUAUUUUCAAUCAUUGUUAACUUUUCAGAAAAAAUAAUCCAAAUAAACAAUAGAUGAUACAUUUACUAUGUAUAUAUCUUUAUACUGUCAGUGCAUAGAUUUAAUAUUCAUAUAUUAAAUAUGUACCAUGUGAGUGAUGAUAAAAGAGGCGUGUAUAUGUGGUAGGUAGAGUAUGUGUCUUAUCUAAUUAGGAAAAGUGAUUUAAAUGGAAACCGUUAAUAUUACCAUAAGUAAGAAGAAUUAAACUGAAUUGUUUAAUCUUAUUUAAAUUGUUAAAAUUAAAUUGUUCCAAUUGGAAACCGUUAAUAUUACCAUAAGUAAGAAGAAUUAAACUGAAUUGUUUAAUCUUAUUUAAAUUGUUAAAAUUAAAAGAUAAAUGUACAUUCUUUUUAAGGUGAAGUAUACUUACAUUUAAAUUUAAUCUUCCAUGUAAAAUUGUAUGACUUAAAUUUAGUUUAUUUGCAAUUUUUAUAUAAGAAUUAUUUUAAUAGACAUUUAAUUAUUAGUUUUUCUAUAUUUUUAUUUGUUAUAUUUUUUGUUUAAAAAUAUUUUUAAAUUAAUAAUUUAAUAAAUUGCACAUUUUGAGAAUUAAAUCAUUAUAAUAUUAGAUAUUGUAUAAUAACUUAUGGAGUAUCAUAAUUAAAAAAUAGAUUUAUAUUCCUAAUUUUUGUUUUUUAUUCAUUUCCAAUGUACCAAAAAGAACUAUACUUAAAAGAAAAGAAUGUAACUAGAAAAAGUUUAAUAUAUAUCAAUAUCCUAGAUAAUAUCAAAUUUAUGUUUAUGUCUAUCUCUAUCUCUAUCGUCAAUAUUUUCAUCAAAUUCUCUGAUAUAAUUUAUAUAUGUCUUUGUUUGAAUAAAAUUAUUGUAUGGGUUGAAUGAUUAAAACUAAAAAAUAAAUCAUGUUUUAUUAAAGUCAACUAACUAUAAAUCUUCAACUAUGUAUAUGAUUGUGUGACCUUAAUUUAUUAUUUAUAUGAUUUUUAAAUAAAAAUCAUUCUCAUCUAUUUCAAUUAAUAGUAUAAUAAUAUUUCCAAUAAAUAAUUUAAGAAAAAAUUAUUAUUUUAGUAUUAAACUAAUGUAAUACUAACAAAUGCAUAAUAGCUUAUCAAGUAAUAUACAUGAAGAAAAAAACUCUAGCUAGAAAAUGUUUAAUAUAUGUCUCAUGAUUAAUUACUUAUUUUAAAUAAACUCUAGUUUACCUCUUUAUCUAUCACUAUUAACAAUUUUGAACGGGUUCUCUUCAUAUAAUUUAUAUAGUAUUUGUUUGAAUAACAAUUAAUGUUUGAGUUAAAUGAUUAAAAUUAAAAGAUAAAACAUAUGUUCGAUAGAGUCAACUAACUCCUAAUUUUCAAUAUUCGUAUAUGGUUGCAUAUCCCUAAUUUAUUAUUUCUACAAUUUUUAAAUGACAAUUAUUCUCUUAUAUUUCAAUUAAUGAUAUAAAUUUGUUUUUCAGAAAUAAUUUAAGAAAAACAAAUAUUGCUUCAAUAUUACACCAAUGUAAUAAAAAGAAAUGUAUAAUAGCUUAUCAAAUACCAUACAUAAAGAAAAAACUCUAACUAGAAAAUGUUUAAUAUGUGUGUCGCGAUUUCGUACAUAUCAAAUAUAAUAUCAAAUUUACCUUUGUGUCUAUCUCUAUCGUCAAUCGUUUUAUGAGGUUCUCUAAUAUAAUUUAUAUAAGUCUUUGUUUGAAUAAAAAUUAAUAUAGUGGUUGAAUGAUUAAAAUUAAAAGAACAAUCAUGUGUUCCAUAUAGUCAACUAGCUAUUAAUCUUCAACAUUUGUAAGAUUGUAUGACUCUAAUUUUUCAUUUCUAUGAUUUUUAAAUAAAGAGUAUUCUCAUAUAUUUCAAUUAAUAAUAGAAAAAUAUUUUCAAGAAAAAAUUUAAGAAAAAAUUAUUGUUUCAGAAUUAAACAAAAAUAAUACUAACAAAUGCAUAAUAGCUUAUUAAGUACCAUACAUGAAGAAAAAACUCUAGCUAAAACAUAUAUUAAAUUUAAUAUAUGUCUCAUGAUUACUUAGUUAUUCCAAAUAAUAUCCAAUUUAUUUCUGUGUCUAUCUCUAUUCUCAAUCUUCAACGGGUUUCUGAUAUAAUUUAUAUACGUCUUUGUUUGAAUAAAAAUUAAUAUACGAGUUGAAUAAUUAAAAUUAAAAGAUAAAUUAUAUGUUUGACAGAGUCAACUAACUUUUAAUCUUCAACAUCCACAUAUGAUUGUAUGACCCAAAUUAAUUAUUUAUACGAUUGUUAAAUAAAAUUAUUCUCAUCUAUUUUAAUUAAUAAUAUAAAAUUAUUUUCAAGAAAAAAAUUAAGAAAAAAUUAUUAUUCCUAUAUUAAACCAAUGAAAUAUUAACAAUGUAUAAUAGUUUUGUCAAGUACCAUACAUAAAGAAAACUCUAGCUAGAAAAUGUUUCAUACAUUCUCCUGAUUACUUACUUAUUCUAAUUAAUAUUAAAUUACAUGUGCGUCUAUCUCUAUUAUCAAUUAUUUUAUCGAGUUCUCUCAUAUAAUUUAUAUAUUCUUUGUAUGAAUAGAAAUUAAUGUAUGAUUUGAAUUAUUAAAAUUAAAAUAUAAAUGAAGUUUUUGAUACAGUCAACUAACUCUUAAAUUGAACGUUCACAUAUGAUUGUAUGACCAUAAUUUAUUAUUUCUACAAUUUUUAAAUGAUAAUUAUUCUUAUUUAUUUAAAUUAAAUAUGCUUUUUUUCAAGAAAUAAUUUAAGAAAAAAAUAUUGCUUCAAUAUUAAAUCAUGUAAUACUAUACAUAAAGAAAAAACUCUAGCUAGAAAAUAUUUAAUAUAUGUCUCAUGAUUUCUUAUUUAUCAUAUAUAAUAUCAAUUUCACAAUUGUAUUUAUAUCUAUCGUCAAUAUUUUCAUCGGGUUCUCUGAUAUAAUUUAUAUAUGUCUUUGUUUGAAUAGAAAUUAAUGUAAUGGUUGAAUGAUUAAAAUUAAAAUUAAAAUAUCAUAUUCGAUAUAGUUAACUAACUAUUAAUCUUCAACAUCCUUAUAUAGUUGUAUGACCCUAAUUUAUUAUUUCUACGAUUUUUAAAUAAAAAUUAUUCACAUCUAUUUUAAUUAAUAAUAUAAAAUUAUUUUCAAGAAAUAAUUUAAGAAAAAACUAUUAUUUCUAUAUUAAACAAAUUUAUUAUUAACAAUGUAUAAUAGUUUUGUCAAGUACCAUACAUAAAGAAAAACUCUAGCUAGAAAAUGUUUUAUAUAUUCUCGAGAUUACUUACUUAUUCUAAAUCGGAUUCUCUCAUAUAAUUUAUAUAUGUCUUUGUAUGAAUAGAAAUUAAUGUAUGGAUUGAAUUAUUAAAAUUAAAAUAUAAAUGAAGUUUUCGAUACAGUCAACUAAUUCUUAAUGUUCAACAUUCACAUAUGAUUGUAUGAUCCUAAUUUAUUAUUUCUCCGAUUUUUAAAUGAAAAUUAUUCACAUCUAUUUCAAUUAAUAAUAUAAAAUUAUUUUAAGAAAAAAUUAUUAUUUCAACAUUAAACGAAUGUAAUAUUAACAAACUUAUAAUAACUUAUCAAGUAUCAUACAUAAAGAAAAACUCUAGCUAGAAAAUGACUAAUAUAUAUUUCCUAAUUACUUACUUAUCAUUAAUAAUAUCAAAUUUACCUUUGUCUCUAUCUCUAUUAUUAAUCAUUUCAUUGGGUUCCCUGAUAUAAUUUAUAUAUGUAUUUGUUUGAAUAGAAAGUAAUGUAUGAUUGAAUUAUUAAAAUUAAAAGAUAAAACAUAUGUUUGAUAGAGUCAACUAACUCUUAAUUUUCAAUAUUCAUAUGGUUGUAUGACCAUGAUUUAAUAUUUCUACGAUUUUUAAAUGAAAAUUAUUCUCAUUUAUUUCAAAUAAUGAUAUAAAAUUGUUUUCAAGAAAUAAUAUGAGAAAAAAUAUUGCCUCAAUAUUAAACCAAUGUAAAUACUAAGAAGUAUAUAAUAGCUUAUCAAGUACCUUACAUAAAGAAAAAUCUCUAGCUAGAAAAUGUUUAAUAUAUGUCUCUUGAAUAUUUAAUUAUCAUAUAUAAUAUUAAAUUCACCUUUAUGUUUAUUCCUAUCGUCAAUUUAUUCAUUGCGUUAUCUGAUAUAUUUUAUACAUGUCUUUGUUUGAAUAAAAUUAAUAUAGUGGUUGAAUGACUUAAAUUAAAAGAUAAAUUAUGUGUUCAAUAUAGUCAACUAACUCUUAAUUUUCAACAUUCAUAUAUGGUUGUAUGUCUUUAAUCUGUCAUUUCUACAAUUUUUAAAGAGAAAUUAUUCUCAUCUUUUUCAAUUAAUAAUAUAAAAAUAUUUUCAAAAAAAUAAUUUUAAUUUUUUUUAUUGUUUGAGUGUUAAACACAUGUAAUACUAACAAAUGCAUAAUAGCUUAUCAACAAUCUUACAUGAAGAAAAAUUUAUAGCUAGUCGUAUUAUUACUUUCUUAUCCUAAAAAUCAUCCAAUUUAUCUCUGUCUAUCUCUAUUAUCCAUCUUCAACGUGUUCUUUGACAUAGUUUAUAUAUGUAUUUGUUUGAAUAGGAAUUAAUGAAUGAGAUUAAUGAUUAAAAUUAAAAGAUAAAUCAUAUCUUUGACAGAGCAAUGUUAUUAAAAUUGGACCGGUCAUCAAACCGGUGAGGGUACUGGUUUAGUGGUUCAACCCGUGGUUCAGUAAUUAAACCGCAUGAGAUUAAACCGGUUAAACCGGACAUACAUGGUUAUAUAUAUGUGUGUAAACCAGUAACAAAAAUUAUCUAAUAUGUAGAUACUCAAAUUUAUAAUCCAUAUUUAUAGACAAAGUAAGAAUUCUCAUAAACAAACAACUUUAAUAAAUCCAAAGUCUAAAUUACAAAUACAAAUAGUAAUCCACAAGUACUUGUCUUACUUAACAAACUCGAAACAUAUGACGAAGUUCAUAACUCAGUCUACAAAACAUAUUAUAUAUUUAAAACUUUAACACCAAAGAGUCAAAGUUGUUUCUUAUAGAGGUUCCAUUUCUUCACCAUUUAAGUCCAAAGCUUGACUAAUGUUGUCUUCAACUAGGUUCACAUUCUCCACAGGGNNUGCAUCAUCAUCAUCUUCUAAAUUUAAUUGAUCUACAACAAUAUCAUUUUUUCAUACAUCAGUUUUCAUACAAGUUAACAAUAAAAUAAAUUAGUUAUUAGAACCAAAACUGAUAAUGCAAUAAAAAACAUUACAUGUAUGAAAAAAAUAAAAAAUAAAAUAGUUAUUAGUUGUGCAUCAUCAUCAUCUUCUAAUUCUAUGUGGUAUGUGCCUAUGUGGGGUUCUUUAAAAUUACAUGUAUGAACCGGCCGGUUCAAUCAAAUUUCGGCCGCUCACCAGUUUUGACACGGUUCACCGAUUUUUCACCGGUUUACACCAGUUUUGAUGCUUAACCGGCACAACACUUGUUUCGUACCGGUUAUGGGACUGGUUGACCGGUUCUCCAGUUGAACCGGCCGGUCCGAACCGGUUUUAAUAACAUUGUGAAAGAGUCAAUUAAUUCUUAAUUUUCAACAUUCCCAUAUGAUUGUAUGAGCCUAAUUUAUUAAUUCUACAAUUUUUAAAUGGAAAUUAUUCUCAUCUUAUUUUAAUUAAUAAUAUAAAAUUAUUUUUAGGAAAUAAUUUAAGAAAAUUUUUUAUUAUUUGUGUAUUAAACCAAUGUAAUAUUAACAAAUGUAUAAUAGUUUAUCAAGUGUCAUACAUAAAGAAAAACUCGAGCUAGAAAAUGUUUAAUAUAUGUCUCUUGAUUACUUACUUACCCUAAAUAAUAUCAAAUUUAUCUCUGUCCAUAUCUAUUAUCGAUCAUUUCUUCGGGUUCUCUAAUAUAAUUUAUAUACGUCUUUGUUUGAAUAGGAAUUAAAGUAUGAGUUGAAUGAUUAAAAUUAGAAGAUAAAUCGUGUGUUAAUAGAGUCAACUAACUCUUAAUCUUUAAUACACAUUAUGAUUGUAUGAACCUAAUUUAUUAUUUCUAUGAUUUAUAAAUGAAAAUUAUCUCAUCUAUUUAAACUAAUAAAAUAAAAUAAAAAUUGAUGGAAUAUUUAAGAAAAAAAAUAUUAUUUCAAUAUUAAACUACUGUAAUAUUAACAAAUGUAUAAUAGCUUAUCAAAUACCAUGUUGAAAGAAAAACUGUAGCUAGAAAAUGUUUAAUAUAUGUCUCGUGAUUACUUCCUUAUCAUAUAUAAUAUCAAAUUUAUCUUUGUGUCUAUUUCUAUUACCAACCGUUUCAAUUGGAUCCCUAAUAUAAUUUAUAUAUGUCAAUGUUUAAAUAGAAAUUAAUGUAGUGGUUGAAUGAUUAAAGUUAAAAGUUAAAUAAUGUGUUUAAUAGAAUCAUCUAUCUCUUAAUCUUUAACGUUCUUAUAUGGUUGUAUGACCCUACUUUAUCAUUUCUAUGAUUUGUAAAUAAAAAUUAUUCUCAUCUAUUUCAAUUAAUAAUAUAAAAAUAUUUUCAAGAAAUAAUUUAUGAAAAAUUUAUUGUUUCAGUACUAAACCAAUGUAAUACCAACAAAUGCAAAAUAGCUUAUCAAGUAUCAUACAUGAAUAAAAUACUCUAGCUAGAAAAUGUUUAAUAUAUGUCUCAUAAUUACAUACUUAUCCUAAAUAAUAUCCAACUUACCUUUGUGUUCAUCUCUAUUAUCAAUCUUUAACGGCUUCUAUGAUAUAAUUUUUAUAUGUCUUUGUUCGAAUAGAAAUUAAUGUAUGAGUUGAAUGAUUAAAAUUAAAAGAUAAAUCAUAUAUUCGACAUAGUUAAUUGACUUUUAAUCUUCACCAUUCACAUAUAAUUAUAUGACCCUGAUUUAUUAUUUAUACGAUUUUUAAAUGAAAAUUAUUCUCAUAUAUUUCAAUUAAUAAUAUAAAAUUAUUUUCAAUAAAUAAUUUAAGAAAAAAUAUUAUUUUAGUAUUAAACCAAUAUAAUAUUAACAAAUGUAUAAUAGCUUAUCAAGUAUCACACAUAAAGAAAAAGCUCUAGUUAGAAAAUAUUUAAUAUAUGUCACAUGAUUACUUACUUAUCCUAAAUAAUAUCAAAUUUAUCUUUGUGCCUAUCUCUAUUAUAAAUCAAUUCAUCAAAUUUUAUGAUAUAAUUUAUAUAUUUCUUUGUUUAAAUAGUUAUUAGGUUGAAUGAUUAAUAUUAAAAGAUAAAUCAUAUGUUCGAUAGAGUCAACUAACUCUUAAUCUUCAAUAUUCAUAUAUGGUUGUAUGAUUCUAAUUUAUUAUUUUUACAAUUUUUAAAUGAAUCUUUUUCUCAUGUAUUUGAAUUAAUGAUAUAAAAUUGUUUUCAAGAAAUAAGUUAAGAAAAAAAUAUUGCCUCAAUAUUAAACCAAUGUAAUACUAUGAAAUGUAUAAUAGCUUAACAAACACCAUACAUAAAGAAAAAUCUCUAGCUAUAAAAUGUUUAAUAUAUGUUUCAUGAUUACUUACUUAUCAUAUAUAAUAUCAACUUUAUCUAUGUGUCUAUUUCUAUUAUCAAUCGUUUCAACGGGUUCCCUUAUAUAAUUUAUAUAUGUGUUUGAUUGAAUAGAAAAUAAUGUAAUGGUUGAAUGAUUAAAAUUAAAAGAUAAAUCAUGUGUUCGAUAGAGUCAACUAAUUCUUAAUAUUUAGCUUUCGUAUAUGGUUGUAUGACCCAAAUUUUGUAUUUUCACAAAUUUUAAAUGGAAAUUGUUCUUAUCUAUUUCAAUUAGUAAUGCAAAAUUAUAUUUCAAGAAAUAAUUUUUGAAAAAAAUAUUAUUUAAGUACUAAACCAAUGUAAUACUAAGAAAUGUAUAAUAACUUAUUAUGUACCAAUAUUUAAGGAAAAAAACUAUAACUAGAAUUUUUUUAAAAACUAUUAACAACAUUCUAAUUUUGAUUUAAAUAAAUAGAAUUUCAUUUUUGGUAAAUAAGACAACAAGGGUAAGAAAAUUAAUAAAUUAUUUUUUAUUAAUUAUAUUAGAGAAUGAGAUAUACCAAACAGUUUAUUACCUCCCUUCUGUGCCUUACACACAAUUGAUUUUUAAAUAAAUAUUAUAAACAUGACUGGUGGAUCAAAUGAUAAUAGUGCAAGAAGUUUAUACCGGCAAGGCCCACUUUAUCUCAUUAUAUAUAAAUGCAUUAUCAAUUUGUUUCUUAUAGUCAUUUGAAGGAAAAUUUACACAUGUGGUGCACCUUGACCGAAAAAUUAUGGCUUUGGUGCAUCUUUUAGAAAAAUUACACAACUAGUGUAACUUUACAGAAAUCGGCAGUGGAAUUGCCGAUUUCUGUAUUUGUUUUCUCUCUCCUCCCCCAAAAUCGGCACUGGGGAGGGAGUUUUAUUAUAAUAUUUUUUUUUUCAAACUCCCCCCUAAAUCGUCAAUGGGGGGAGUUUUAUACUUUUCAUUAUUUUUUAAUGCACACAUAAUAUUCACAUAAUAUUUUAUGUUUUCAUUAUUGUUUUAUGUUAUUAGGAUUAGGGUUGACAAAAUUUAUUAUGUUGUGUGUUGUUAGGAUUUGUGUUUAAAAAAUUGAACCCUAAAACUAUUAAUAUAACUCCCACAAGUUAAAAAAAAUCAAAAACUCUUCGGUUGCCGAUUUAGGGGAUAGAAAAAAAAUAAAAAAAAAAUAAAAAGUAUAAAACUCCCCCAUUGACGAUUUAGGGGGAGUUUGAAAAAAAAAAUUGUAAUAAAACUCCCUCCCCAUUGCCAAUUUUGGGGGAGGAGAGAGAAAAAAAAUACAGAAAUCGAUAAUUCCAUUGCCGAUUUAUGUAAAGUUACACUAGUUCUGUAAUUUUUCUAAAAGGUGCACCAAAACCGUAAUUUUUCGGUCAAGGUGCACAACAUGUGUAAAUUUUCCGUCAUUUGAAUCUAUGUUUGUUAUAUAAAAAAAAUGAAUUAUAGAUUAUUUUUAAUACUAAAAUUAUAUAUUUUUUUUUCAAAAUUACCUCUUGUCCUGUAAAAGGGUGACAAACAUGUUAAUGCCUAUAAAACAUACAAUUAACUCAUUAAGGCAACAAUUCUCCAUGGUCAAAACUAAAAUUAUACUUUCUUUAUUUUUUGGAAAAUGUUUUCGCUCAUAAAACUAAGAUUACUCACAUAUACCAUUUAGAUCCAUUGGGUAGGAGACUAAUCCAUCUAUUUUUUUGAACUUCUUAAUUUUAUACAACGACAACUAAUUAUUAUAAUAUUUAUUUUACUGUUAUUUUUAUAUUUGAACAAUUUUAUAAAGUUGAUUGUAACACCGCGAAUUUUACGAGUUUGAAUUAUAAGAUUUUACUAAUAUUUUCGUUAAUUAUAUAUUCGAAAAUGAAUUUCUCGGAAUUUUCGGUAAAGAAUUAGACGAAACUCUAGUUGAGUUUUACUCGUGAAACUUUAUUUCCGAUUUUGUGGUAAAUUUUGGUAAUUUUUGGAGACAGUCGGUUCUGGACCACUGUCGGGGCCGAAUCCGCCCGUACGGCUCAAAACGUGUCUUUUUGAGUUCCGUAACUCGGAAUCAAAUUCCGAUCGUGCCGUUGGAUUCGUAAUUUAAUUUUGAAUCAAUAUAGACCCUUAAUAUACUCAUACCUAUUUUUUAAAUAUUUUUCACUCGGAAUGCCGAAAUCCGAAAUUCUAAUCGGAUAUUAGGAUUGGGCGAUUUAAAAUACCCAAUCGAGUAUUGGCCGAUAAUACUUGGGCAUGGGUAUCACACGUGUUCGCGAGGUGAUCAUUUCGUAUUGGGAUGAGAGAUUUGACUUCCAUAAAGCAAAUCUCCCAUCACUUUCACCAUAUCUCAUGAGCUCAUCAUUAGCCACCCUAGGAGAUUUGGUCAUCAUUGCCUAGUUGAAAUCUGAUUUCUCUCCCCUUAAACCCUCACACUUCACACUUCACUCACUCACUUUUGCAUUUUCAAAGAGAAGGUAAAUCUCUCUUCACUUUUCUCUCAUUUUCUCAUGUCUUCUUCCAUCUUCAAUCAUUGAUCUCUCAACAUCCAACCAAUGGAUGUUGAUGAGAUUUAAGUAUGUUGUUCAUGAGUAUGUCAAGAACAUAUUCAACCGUUGAAACUUUAUAAAACGCUUUCUAACUCAUUUUCUCUUCAAAACCGAAAAUGAUGUGGUUCUUGAACUCAUGAAAAUAGUUUGUUGAAAACAUGAACAAUUCAUGAAGUUGUUAUAAUAUAUUACUAUAUAUAUAUAUAUUGUUAUUUUAGCCAAAGGGGAUGAUGAUAAAAUCAAAGGAACCUUUAGGAAAUGUUUUGUAAAAAUGAGAAUGUAUGUAUUUCUAUUUGUUUUUAGCCUUAAACCAUGGCUUGGAACAAGUUGGAAAAAUAGAAAUCUUUGUUAAAAAUGAUGUUGAGGUUUAUGAGUACAUGAAGGUCUCAUGAAACUCUUAAAUGAUACUUUGAAUAACUUACUUUAAAGUGGUAAGAUUAUCAAAGAAUGUUUUAAAUCGGAAUAUGGAGUUUUAAGUAUUUUGGUAACGAUUUUAGAAAUAUCGGAAACUAACGAAUUUUUAUUGUGGUAGUUACGAAGAUUUCGGUGUUCGAACCUUGAAACCAAACCAACCGUAGUUGACAAGUAAAAGCACGCUUCAUUAAGGUGAGAGAGAACACAUCGUGACAUAGUGGUGUCCGAAUAUGACACCCGGAUCUCCUAAACCAUCUCAAAGGUUUUGGAGUUAACUUGGGUUUAAGAAACCCAAGAUUUUCAUGUUUGAAUGCUUUUGAAUAUAUAUGAUUGUUGAUGAAAUGUGUUGAAUAUUGUAUAUGAAUGUUGUUGUGAAAUUUUCUGAGUGCAGGUGGUUGAAAAACCACUCAUUUUUAAAUGUGUUUCAGUUGUCAAAAAGGGCAAAAAUUGGCAUUAUGUCCAGUUUCUGUUGCCUGGGCGAACAAGGCGUCGUCGGGGCGAGCAAAAGUCCGCUCGGGCGAGCAAAAACUCGAUUCAGUGAGAAAAAAAAAAUCCCAGGAUUUUCGCCGGGGCGAGCAAAAACUUGAUUGAGCGGAAAAAAAAAUUCCAUAACUUAAGGAGUUUCUAGAACUUUCUCGCUUGGGCGAUAAUACCUUCGCCUGGGCGAGGAAAGCUCCAGUUGAUUUAGGAUAUAAAGAGGAAUUGUCGCUUGGGCGAGGGACGGUGUGGGAAGAUUGGAAUAAAAUGAUAUUGAGAACAAUGUGAUGAACCCGGGUAGGGUGUGUUGUGAUAUAAAGGUUGUGGAAUGAGAUCAUGGCUUAGAUGCGAAGCAUGACUUUGCAAAGGUAUGAAAGCAUUGUUUGUGUUUAUGCCUUGUUGGGCAAGUAUCCGACUUGAGGUCGUGAACUAGGGGUACCCUAGUAAGGAUACAUGAUAUCACUGAACAACGAUCGACCGACCGUAAGAGGCUUGGUCAUGUGACCGUCCAGGAGUACUCGGUGAUGGGUUGUUAUGAUUGAGAUGUUACCUGGAGCAAGUACGGUUGAUGUACUAUCAGGUCCCACGAGAAGCAUUCCUUGUCGGGAGAUGGCUUAAGGAUGGGCCGAUCAUGUGUUUGAUUAAUACAUUUGCAUUUGAUUCUGAUUAAGAAUGCAUUGCAUUGUGACCAUGAAGUAGUGGAGAGGAAAUGACGGGACGACUUAGAGCACCGUGAAGUAAGCAGGGACGGCACUGAUUGGACGGUGAUUCGCCAACAUUGUCUUGAGGGAGAGUCUGGGUGAGACGAGUCCCUUGUAUUCCUGGGGAGGUACCCUAUUAGAUCGGACAGUUCUCACAGGCCAAACUAGGCAACGGACAAUUCUCACAGGCCAAACUAGGCAAUCUCUGACAACCACUGGAUUGCAUUCGAGAUCAAUGAGAGGGAUGCCCAGAAAGCGUUUGUACGACCUAGGUCCAGGUAGGACUGUUCCUGAGGGAACCGAUCGAUCUAUUUUAAUUCCUUGCGAGGAUAUGUUAUUUCGGGUGGUACAAAACGACUUGGUAUGAGACCUGUACUCUCGAUUAUUUCCGAUUAGGAUGUUGGAUGGAUAUUGGUGUAAGGUGGAUGAUCAUGACAUAUCAUGCAUACAUUAUCAUUGUGGAAGUAAAUUCCCACAUGUGAGUUACAAGUAUGGUGUAUUCCUAUGUUUAUGUAUGUGAUGUGAUUAUGAGUAUAAUGUUGAUUAUAUUAUUUGAUAUAUUGGUUUAUGUUGAUAAACGGUGAGUUAUGAUGUCGGUUAUAGAAAUAUAUGUGUAUAUUAUUAUUUGGGGUUAUGGGUUAUGAGCCUCACUUAUGAGUUAUUUAAUUAUAGUCAUUAUAUCUUGUCGAUGAAUUAUAUAUUGUCGAUGAAUUAUAUAUUGAUAAAUGGUGAAUUAUGAUAUGGAUGGGAAUAAGUGUUGUUUACAUUACAUAGGUUGAUUAGAUUAUUGUUUACGAGAACAACUGAUGAGUUAUAAUGUAAAUGUUAUAUAUAUAUAUGAACUGAUUUUCAUAUCUGAGUGUAAUAUUCUGAGUAAGUCCACGCCGUCAAUGAAUUUACGUUCAUUAGAUGUCUUACUCUCUCUAUUUCUCUUCUUUUCUAUUGCUUGCUUUUCGGACGUGUGCUCGUCAGGUAGACAGCUCUGAUCGGAUUUGGAGCUACCCGUCUGUGAUGUUCCAGGAGGGGGUAUGAGGAAUUGAGGAAGAGGCAGNGAGGGGGCAUGAGGAAUUGAGGAAAGGCAGUACCCUAGUCUUGGAGCGAGCCACUAGGAGUUGCUUAUCAUUUUGGGACUUUUGAAAACAAGAUGGCUUCAGUUUGUUCAUGUCUUUGUUUAGUGUUUGUUGGCGAUGAUUAAUAUUUUCGCCCUUUGUUUUUGGAUUUUGUAUAUGUUAGUGGCGAUGUAGUUUCCGCCUUUGUUGAUUUAGUUUGUAUGAACUAAAGAUGACUUAACCGUUUAUAUGCAUUAUGUUAUUCAGGAAAUUGUGAAUCAUGUUAAGUUAUCAUUCGAUAACGAUAAGUUGAUUUUCCGCAUUUAAGUUACUUAAAGUGAUGUCCCGGAAAAUGAAGGUUUUAAAAAGGAAACAAUUUUAUACAAUCUCUUUAUUAAAAAAAAAAUUUACCCAUUUUUCCGCAAUGUUUUUUAGAAGUAUUUUUUUCGGGGCGUUACAUUGAUCACAAGAAUAAAAAGUAUCAGAAUAAAAUAUUAAAAUAUCACAUCAUACAUAUUCUAUAUAUACCAACAAGGCCAUGAUUUAAUGGGGUGAGAUCACACUAAAUCACCAUAAAGACCAAAAGAUCAAGAUUUCAAUUUUUGAAAGCGAUAAUUAUUAGAAUGAGCAUUCAUAUUCCCCAAAAUAAAUUAAUUCUUUAUCCAUAGAGUGAGAGGAAACAUUCCUAGAAAAAAAUAAAUACAUAUCCUAUAUAUAAGAUUUAUUGUCAAUUACUCCAUACAUGUGAUUUAUUGUCAAUUACUCCAUAGAUUAGGUUUGCACCUCUUCUUAUUGGGUUGGUUCUUGGAUUCUUUGCAGCAGUAUCAUUUACCCCUUUCUGUUCCAUUCCAUUCCCCACCAUUUCAUCCAUCCAAACCUAACAAUAAGACCUUCAAAAGCUUUAUCCUUUUACUUGGUCUCUCAGUGAAAGCCAAAGUUUUAGAUAACACAAAUGACUAGAGGAAUAUCUCAAGUCAGAGUUUCUCACUGCUACCAAACAGCCCUGAGUUGAGAAAACAAUAACUUUCAUUAAAAUCAUAUUACAAACAUUAGCUUAACAUAAUCCAUAGGAAUAAUGCACAUUCAAACAGCCCUGAGGUAAUUGCAAUUUGCAGUUGCAUGAGGACGAAACAGCAGAAAUUCAUAAGAGGGGGCAUACAGUUACAUAAUCACUACAAAUAAUACAGUGCAGGUGAAAGCUUGGAAACUGUUCGUUACCACCUCCGGUAGGUCAACUGACAGAUAGAAUAAGAUUUCAGCAAUGACCUCCAGGUGCACAUUGAAUGGUAAUGAUAAUUUAAUAAAUAAACAAAAAAUGAAAAGACUAAGAAAAAGCUGAAAUUAGCAACAUGGUCAGAGAGCGGGAGAGGGCACAUGCUGGAAAUCUCUGCACAAUCUCACACAUGGGAAGGAAUCAAUUCGGUUGCAGGUUAGGCAACACUGGGCAGAUGUAGAGGCAGAAUGCAGCUACAGCUACUGCAAAUCUAAAUUCUGAGUGCUCCAGUGGCAGGGUCAUGGCCUGAAUUGGUGUCCUUGUGCUUUAGAGAAAUGUUUGCAAACUGAGAUUCAAGGUCUCUGCUGUUGGUGCGCCUAUGACUAGCUGAUGGUUGUUGCGGCUUAAGUGUUUGCUGCUGCUGAAACAAUGCGCGCAAUCUUCCAAUCUCUCUUUCCAGUACUUCCUGUUCCACUGCAUUUCACAUUGCACAAUUUUUAGUGUACAAGACAAGCUCCUUUCAUGUCUGAUGAUACUAAUCAUAUGCCUUAAAAGAAUUGAAGGGACUGACUGUCAUUCGUUUUUUAGAAAUCAUAUAGUAACUAGUAACUUCAAUCAGUAUCCUAGAUGACUAGAUUCUUUUGAAUAUGACAAAUCAAACCACCCCUUCCUUAAUCUCAUGCUAGUAAUUUUUCUUGCAAUCAUGCUCAGGUAAAUAGAAGGUAGAACUGAUUAACUAUAUACUUCCAUGCCACUUAUAUGCUACAAAUAAAAAACAUCAUGUAUUUCCUUUCUAUUAAUCUAUAAAAUGAAAUGAAUCAUCAUUUCACAAGGAGUUCCCCAACAGGGCAGCAGGGGUAUGAGAGGAUUAAAUGCAAAAUAGAGAGAUUGACAUUUCCAAAUUUAAAGAGAAGAGACAUCUGGGUUAUUAGAGCUUAGGUGCAAUGGUAAGGUUAUUGUUUGGUGACCAAGAAGUCACAGGUUCAAAUCCUGGAAAUAGCCUCUCCACUUAUGGGGUAAGGUUGCAUACAUAUUCCCUCCCUAGCCCCCACUAGGUGGGAACCUCAUGCACUGAGCAGCCCUUUAGAGAUAUAAGUUACACGAAAACCUCAAUUGGUAAUGCUCUGAUAAUAGCAGCUUACAAUAUUUGAUAAGCUGCUCCUGUGCUAAACUUUCUAAGCGUUGCUUGAGUGCUUUAUUCUCCAUACUCAGGAUAAGAUUUUGCUGGUUAAGAAAUUCUAGUUCAGCUGACACUUCAGACCCUUCUGCCUAUGUAUUGACAUAUAGAGGAAAAGAAUCAGAACUUACAACUAUCCCAUAAAAAUUAUAUAUGCAUUCUCAAAACAAAUGUCAUUCUGCAAUCAUGCAGAAUGUUGACUUACCGAAAGUCCAAAACUUACCUGCAAAGCUUGGACAUUUCUUUCCAGCUCAGCUAUGUAUUGAAGUUUACGGACCCGUGAACGUUGGGCAAAUUGCCUGCAUUAAAAGUGUUUCAGAAGUAUUUUCUCUUGCCAUAUAGGAAUUUUUUGGUUGCAAUUCAAAUUUAUGUUUUGGCAAAAAAGGACUUUUGGCCCCUUAAUUGUUUUGACAUUUUGGUCCCUUAACUCUAUUCCAUUACCACGUUAGUCCCUCCGUUAAAACUUUUGGUAACUUGUAAGUGAAACAACGUCAUUUUGUAUGUGAAACGGACAGUGUUACCAAAAUAUUUAACAGAGGGCCUAACACGCUAAUGGAAACAAAGUUAAGGGACCAAAAUGACAAAAACAACUAAGGGAUCAAAAUGAGAAAAACAACUAAGGGACCAAAAGUGUGUUUUUGUCUUUAUUUUUUCAACUCAAAUAGCAAAAAAAGAAAUUACAUGAAGAAAAGCAUGGCGUAUUUGCUUCCCCAUCCCUCCCCACAAUAUCCCAAUUUUGUUUGCAUGAGAAAAUAAGUAAACCAAAUUUAGUAAUGUGCACUCCAUUUUAUGUGACAAAUAACUGUUAUAACUUAUAUUUCCCCCUUCUAAGUACAUCAUUAAGAAAUUAUGCACCACAUGCAUAAUAACCUUUAAUUUGAUACUAUAAACAUAGGCAGCCUAUUUCGAAAAGUUUAGAAGGAAUGAUAGAGCAUAACAUGGUCUGAUGGAUUUGCUAUAGGAACCAGUUCUGAAUGGAAGAGAAAAUAGAUGGUACAGAAGCAGAAGGUCAAACCCUUAAACAGAACUUGCAGCCUAUAAAGCACGGAUACGGAUACGUGUGUCAAAUACGAUACAUAUCUGAUACGUCGACACACAUUUUUCUAAAAUAUAGGAUACAAUAUGUUUAGGGAUAUGUAUAUAAAAUAGUAAAAAAUACAUAAAAUAUGACUAAAAUUAUAAGUGUAAAUCAAAAUAUCCAAAAGAGAAAAUAUAAUGGAAAUUGCAAAUAUUGCCCUCCAAAAUUCCAAGUACCAAAACUAGAAAAUAUAGUAGAAUAAUUCAUAAAAUUACUUAAAUAAGUUGGUUUUUGCUUGAUUAUUGGGAUGUUGCUUAGCUUUGAUAAAGCAUAUCAUAUUUUAUCCUAUUUUUUUGUUGAAAACAUAUCAAAAAUGUAUCUUCAUCUUUAUUUUUUUUACUUUUUUAUUUUAAUUUUUGGAUACUCUACGGAUAUAUAUCCUUCACGAAUCCGAGUGUGUCCGUGUCGGAUACGUGUCCGACACUGAUACGUGAGGGUGUUCAACGAAUCCGUGCUUCAGAGCUUGCAGCCUCUAGAUCAUAUACUAGUCGUAAAAUCAUGCAAAUUAUUGUAAGUACAAUAAAAUCAGAAAACAGAGAAAAUAACUACAUACUGUUUAGCACGUUUUGUAUCUGUCUCAGAAGCAGAUGACUUCGCAUGUGAACCAUCCUUUCGUUCAGAAGAUGAUUUUGUAUCCUGUAUGCCAGGUUCUAGUGAGUCGUACUUUUCAUUUGCAGUUGAUGGAAGCCCAUCUGCUUCAUGUGGUGCAUAUGGUGAUCCUGAACUCUUCAAAACAACAUUUUCUUUGCUAGAGGGAGAAACACCUGGAUGAGUCAUGGCAUUUGAAAAAGAGUCCCAUGAUCUAUUUCUCUGUUUUGUUGCAUUCAUUUCUGCAUACGUGGGUAUAUGAUGACCGUCUUUGCCAUGACCAAAUUCUUGAGAUGACCAAGAUGGAACAGAUAGCAAAUUCUGACCAGCAUAAUUGAUAUUAGUCGCAUUAACUGUAUCUAAGUAUGCAAAAGAAGAAUCACUUGACGAACGCCGAUGACCACCCCUUCGCACAGGUGUCUCUGGCUCAUUAAGGAGAUCAUCAAGCCAUGAGGGUUGCUCCUCCAUAACAUGGCUCUCAGAUGAAGUACGUUGGUGGUGUGUAUUUCCCUCUCUACGAUUCUGAAAGGCUUUUGAACCAACUGCAGAAUCAGCAUAUGGUUGCGAAACACUCGGAAAUGGACUUUUAGGAGGAAGAAGAGGAUGUUUUCCAUUGUACAUGAAAUUUCUGACACCUGAUGAGCCCUUUGAAUUUGCCAUAGAAGCAGAAUAAAUACCUGUCCAGUAAGAAGCAACGAAUUACAAAAGAAUGUGGUAAAGUAUGUGAAAAGAUAAAGAAGUUAAUACAAUAGACAAAUAUGGACAGAUAUUCCAACAAAAAAACAAACAAGGAGCAUCUUAUCAAACAUGUUUGAACCACCUAAAGCUAGACUCUAGAAAAUAGUUGCUACCUCAACUUUAUCUCCAAUGCAUUCAUCCCUAAUUCUAUUUUGUCUGGUGUGUCUACUUAUCCAACACAACAUUGUCAACAACCAUAAACAAGUAAAAAUAGAUACUUCAUUGAGAUAUACACCCAAUGUUUAAAAUAGCGGUUGUGGUUACUGUGAUUGCGGCCAUUGCGAUGCAGAUUGCAGCCAUUGAAAUGUGAAUUAUUUUGUAAUUAAAAAAUAUUUUUGAGUUGGAUGUGGACCAAAUGCGAUCUGAUGCGGUUGCAUUGCAGCCCAAUGUGACCACAUCAUUGUGACUCGGGGUCACACCACAAUUGCAGUUUGAUGCGGUUGUUGCGGUCACCACAAUAUUGCGGCCGCAUCACGUGACACGGUCUGCAAUUUAAAUCAUUGUUAAUAUGCCUAAGAACUAAAUAUUCCAUAGCUCUACAAAGCACAUAUUUGGUUGGAUAAUAUCCCACCUAAUGCUAGCAGGUUUAUAAAUCUAUACUUUUUAACUUGGCUAAAAUGCAACUCUAAAUUUUUUGAAGCCACCUCAUGAACAAUCUAACUUUCACUUAACACAGAUAUUAUACCAUAUAAUUGACAAAUGUUGUCCGCUCUAUCUUCCCGCACAAUAAAGGAGCAUCACAUGCUAUAUACAUUUUCAUUAUUAGCAAGCACACCCGGUAUCAAAUACUACCCAGCACAUUAGCAUUCAUAAUCACAUCUCCCAUCAUGAUAACCACCAAUUUUCAAAGUUUAACCUCAGCUACCAUGCUGAAUAAAUUGGCAUACAUAAAACUCAAACUCAAAUCCAAAAAAUUGUAUCUUCCAAACCUUGCAAGGCAAAAGUUCAAUCCCAAUGUAACAGAAAACUCAUCAACAAUGAUUUAAGAACGAAAAAAAACAGAUUUCUGGAGCCACUAACUGGAAAAACUAUCCAAUCUCCAAACAAAAUUUUACAGAAGAAACUUUCCACCCACAAAAAUUUAAAUAAAAGAUGGGACUAAUAGAAAAAAAUUAAACGUAUCUAGCUAAAAAUUAUGUUUUAUUUUGAAGAGUCGAGAAAGUAAUCAAAUAUAGAAAGUUUACGUUGCUGCAUUUCCUACAGAAUCUACCCAAAGCAUGCAUAAUUGCAUAAGCAUGCAUUCAGAAAUUAAGAAAAAAAAUAAAAUUCCACGAAAAAGGGAAAUUACUGUUAAUGGAAACAAAAAAGCUGCAAUGUGCAAGACUGUGGCAUCAAUCGGCCAAUAAUUUCAAGCUGACUGCAAGAAUUAGGAACAAAACGGAGAUAAAUUCGUAUUAGAGAAGCAAGCGAAUUUAAUUUUGAAAGAAAAACCAAAAAGAGAAAAGGGAAAAAAUCUAACCUUUGGAGAUUGAAGAUUCGAGAUCCCUAAAUGCAAUGGGUAAGAGGAGCUUGAAAUCGAAGCAAAGUUUUCUCUUUCCAACUUCUAGGGUUCGUUUCUUCAACCACCUUUGAUUCUCUCUCUCUCUCUCUCUCUCUCUCUCUCUGUAUAUCUCUCUGUCUUGUCGUUGAAGCUGGGGUGGGGCUUAAUUGCAAACUCAUCAAAUUAUACUUUUGCCUUUUCACAUUUUAACCCCCAAAAAUGUCACUUAUUCUAAAAUUGUUACUCGUAAUUUUCUGUUUAAAAAUAAUAAUACGCAUAUUAAAAUCAAAACAAGCUUUUUUUAUAUAAACCAAGAUUACUCAAAUGGUUAAUUUAUAAGUCAUAACUUAUUGUAUGAAUGUGCAUACUCAGUAUUCUUCAAUCUAGAUUAAAAAAAUACUCAAUCAACCUUCACCGGACAAACCUCACUUUUGUGGAAUGUUAUGUUUCAAUUAUGCAUACCACGUAGGCCACAACAAACUCACAAUUAAUUAAAGGUGAGAAAAAUAAGUGUCCCAAUAAAAAAACACUUUUUAUAAUGUUAUGUUUUUUUAUUAUCAAUCUGAUGAAUGUAUUUAAUCAUAGCUUAUUGUACGAAAACAGGUUUACUUUGAUUCCAAAAUUUUAAAUACACGGAUUAAAAAUCAGUGCAUGGCAAAAAGCUGCUUCCUUUUUAAUGAUUUUUUAAACCUAUUAAGAUUGCGAUGAUAAAAGGGUAAAAUGUAUCUUUAUAUAAUAAAUUAAAUAUUUAAUAUUCUGAAUUUAGUUCUUAUUUCUUAAUUCAUUAUCUUACACCUAACUUUUAUGAUUAAUGCUUUGUUUGGUUUAUGAGAGAAAAUAGGAUAAAGGAAUAUAAAAAGAAAUAGUAUAAAUAUAGAGAAAGAAAUAAGAAAAUAAAUUAAUCAUAAGAGUUGUUUGGUAUGAUAAAAACAUGAGAGAAUUAGAAGAAAGAGAACUAUAUUUAUCAAAUAGACAAAUUUACCCUUUAUAAUAAUGAAUAUAUGAUUAAGAUAAGGAUGCUAUGGUAAAUUAAAAAAAAAUCUUUCCAAUCUAACUUUUCUUCUCGUCCCACCGCUUUUAAUUUCUUUUUCUUCUCAUUCUCUUCUUCCAUGUGAGAGAAAAAGGUUCUUUCUUCUUAAACUGUCUUCGUAUUCUAUUUCUGCUACACCCUAAGAAUCUCUUCUUUUAACAGUACACAAUAUAUAAUAAAAUUAAUAUUUUUAUAUAAAAUAAAUGAGUAUAAAAUAUCUACUCAUACUGUUGAUGUUGAUUUAGGUUGUUGUCAUGUUCGCACGCCUAUUUUGUCUAUCGAAGACAUUGAUGCUCUGACAGUCAUAGUUACUAUGGAGGAAGUGACUAAAGUGGUUAUGAAUAUGAAAAUUUUCAAAGCUUCUAGUCCUGAUGGUUUCCAACCCUAAGAAGUAUUGGCAAAUUGUGGGGGUUAAAGUCUGGUCCUUGGUGCAUAAUGCUUUUACACUUGGUUUCUCUGAUAGUCGUCUCGUGGAGACUCUUGUUGUGCUUAUUUCGAAGAUUGAUAAUCCUAUUUCCUUGAAGGAGAUGAGACCUAUUAGUCUAUGUAAUGUCAUCUACAAGGUGAUAACGAAGGUGUUGGUGAAUAAACUAAGGUCGUAUCUGGAUGAUCUAGUUGGUCCGUUACAAAGUAGUUUUAUUUGUAGGAGAUGUACUUCUGAUAACAUCAUUCUUACUCAGGAAGUCAUGCAUUUUCUGCACAGAACCAAGUCGAAGAAGGGAGCUAUGGCGUUUAAGGUGGACCUUGAAAAGGCUUAUGACAAAGUCAAUUGGGAUUUCUUACAACUUACUUUGACUGAGUUUGGUUUUCCUCAGAUUUGUGUGGAUCUAAUUAUGUGGUGUGUGAGGUCCAGCAACAUGUCUAUUUUGUGGAAUGGUUCUAGAUUGGAGAAAUUUGUGCCCACUAGAGGUUUUCGUCAGGGUGACCCUAUGUCUCCGUACCUUUUCGUUCUGUGCAUGGAGAAGUUAGCCCUAUUUAUUCAGCAAAAGGUAGAUUCUGGCUGAUGGUUGCCCAUUAAACUGUCAAGGGGUGGGCCACCCCUAUCACAUCUUUUGUUCGUUGAUGAUGUUCUUCUUUUUUGUAAAGCUUCGAAGGCUCAAGUGAGGUGUAUUAAUAAUACCUUGGACGUCUUUUGUAAAGCUUCUAGUCUCAAGGUGAAUGUGGACAAGUCUAAGUUUAUGUGUUCUAGGAAUGUGCUUGUGAGUAAACGUAAUAGCUUUAUGAGUAUCUGCUCUAUGCGAGCUAUAUGUAAACUUGAUAGAUAUUUGGGUAUUCCUCUUGUGCAUGGAAGGUGCCAAGGUCUAUGUUCAACUCAAUUCUUGAGAAAAUUCAGAGGUGUAUGUCCACUUGAAAGUCUAAUCUCCUGAAUAAAUCAGGUAGGCUUUGUCUUGCCAAAUCUGUUCUUAAUUCGAUCCCUACUUAUACUAUGCAGACUAUGUGGAUUCCUUAGACCGUGUGUAAUGACAUUGCCUGAAUGACUCAUAACUUCAUCUGGGGUGGGGAUGUUCGAAGGCGCAACCUUAACCUGGUGAAGUGGGAUAUUAUUACUAAGCCCAAACAUCAUGGUGGCCUUGGUCUUCGUGAUUCUCGCUCGGUGAAUACUUCUCUCCUUGGUAAACUUUGCUAGAGCUUAUUAUCUGAUCAGAAUAAACUUUGGUGUAAUGUUUUGAGGAGUAAGUAUGUGGGUGACCUCUCGGUUUUGUUUGUUAUUCAAAAGCCUUGUGUUUCCUAUACUUGAAAAAUCAUUUUGAAGGCUAAUGCAUUGCUCAAAGAAGGCUUUGCCUAUCAUGUUGGCAGUGGUGACCAGUCUUUCUGGUAUGAUAAUUGGUGUGAGUUUGGUAAAAUUUGUAACAUGGUGGACUAUGUUCAUAUAUCUGAUACUCACCUUCGUGUUAGUGAUCUGUGUAGAGAUGAUUCUUGGGCUUUCAACAGUUUAUCAACUCUUCUUCCGCAAGAGGUUUGCCAAUUGAUAUCAGAUUGGGUUGUCCCCAGUUUCUCUUCGACUUAGGUUGGUUGGUUUUGGCAUCACCAUGCUUCUAGUAGCUUCACGGCUAAUUCUGGUUACAAUUGGCUUAAAUCUAGUGACAAUGAUGAUCUUCAUAGCUCAGAAUGGAGGUGGGUGUGGAGGUUAUUGGUUCCAGAAAAAGUGAGAUUCAUGUGUUGGCUUGCGAUUCAUAGCUCGCUCCCUACCAAUGAUCUUCGUUUUCAGAGACAUAUAUCUCCGACUUCGGUUUGUGCUCGAUGUAAUGGGUUUGUGGAAGACCUUUUCCAUACUAUUAGAGAUUGUCCUAACUCGGUCCUUCUUUGGCAUCGUCUUGGAUUUGUCCAUCCUAAUUUCUGGAGUAAUCAACCCUUCAGCAGCUGAUUGAGGUAUAAUUCUACACUCCCUAAUGGUAGUCUUUUCUUAGCAGGCAUCUGGUGGACUUGGAGGUGGAGGAAUAAUACCAUUUUGGGUACUCAGGCUUAGGAUAUCACCUAUGUGGCUGCUCGUGUCCAUCAGGACUAUAGAGAUUGGGCUUAUUCUAAUUUAGAUUAUGGUUAUGGGGAUAUCUCUAUCUCUCCGGUUCAAUGGUUUCAUCCUGCAGCUGGGCAAGUGAAGCUUAAUGUGGAUGACAGUUGUUCUAUGCAUUCCAAUAUCAUGGGUGGCGGUGGUGCUAUCCGGAAUCAUGAAGGAAAAUGGCUUCUUGGGUUUUCAUCUUGUGUUGGAGUUGGUUCUGCUGUUAGCUGAGUUCUUUGCGAUGGAACAAAGAUUGCUUUUGAGUUGGGAUGGGGGAUUUCGAUCUGUUGUGCUUGAGUGUGAUUGCUUGGAGGCUGUGCAAAUUAUUACGAAAAGUCUUGUGGUUAGAUACUAAAGGAUUUCCGAAGUGGUGAGUCGAAUACGUAAGCUAUUUGCUCGUUGCUGGGUGGUUCAGAUUAGCUUUAUUCAUAGAGAGACUAACUCAUUGGCGAACUUUAUGGCAAGGAAGUGUGCUCUUUCGGGCUCCAGUCUCAAGAUUUAGGUGACUGCUUCUGCAGGUGCGUCAGAUUUCUUAGUUUUGGAUGUCUUAGCUUAGUUUUUAUUUUUAUUUCCGUUGUACCAAAAAUAAUAUCUACCCAUAUUAGGAAAUAAAUUAUCUUAUUUCAUCACUAAAAUUAUGACAUGUCCUAUCUAAUAUUUUUCUGGAAAAAAACAUUUCUAAAAGCUAAAAAAAUAAUACACAUCAUAAUUUUAGUAAUUGGAUGACAUAACUUAUCUUAUAAUAUAAAGAUAUACCUUAUUCUCAAAAUAAAUAUUCUACACUAACAUAUAAGGAGUAAAUUAUGGAAUGACAUAUAAGAAAUAAAUUGUGCUAUGUACUUCUUGAGUGGAAGUAAUUUCUCUCGUUUUGUGCAUUAAAUGAUAUUUCUUCUUUAAUUUAUAAGUCAGCAUAAUCCAAAACAAAUUAGUUUCUUACCCAAAAGGGUGAGGUGAUACUUUUGAUAGUACAAAAAGAAUCACAAAUAAAAUACAAAUUUAUUUUGGUUUUGAGUAGCCCUUAGAUGUACAAUAUUUGUUUAAUUUCAUGCUCCUCAAAACCAAAAAAGUUUCUUCAAUAACUCAAUCAAUUCCAAAUUUACAACUUAAUAAAUUAAAGGUCAAAAGCUAAGGUAUGAUCAACAUGGGCAACCCAUAAUGUAAACGGAUAUUAUUGGUUAAAAAAAUUACCAAUCUUUAAAAAGCAAUUAAUGAAUUAACAAUGUUCAUCAUGCAAACAACAUGCAUAUAUAAAAUAACCAAGCCAAUAUACAUUUAUUUGACACCACAUAGUUGCUAGAUGAGGACAAAAAAAACCAGGUAAUAGUGUCAUCUACAAAAUACUUCUCCAUGUUAAAAGCAAUAUUGGCAGUUUGGGAAAUCCUAGAACCAGCUAAUAACAUUAUACAAAUUGAGAUCUAUUCUUCAUAAGCCAUUUAUUCCUUUUCAUUCUUCACAUCACUGAAAGAUGAGACUUACAUAGCCAAUAGCUUCAACACAAGUAGCUGAUAGCAAAACAUGGUUAAGAUCCCAGCAACUUUUUCCAUUUUGCAUAUGACCAAAUAAUCAGGAAAAGGAAUAUGCAACCUGCAGAUAUGCUCCCAACAAAGGGCCAGAAUAAAUUUUUUGUUUCAUAUAAUUCACAUGGAAUGUUCAUACCGAAAGCACCAGCAAUCAAAGUUUCAACAGCAAUGGCGAAUGAUGCAAUGGUCAGUGUCAACUGCAGCUGAAUAAGUUCGUUUCUAUGGUUAUCAAGUUGGAUGUUGACAUAGUCUUCUGUAUCAUCAAUAUACUCUCUAACCUGAAAAUCAAUAGCCAAUAAGAAGUGAGAACUACACCACUUCUAUAAAAUGAUAAUAAAAAUGAAACAACAAUCCCAGUAAGUCUCUUGUAUCAAAGUACAAAAGCACAAGUAACUGCAUCUUGGAAUCAAAUUUAGCCAACAUUUUAAAAUGAUAUAUAAAAUGGAAAUAUACAUCAGUCAAUCCAACAUCAAGGUCCAUCAAACAUUACUACUUUCCCUUCUAAUUAACCCAUCCCAUACUUAUUUCUUUUAUCAGAAAAGUGAAACUUAUUAAUGAAAUUGAAAUUUUCCCCAUCACAUACUUUGGGGGACUGAGUAGCAGUGAUGCAUCAAAAUGCCUGUCAUACCAGGUAUCUGAUACAUAUCAUAUCGGGAGCUUAGGAGCGGUUGGCCCUGGGGAGGUGCAGUAAGUGACUAAGUGCGACCGCCAUGCUCACGUUAAUAAGAGGUUCAUUUUAAAUAAAAAUAUAUCUAAUUAAACACCUUUUUUCUGAUUUAUUUUAUUAGUAUGUUUAUUUUUAUAAAUCAUAUAAUGAUUUUAUUUCAUUCUAUAAUUUUACUUUUUAAGUCAUUUGGCGAACAUGAUAACAGAGAAAAAAUAGUUAAAAUUUUAGAGCUCUUUGAAAUUUAAAAUUUGAUAAAUAGUUCUGUUGGCAAAGUUGCUGAACAUAAAGUGGAGUACCCACUAGCUACGCAACUUUCCAUAUCCCCAUACAAAACUUUGCCUGUGAUUUUUUUAAUAAAUUUAGGGCCCAUAUUUUAUCCACGCUAGGCCUCAACUAUGUCAGGACCGGCCUUGCAGGAGCUUUGAUACUUUCUAAAAAUCCAUCGCCACAAAACUAGCAUUACCACUAAUCCCUAAGCAUUAUCUCUAGAAUUAUGGUAACAAAACUUGCUACCCCUAUUCGUGCUGGAUUAAAUACAUUACUGGAAGCUUGAGAAUACCCAGGGCAAGCUCACAGUAGCAGUAGCAUCAAAUUGAAACUAGCAACAACAACCUAUUCUCAAAACAAGAGAAAAAUAAAAAGGAAGGGAGAAAGAAUCACAAUUCACAUGUCACAACAAACUUUGUCCAGACUGAGUCAUGUUAUGGAAAUCAAAUGUAUAUAUGACUUUAUCAUCUAAAAGUACUAGAGCACUUGGAUGGGAUGAUAAAAUCAAAAUCGAGUAUGACAAGUUCAACCUUCAAAGUUAGACACAGACAUGACUUCAGCAGAAUUUGGUCAUAAAAACACUUACAGACAGUAUCUUGUUACGAGUUCCAUCCAACUGCAUAAAAUAUGCUUCAAGCAACAUCUCCAGUUCCUCCACAUCAUUAUCAUCAUUGCUAGUCACAAGACUUCCACUUCUGGUAGAACCUAAUCGGCGAAGGUUAGAAAGGUUAUUUGAGACUGUGGCUCCAGAAUGGGCCUCAAAUUGCUGAUUCUGCAACCACUUCCUGGUCAAAUAUAACUGUGCCAUAUCUUCAUUGUCAUCUAACAGAUGUUCAAUUUCAUCCCGGACCUGUAACAGUGGGUCAUGCAUUUCCUAAGAAUGAUAUAACUUAUUUAUAAAACAGAGAAAUGACCUAUAGCCCUCUACUAUAGGAUAGCCUAUUACCACAAAAAAGGAAGCACAGUACAGUGGACAGAUAGAGAAAACUCAAAAAUAUCCUCAGUGACUUGAGCAACCUUGGGAAACGUGAAGACUACAAAAAUGGAUGGUGACUAUAGUAAAACUAAACUAAAAGAAACAAAGGGAAUAUAAUAAUGGGAGGAACAGCAGGAAGAAGAAUAUUGUACUUAUGCAGCAUACCUUUUGCACACGUGCCAGCAAACGUGUAAGGUUGCUCUUCAAACUUCGCACAUGUUCAAGAUUCUUGGUGCUAACGUUCCUAGCCAAUUCAUCUAGUACAGGGUAAGCACCUCUCUCAAGGUCUGCCACACUUGAAUCCAGAAAAGUACAGACAACUUCUAAAGCAAUCUCCAAAACUCGAAACUCAAAUGGAAGCUCAGCUUGCAAACCUUCAGCGGAUUCUGGUGCAGGUAACCAUUGUCUACCAAUAGAAACCUGCAUAUCAUUUUCUUGUUCAUCUGCAGGUCCAUGAAGCUUAGGUUGAUUUUUAUAUGGAAGUUGUUGCCUGAGUUGUUCAACGAAUGGAAGAACCUCCUGGCGAAGAGGAUCAAGCAAUAGCACUUCUUCAGCUGUGACUAUAGCCUUUAUAAACUCCAAAUUAACUACCAUUGCUCUCUCUCUGGCUGCAAUGAAAAUUAUGUGAUUCCAGUCCUUAUAUAAUCAUGAGAACUUCCACAUGAGGAGGAAAAGUGAAAAGUAUAAGGAGAGUAGAACCACUACAGUGCCUAUAAUUGUGAAUAAAUAUUUGAACACCAGAAGAGAAUUAGUAAACAUAGAGAUGCUGCCAAAACAAACAUAAUUUUCUUCCACAUAAGUCCAAAUGCAACUUUUUCAUGUGGCUCAGUGCACGAGGUUCUCACUUAAUGGGGUUUGGAUAAGGUAAAUAUCCACAGCCUUACCCCACAAGUGGAGAGGCUAUUUCCAGAAGUCCAAACACAACAUUAAUUUGCUACUUUGGCAAACAUAGACAUGUAAAAUGCACACAGGAAGUAUUUGAAAGAGCAUAUAGAGUUUAUUUGAGUUCUAAGAAUAUCUUAUGAUCCUCUAUAAGCUCUUUUUUCCUUACAGAGGAGGGAUGUAUGAAGAUCAAUUAUGAAUAACUUUAUCGGAAAAGCUUAGGAAAACAUGCUCUUUGUAGUUUAUUCAAAAAGAAAAAAACUUAUUGAAUAAGAAAUUCAUUAAGUUAUUUAUCCAAACACACCAUAAAAGUCUACAAACUAGUCUACCUUUUACCAUGCAUUCAUGCAACCCCCAUAUUCAUCCAAUUCCCUUCAGCACAAAAGUCACAUACCCCGAAAGCGAUUAGUUCCUUACCUAUAAGGUAAAAGAUACUCUUGGUAAUACAAAAAAAACACUCAAACAAUGCACAACACGAAUUCCUAAUACUGAAACCUCAUCUCUCAAUCCAAGUUACACAGAAUCCAUAAAGACAUAAGGGUAGGAAACACAACACAAUUUUUACCACCAACCCAAAAUUGGAAGCUGAAACAUAAUUCAACUAGUUUCCAGUAAAAUCAGAACUACAACAAAAAUUCCCACAAACCCUAAAACUCAUAAACUUCAAAAGAAGAAUUUCAAAAACCAAAAUCUCAAAGUUCAAACAUAGCUAAACAUCAUAGCACUACAAUCAACCACUCAUAGAAACCCUAAAACUCAAAUAACAAAGCCAAAAGGUUAAAAAAUCAAAAUUCAAUAAACUACCGAGGAUAUUAGAGGAGUGAGAGAAGACAGGGCCCAAAAUCCUCAAAUCCCUAGCAGGAAUCGCAGCAUGACGGAUGAUCAUAUUCUUGUCCCACUCCACCAGCUCCGAUCUUCCCGUCCGAUCAACCCGCAUCCACAACCUCGCUCCGCCGGUCUUCUUCUUCGCCUUCGUCACCGCACCGCCGCCACCGUUUUCGAAUGAGGAACCGGAAAUCGCGGGAGGCGGCGUUGCCAGCGGAGACUGCGACGGUGGCUUCUUGGUGCGGCGGCGUGGGGAUGAACGGCGAAAGGAAAAAGGACCCUUACCCAUUAUUAAAAAUAAUUAAUUAAUAAUAAUAAUAAUUAAUAUUUGAAUAUUGGGUAGUGAUAAUGGGAAUGGGAGAGAGAGGGUUCUUCUUGUUCUUCCAUAUAAUACAAAUCUCUCUCUCUCUCUCUCUCUGCGCCUUUUGUUUAGAGAAGUUAAUAUAAGAAGAAGAGUAUAAAUUAAUAUGAUAAUGAUUGAUAGAUUAAAAUAAAGUUAAUUUUAAAACAAACAGAUUUAAAUUUCACUACUUUCUGUUGUUGCUGUUAUCCUUUUCCUUCAAAAGUCAAUGUGGCAUUGACUUUUUAUUUAAUUUAUGGUAACUUUGUUAGCAUCAACCAUUUCUCUAAUGGACAACUGAAAAUUACUUUCAUUCGAGAUAAAAUAUCAAAAUUAGUCUUUUUGAGAAUUUUUAUUAAUAAAAAAAUAUGUGCAGUAACAAUGUAUGAAUUUUACACACUGAAUACAUCAUUCAUAUCUAAUUAUCUUUGACUUUUUUGUUAAAUAAAGUAAUCCAAAUGAAAUAUGGAUGAUAAAAGGGGACAAAUUAUCUACAAUUCAUCCAAAUCCUUCUAAACUAGAUCCAUCCAAAAUCAUUAUUUAAAGCUAAUGUAUAUAAUAUAAUGAAUAGUGGUGAUAAUUGAUCAUUCAAAUUCAUAUAUUAUAUCCGAUUGAUAUAUCCAUGCAUGAAAACCUAAUCUGUCUAAAAACAAUCAUUCAAAAUGACAUUAUUUGUUUUUAAUUUUAAACAAAUUCAUCCAUGAUUCUUUCUCUCACUUUUAAUCUUUUAUUAAAUUGAUAUCAAUUAUAAGAUAUGUGUAUGUAGUUAAUAUGAAAAGUUUAUCAUUAAGGAUAUAAUAUAUAUAUAAGUGUGAGAGAAAAAAUAUGCAUUGAUAGCGUAUGGAAUUUAUACAAUAUUAGUAGAUCAUCCACAAUUUAUAUUUAUCAUAAUUGAUUUUUCAAAAAGGUAAUCCAAAUGAAUGGUAGAUAAUGUAGUGAUUAUGUGUAAAUCUUUAUAAUAAUAAUGGAUAUAUUUACACAUAGAACCUUAAGUGUCACAUGCUUUAGAAUAUUCCAAUUUUUUUUAAUCUUUUUCUAAAAGUUCAAAAAAUCACUUUUUUAUAAAAUUAUUCUUUAAAAGUUUUUUUAAGUUUGAUUUUAAAAAAUGAUUUGUUGAGAUAAUAGUUUUUAAAAUAAUGAUUUUCUUCAAUAAUGUUUAGUUUCAAUAAAAAAAUCAAUUAGAUUGGAUAUUCAUCCAUCUAAAUUCAUGAAAAUGGAGUUAUGGAUGAAUUAGAUAUAAUUUAAAUGAAUUUAUAUGAAUUGACGAAUGACUUUCCAUCCAUCCAUUAGCAUCCAACUCAAAAUCUAUUCAUUUGCCAUUAUUAAUAAAUGAUGAGGUAAGUAUAUGUAAAUGUUUAAAGUGUAUAAAUAUUAUAUACGAAUCAUCAACAAUGUAAACACUGCAUAGAAAAUUUAGUAAUAGAAUUUGUUGAUCACUUAUAACUUAUAAGAUCUACAUUUUUUUGCUGGACGUUUUUCUUUAUAAAUUGAUUGGAUAUAAUUCAAUUGUGUCAAGCGGUUUUUAUUAUGAAUGUUUCUUAAGAAUUAUUAUUUUUAAGCAUAAAUUAAAGGUUGUAUGAUCCAUGAUGUUUAACAUUUAUGAACUCAACCUUAGUCUUUUGAGAGGGAAUAUAACACCACUAGUUGAAUUGCAAGGUUAACGUAACUCCAUGUCAUAGUAUAAUAACAACAAAAAAAACUAUUCUCAUCCUUAAAAAAAUUGUGUCUAAUAAUUUGACUUCCAAAAUUGAAAAAAUCAAAGUAUUUUUGGAAAAUCUAAUAUAUCUAUUAAAUUAGUCUUUGUGAUAAUUUUUUGGGAUACUUUAGUCCUUACAAUAUACUAUUUUAACAACAAUUAUACAUUCCUACUUACAAUUGUAAAUGUCAUACUAGUAAUGCAAAUGAUGAUAAUAUAAACGAGCGUUGAUUCAAGUGAUACAUGCUUGAUUUUCUUUAAGCAAAGUCUCAGGUUCGAGUCUUGUGGAUAGAAAAAAUGUCCGCUGGGAGAGAUAGCCCCACGUACUUGUGGAUGUUCUUGGUUCGGACAAGAUUACCUCUAGCACGAGGAUACCUGUGAGAAACAAAAAAAAAAUAGAUAUCAGAUAAAUAGAAAGGUAAGAGACAAAGUGAACUAAUUGAUAAACUUUACUAGAUUAUCAUCUAUAAAAAAAAUAUUUUCCGUCGAAUUAGCUCUGCUUAGCUUUCAAUUUGCCUCUGACUAUCAAAUGAAAUGUGAAUAACCCGCCUCCCCUCUUUGAAAUAAGGGGCGCUUCUGGUUCUGUCGGUGCUUAAAACAAUUUUGUCUUCUCCAUAUUACUUAUUAUUAUAUCUCUAGAGUCAAUAAUUUUAUAUGAGGAACUACUGAACUCAAUCACUUGCUGUCGUUACCCUUCAGUUUUCUAUUGAGGUCUAAGAAGUACUCAAAUUGGAUUAGUGAUCGAUUUCUAGGUUUCGUCGUAAACCUAAUUGGUUACUUCCAAUUACGUAAAUCAAUAGUUCAAACCGCACUCAAAGGUAAGACAUUUCCCAUUUUUAUAGGAACUUCUGUACCAGAAAUAAUGGUAUCUCUAAUGAUAGCCCCUCUGAGGUGUAAAAUAUAUUUUUUUUCACCAUCCGAUGAGAAAUAUUAUUUUUGUUAAGUUUGAUUAAAUGAAUAUACCAAUAGCAUAAGGAUAAAGUUAUUAAAAAGGUGAAGGCAUUGUUUCUUUGCAAAACAUAGCAUGGUAUGCAACACUCUUCAUGAUAAAAAUGAAUAAAAUGUCACUCUCGUCUUUGGUUUUAGGGUUCUUCCAUGAUAUUCCUUCUCCACUUAUUAUUACUGAUUUGGUUGAAAACAAAAUAAAGUAAACGACCACAGUGGGAGUCGAACCCACGACCUUCUGAUCCGAAGUCAGACGCGCUAAUCCACUGCGCUAUGCGGUCUUUUAUAUUCUUCAUCUGCCAAUGUACUAUAUAAUGUAUACCUAGUUCCUUAGGGUGAUUUUUUGGUACUACCUAGUACCAUGUACCAGGGUACCAGUAAAUUAACUAAUAUGUUUCGGGAUGCGUGACUGUCCCUCCCAACAAGUGUCACUCUUAUAAAUUGAAUUUUGACCUUUUGAUUAUCGUAAAUAUCUAUGGGUUGUACACAAUUAGACCCAUUCUUUGUUAGUCAAGACUUAUUUUUUUCAUUUUUUGUUGUUAUGGUUUAAUUCCGGAUUUGAACUGCAUAACUCUUCUAUGUUUCGGUUUUCAGUUUAAAGACAAAUUGCUCUCCUAUAUAAGAGUUUUAAAAUCAACAUUAUUAAUUGUUUGGAUUAAUAUAAAAAGUAUAUAGGCUUAUCACUUUAAAUAGUUCCUUCAACCAUCAACCUACUAAGGUUUAGUUAUAAAAAAUGUUAUGCAAGCAUGGAGUAUAAUAUUUGCAGUAGUAACAUGAUUUAAUGGUUUUAGUUGUUAUGGUUUAAUUCUAAAUUGGAAUGCCGGCUCUGGAAUUUAUAUUCCAAAUCAAAGACAAAAUUAUUUCCUUUAUAGGAGUAAAAUCAACAUUAUUUAGAACAACAUAAGAAGUAUAUUGGCAUAUCACUAUUGCUUCAAUCAUGAACUGUUCUCUAUUUAAUUAAGUUAUAUAAAUAUGCUUUGCAAGCAGAUUAAAAUAUCCAUAGUAGCAACAUGGUAUAAAGUUAUAUAACUACACCAUUCGCAAUAGCAACAUGGAUAAAAGGAUUUGGAUGUAAUUUGGGUUCAAAUCUUGAGAGUGUACCUUUUUUUUUUUUUGACAAAAUAUUCAUUCCUCCAUUUUGUUUGGGAGUUACUAGGAAAAGAGAGGAAGAGGGAUCAAAUGGUUAGGAAGGAAGAGGAAAAAUAAAUUAAUGAUAAUGUUAGAAUAUUUUUCAUUUUUCCUUAAAAAAAAAUGUAAUUAACAAUGAGAAAUAGAUAAUAAUAUAUAAUUAUAUAAUAUUACUAAAAAUAUUUAGGUAUUUUUGACAUUUUAUCUCCAAAAAAUCAUAAAUUGAGGAAACUUUAAAAAUAGACACAUGAAGAGUUUUGGAGAGUUUGAGAAACUCUUCAAAACAUUUCUCUCUCUUUCAUCCAACUCCCAAAUAAGGGGAGGCUUUUCAAAGUCAUCCAUUCUCUUCUUUUUUCUUCAAAAACCUCACUCCCAAACAAAGCCUCUAAGAGAAAAAGGAUUAUCAUUUAUAAGUUUUAUAUAAUGUUACUGCAUUAUCCAUCAUUUAUAUUUAAUCAUUUUAACUAUUUAUAAAAGUAAUAAAAAUGAAUUAUGGAUGGUGAUGCAUAGACUGUGUAUAAUUUUUUAUACUACGGAAGUCUACAUCUCUACAUCAUUUGGCUAAACAUAAGAAGUAUGUAUAUAAGAUAUAGGCUUAUCACUAUAUAUGGUUGAGUUAUAAAAAUAUGGUUUGCAAGGGAAGAGUAUAAUAUUGUUGUAGUAACAAGGUUCAAGUCCCAUUGUCGAUUUUUUUUUCUUUUCAAUUUUAAGAGAAAUUGCUUUCCUUUAGUAAAAUGAAAACAAUUUGGACCAACAUAAGAAGUGUAUAGGCUUAUUAUCACCAUAAAUAUUUGAUUCAGCAAUGAACCUUUUCUGUUUUGAUUUUAAAGUUUUGCUUUGCAAGGAAAUAUUAUAACAUCUGUAAUAGCAAUGUGGUUUAAUGGUCUCAUUUGUUAUGGUUAAUAUUGUUUUAUGAGAAUAAUGUAUCUCUUUAUAUCAGGAUAUAACUUAUUUUCUAUAACCAGUAAGAAUGUGACAUGUGUGCUAUUUUGUUUAUUUUAAAAAAGAUUUUUAUAGAAAAUGAUGAAACAUGACACAUGUCAUAGUUUCACUGGCAGGAGGAGAUAAUUUAUCUUCUUAUACUCCAUUCCCUUGUUUUAUUCUUAGGUUGUAGUAAAUUCUUGUUUAAGGCUUCUUUGGGAACUACAGAAGGGAGAACAGAAAAUUGGUUUUUUAUUAAAAGUAAUUUGAUUUUUAAUAACCGAAAAUCUGGUAAAAGAUUAAGAUGUGGAUUAAUUGGAAUUGGUGUAUCCAACAGAGAGUGAGAGAAGAUAUUUGAUUCCUACAAGAAACAUUAGGCCUCAAUGGCUUACAAUGGUAAAUUGGUAAUAGAAGCUACCAACCAAUGAAGGAUAAUGAAAUAGCUAGUUGAGACUAUGAGGACAUUGUUAUCUUUCUCAAAUGCUAAAAUGUUGGUCUAAUAGUUUAAGGUCCUAAAUUCUAAAUAAAUUAAAAUGUCAAAAAUUCAAUUUCUAUGAGCAAUAAUUAUUGAGAGGAACAACCAUACAUUUCAGAAAGGAUUAGUUCUUUGCCAAUAAAGUGAUAAAAUACCUCUCUUUAUACAAAAAAAAAAAAUGCUUUCAAGAUAGAAAUAUAGCUAGUUCAUUAUAAGUUAAAAAGCCAUUAAGAAAGGAUUUGGUACCUAAGUAAAGAGAUACUAGUAUGUUUUAUCUACAAAUAAUUUGAGACAUCUUCCAAAUGAUUGAUUGAGAUAGGUGUAUAGAUAAAAAAAUAUAAAGUGGGAGAUAUAAAUAAUUUGAUAAAGUUUUCAAUUUUAAGAACUAGAAAUUACACUACGUAGAAAAUGAGUAAGGAUCUUUUUCAUUAAUGAAGAGAUAAGUACAUAUUUUUCGUUUGUUUUUAAUGAUAAAAGUGUGAUUUCAUUGUAAUCAAAAGGAUAUAUAUGUAAUUUGAAGUUGUAUUUCUCUUUACUUUUUGAAGCUAUUCCAAAAUGGUGUCCCUAAUCCUGUCUCAUACCAUUUAUAUUUAAACACAUGGAUUUAAUAUUUUAAUUUUAUAAAAUAAAAUUAAAAUAAAGUGUUAUUUUUAUUUAUUGGCAAAGAGUAAUUGGAUUGGGACACAGAGACAGAGAAUGGAACUCCAAGGGAAUGAUGAUCCACUUCCCUUCCCUCUCCAUUGUAGAAAAUUUAUGUGCCAUUUCCAAGAUUAUAACACUUAUUCAAAUUCAACACCAGAAAACAAAUAAGAUGCUGGAAACCACACAAGAUUUACUUAAAUUGUCUCAGACAAGCACAUCAAAGAAACAAUCAUGAAACCAAAACCAUAAUUAAAUCUACAAGAAGGAAUUAAAUCAGCAAGUAAUGAUUCAUUCUUAAGAAAUAGUAAACAAAACAAAAAAAGGCCAAAGUGUCCAAAUAGCCAAUAUCAUAAGCAAAACUUAAACACAAGAGACAUAACAAAACAACAUAAUAAGAUAAGUAACAUAAGGUCACAACAACAUGUGACUACUUUUAACCAGUGAGUUCUUCCUCCUUGUGUGUCUCAAUGACAACAUCUGACUGAGGAUAAGCAACACAUGUAAGAACAAACCCUUCAUCUACUUGAUCAUCAUCAAGGAAGCUACCAUCAGUUUGGUCCACCUUUCCUUCCGUAACCUUACCAGCACAUGAAGAACAAGAACCAGCCCUACAAGAGUAGGGUAGGUCAAGGCCUUCUUCUUCUGCCUGGUCAAGGAUGUAUACAUCAUCAGGGCAUUCAAAUUCUUUAGGUCCGUCUGGGGUGAUGACCUUAACCUUGUAAGUAGCCAUGGCUAUAACAAGACUACGUCCACCUUUCACACCAAAAAGAGGCUCACCCAUGUUUGGGAAUGCCCUAAGGCUUGUGGCCAUUGGCUGGCUCCUAAGGAAGGAGGUGCUGCUAACCAUGGUUCCAGAGAGGGUUGGUGUAGUGGCCAUUGGUGUUGUUGCAAGAGUGGUUGGUGGAGGUAAAGAGUGGAUAGAACAACACUUGCUUGUGUUGUUUGAUGAUAAAGGGUGAGCUUGUGGAAAUGCUGUGAUUUAUUACAAUUUACAAGUUGUGUUGCAUGGAUACCCUAUCUGCCACGUGGCAGCAUGUUACACCUUGCUUUGUUAUCUCUUUAUCAUCAUGGUUACUUGGUCACUGUGGUUGGCACAAGCAUCUCCUCACAAGUUUCCAAACCCAAUAAAUUUUGAACCAUAAAAAAAUUUGAUUCACUCUCUUUUUUAUAUGGUUUGUAUAUAUAUAUGAAGGAGCUAAUAGAAAUUCCAAAAGAAGAAUAUAUCAAAUAAAUAUCAGUCCAAUUCCUUAGGAAGAAAGACCAAUAAAAAAAUCAUACAUGAAAUGAUUAAGUAAAAUUUAGAGAUCAAAGAUUCAUUAAUAAAUAUGAUUUAUGAUAGAAGAUUAUAAUGUUGUUUACUCUAUAUAACCAAUCUUGCUAAGAUAAAUAUUUGAUUGUUGUUAUUGGAUACAACGUAUUUAUCCAUUAAUGUUGUUUUCAAAAUUCCACUUCGGUCACUCGCUUGCAAUUAAGAGCAUAUAUAUUAGUAUUUCAAUUGAACUUGCAACUCAUAAUUGUCACUGCAACAGAUAAACAUUUUAAGUUGCCCAUAAGCUCAAAUCAGAAAAUGGUAAAGAAAAACUGCUAGAUUCUUCCAGCUAGUCAUUUGACAGUGUCACCAUCAUCUGCUUCAAGUGGCAUUGAAGUUAAGAUAACUUUAUUUUACUGGUUAAAAAGAUGACUUAUUAGAAACCUUGGGCAUUUUUUUAAACAACACCAUUAUUUAUCUGAUGUUUUCACUUACAAUUUUCAUAUCAAACUGAAACAUAUUAGCAAUUGUGAAAGAAGGUAGUUUACAAGGCAUAUUCUAAGAGAAAGUGAAAGAUGCCUUGCACUGAAUAUUUAUCCUUUCCCACACAAAAGGUCCACCAAAAUCAAGAGCAAGAACAAAACAGAUAAAAAAUAGUACAUAUCACAAGCAGAGCAGCAUGAACUGUAACUAAUGAAAACUAUUUUGUACCAAUUAAGUUGACAACCAUGUAAGUGAAAUUAAGUUGAUAUGAAAACUUAUUUGCUAAAACUGCAACAUAUGUGAAGGAGCAGUUUUACAUCAUGAGAUUAACACUAGUCAGUGUUCUAACUUCUUAGGUUCCAUCUAAAAUGACUGUCACUUCAAUGAUGAGAUAUUGAAAUAUUUAGAGGCAAAAGAAAAACUAACAAAGUCAAUGCAAGCAAUAAUUAAAAUGUAAACAUAAAAGGGUGUCAAGGAAGCACAUAAGGAUAUUCAAAUCUUAAUACAAAAUUCAUUUCUGAGACUUAAUCCCCUAUUAGUAGAAUGAAUAGCUAAAACCAUGUAGGGGAAUUUGACAAUAGUACUUCAAUGGGCACCUAUUUAUAAAGAGAUGAAACAGUGACCACAAGAUUCAGACAUUUUAACUAUCUAAAUUAUAAGGACAAACAAUUACAGCCUGGGGAAAAAAAUCUCAGGGCUACCCCAAUAUAGAAAAAUAAUACACCCUCAUUCUCCAAACCCUGUGAUUCAACUUGUAAAGAUUGUUAGGUUCCCCCACACACAUGGAAGUGCUCAGGUCUCACUCAUUAAACCGCCUUAGUCGCAUUUGAUGUUUCGGUAGAUCCUCCUCACAAACAAUCUUGAACCAAGAAAACCAACAGCUCCUGCACAUUUGAAGAAAAAGUUUAACUCGAGUUUAGGAAAUAAGAACAAAAGCAUUGAAGCAGGACCAUAGGAAGACGUGGGAUUUAUUCGAAACAUGAUUAAGGUAUAUACCACAUCUGCAAGAUAAAAACGGGAGCACAUCUGUUGUCCCACAGUUUGUGCCACUUCAUAUGCUAUGGGCUUGUGAUAAUUAAUUUUUAACUUAAAUAUAUUUUUUCUGACCAAUCACAAGCCCAUGGCACAUGGAGUGGCACAAACUGUGGGACAGCAGAUGUGUACCCGAUAAAAACCUACAAUCAAACUAAAGACUUACCACAUAGAAUUCCUAGUCCAAGAGAAAACAUUAAUGUGUAUCCAAAAUAGAAGCUAGUUUGGAAGAAGCCUGACAUCUUCGUCUUAACGUAGUAGUAGUAUAUUGAGUACAAAUACACAUAAACAGUUGUUGAGGCAGCUGAGAAGAAAGAAGUCCAUUGCCAGUGGUAGUUUUCAGCAUUUAACAAAAAGUAUGUCCCCACGAUUGUCACACAAACAGUAACGAUCAUAAGAAUCAGAAAAACCAAUAGCAUGAAGCCAUACACAUAGUACACCUGCUUGUCAGAAAAGAAGAAAAAUAUAUAUAUAAGCCAUUGCAGAUGUUCACUCAGCUUCCACUGACAUAUAAAUCUAUUUACUUCAAAGAUAUUAUAAAGAAAUAUUUUCUUAAUACUGCUGUGCUCUGAGCACAAGUAACCUUUCUAACCAAACCAAUAAGUACAAAGAGAAACCUUAUUACCAAAACAAGUCAGACAGUUGUAAUUCACCUUGUAAUUCCAGAAGGAAGUGAAUACGAAAUACAUUUCAAUGAAUAUGCUGCCAAAGGGUAGCAGUCCUCCCAUCAGAGAAACCACAGAGGGUGUGAGGUACCACUUCUUCUCAGGAAUGGGACGAGGAAUGGUCUUUACACGACAGGGAUUGUUUGGAGCGCCACUCCAGUUUCUGCCAACAACUGUUCCAAGAAGUGCUAGAGGGAAAGAGAUGAAAGCCCAAAUGACAAAAACAACUACCAUUGUGCCAAAUGGGAUAGCUGCUAGAGACCCGUAGAAUAUAGCAAUUGUGUUUAAGAAAAAUCCAAUUCCAAAGCACAGGAAUGGGAACAGAGAAGCAGUAAGGAUCAUGGAUUUAAUCCAGCUUUUACCUAACAAAGAGUUAAAAUGUUUAAUAACUUUCGAAGACAAAAAAAGAGAAGGCUGAGACAAAGCCAGCCAAACAAACUUCAGCAACUUCAAUGAAAUUCUUACCCCCAUUGCGGGAGUACAUUCCCCCACUCACAUAACCAGAAAUGAAUGAUGUAAGAGCAUAACAGACAAUGAAGGUUGUGACAAUUGCUCCUCUCCUGAGAUACAAAUGGAUAUUGGAAACAAAUUACAUGACAAUUAACGAAAACAGAACAAUGAAUAAGUGGCUGAGAUAUGCAACACAUAAAUGGGUAUUGGAAAAUUUUACAUGACAACGAAUGAAAACUAGAACAGUGAAUCAGUAGCUGAGAUAUGCAAGCAGCAAAAGCUAUGCACAUAUUACAUCAAGAAAAACUUGCAUACAACCUCUCACUACCAUAAAUAUCAAUAUCCAGAUUAAUGUUACAGUCAGUUUAAGGUUAUAAACAUACCCGAUAUACAGCAUACCAAUAAUAGCCAACAAGAUGACAAGAAGAACCAGCAAUGCUAGCUGAGCACCAGUACCAACAACAGCUGAAAGAACAACUAAAUAGCGAGGAGGCCGAAAAACAUCACCAUGCACAAGUUUCCAACCAGAUUCUUCACUAACAUCUCUCUCCUGUAAGCAUGUAAGUAUUGACCAAAAUUUGACAAUUAGAACUGAAACAAUUCUCUAGAAGAAAGAAUCCAUAUUCCAUAAAUAAAUAAGAAAGGAUAAAAGUCAAGAAGCCAUCACCAGACUUUCCAAAUCAUCAUCCUCCCGAGCAUAUUUUGCAUAGUCAUUUCUCAGAGUUCGCAUUAAUAUCAUUGACACCAAUCCAGUAAGGAAGAUGACCAUCAUGAAAGAGUUAAAAAUGGAGAACCAAUGGAUCUGGAAAAGGCCAUAGAAGCAAAUUACUCAGGGUGUCAGCGACGGAUCUAAGGUAGGAUCCACUUGGAUGAACACAUAAAAGUUAACAUAUCAUAAACACCAUUUAAAUCUUGAAAACAGCUGUCAGCAUUUAUUUUAACCUGAUGCUCAAAGAAAGGAUAGUCAAGGUAGACAUCAAAGCGGUGUCUGAAAGUGACAUUAGUAGGAAUCCAUUUGACAGAAUAUGUCAAGUCCAAAUGUUUUCCUGCUUCCAAAGGCUUUGGAAUAUCCUGAGUGAGAUUAACAUGAAUGAUCUGCAAUAAAAAAAGAUGUAGAAAUGAAACCUCUUGGAUCUAAAAAACCCUCAUAUAGACAGCAAUAAAUUUGAAUAACUUCUGACCUGAUCUUUAUUGUAUUUAACAAUAAUGUUCUUGUGUGUGUAAAGGACAUGCUUGCCACUAUCACUAUUCUUAUCAGGAUGUAGCUCACCAACAUAUCCUUAAACAUGAAUAAAAGAAUCUUUGUCAAUGAUCAAAAAAUGAAAUGCAAAAUCAUAUCAAAUAAAGAAAGAAAGAGGCAGUUCUAGACAUACCCCACAAAGGAAGAUCAUCUGAACUCGUGUUUAGCGCAUCACAACCAAAAGAAAUAACCAAGCAAAUAACAAACGAAAGUUAGUUUGUUCAGAAAAAGGAAGGAAAGGAUAACCAUGACAUGUUAAUUAUUAAAUAAAAACAAUUGACAGAAAUCUGCAGAAAAUUUGCUCAGUCACCAUAUUACAAUAAACUGAAUCAGGACGAGAUAAGAUUUUGAUUAUCUAACAUUCAAUUAUUGGAAAAUGCUUAAGAAAUUACAACAAGCAUAAUUUUUAAUUUCAUGUUUCUUUCAGUUCUACAGAUUAUAGGUGUAUAACAUAGUAAACUAGCAGACAUUAAGGUAUUCAAGAAUACUUCAAAAACAACUUCACAUAAAGACUUCAUUCGCAACGUCAUAUUCUUUUAGCUUCAGUGACUAUUGACUAUAAAUAUCACAAAAUACUCAGCCCGAUGGAUCCUCUGGUCAUAGUAAUUAUAGGUUCAGAAUGCAUCUCCUUUCAAGAAGUACAAUGCCUAAACAUAUGAUAAAAGUCAUCAUGCAUACAUCAACAAUCACACACAUAAUGAAAAUAACAAUGAAACUAGAUAAUUAUUUCCCAAUUGACAUAAAUAACCCGAACAUGUAAUGUAAAUGUCUAUUUUUAAUCAAGCUGAUCAGUCUUGGUUGCAAAGGAACGUAGGGGGAGAAUGUCCAUAAUUUCAAUUAGCCGUUGACUACCUGAAGCCAAGCAAGACAUGCUAUAAACAAAAAACAAAAAUCUGCAACCUUUUAACAUUUAUUGCAAGUGCAAUCAUUCUAUGAGUUCUCAAAAUAAUAAGUAAAAGAAACAAUGAAAAACAUACCCACGAAGAAUUCAAACCAAUAAUUAUUCUCUAUUGCAUCCUUGAACUGUUUCACCUUUGCCUCAUCGAGAGCUACCUGGCAAAAGACAGUUUUAUCCACAUUUCCUGAAAUUAAGAGUAUCCAUUAAACACAUGUUGGAUACUGAAAUUUUUUGUAUGAAGUUAAUAAUACAACAGAAGUCUUCAUACUUUGGAACUUGAUCUCAACUUGACUAUCAAUGAGUUCAUUGCCACCAAGCACCUCACCAAGACCACCCCAUUUGUGUGCAGCCUCAACACUACUAGAUGGAUGACAAAAAGGGAGGCUGUAAUAGUUGUAAGUUUCUUGUGGGUUGUUAUACGGACCAACUUUGUUCACCCAAAGGGUAACUGGGUCAUCUUGUUGAUACUGCAAUAAAAAUACAUCCUUUUAAGAUAGAACCAUGCACCACCUGAAAGAUGCAUGACAUAGUGGAUUUGCAAAGCAUAACUUGAAGCUCAACAUUUUAAGGACCCUUCUAUUUCAGCUUUUAAAAAAAUGCUUUUUUUAUUUAAUAAAUCACAUCUCACACUUUCUUUUGCUUAGACUUUUGCUAAAAAUGCAAAAUCUACACACAAAAAAUGAAAUGCACUUUUAUAAGGAAAACAAAUUGACACAUUUACGUAAAAAGCUUAAUUGAGCGCUUAUUGAAUGAACAUCCUUGGAAUAAACUAAAAAGAGCUUAUUUUCAUAAACUUCUCUAAUAAGCAUAUGGAAAGAAGCACUAGAAAGGUCGAAAGAUAUUCUCAUGGGCUUAAUGAAACUAAACUGGUUUCCAUGCGCUCUUCCAAAUGCCCCUAUCUAGCUUUUCUAAAAUAACCCCUAAUUUACUUUUAAAAGAGAAACCACUAACAAAUUUUAAUUUUCUUAUAAUUGAAUCUAAAUAUGAAACAGCUUUUGAUUUACAUAAAAGCUAUAUAGCAAAAUCCCUCUUUCUAAUCCUAAACAAACAUGCCCUUUCAACAAAUAUAUAAUUAAAUAAAACAAUUGGUAUCCUAGGUCAAAAGAACCUAAAUUGAAUUUCAUAAACAAACAAAAAAACUAAGCAUUGAACCACCUACAUUGUACACCAACGUGAGCACAACAAAACCAUAUAACAUAGAAACCCAGUUGAGAUCUAACACUAAAAACCCAAACUUUUUCAUUCAUAGACAAACCCAUCACUCAUAAUUCAAAAAAAAAUAUGAUAGAUCGAAAUCCCAAUUGAGAAAAUAAAACGCAGAUCGAAAGAAGGGUUUGGAAAAUAAGGAACAUUAAAUUACCUUAUGAUCUGAUUCAGAAGCAGAGACCAAAGUUAAGAAGAGGAAGAAGAAGAGAAAAAGAGAUCUGGAUUCGAAUGACAUGGCAGUGAAGGGUAGAGUGAGAUCGAUCUCAGAUUGAAACCGAAGUGUGGGUAAGAGGGGAAUAGAAAGAGAACACAAUAGAGAGAGACUAAUAAAAAUAGUGUUAUUAUUAAAUUAUUAUAUUCUUAUUCUAUUAUUAUCCUUAUUAUUAUUCACUUUGCUGGUAUUGAAAGUCAGAAUGAAAAAGGUGUACAAUUCAUUUCACCAUACAAAAGCAAUUCUAAUAAAAGAUCAUCAUGUCCAAAAAAAAAUUAUUUUUAUAUCUUUAGUUAAUCAAAUUUUAACAAAUAAUAUAAAAAUGUUAUUAUAAUAUUUUUAUAAUUGAGUUGGACAUUGAACGAGAUAGAUAAAUUUUUUUCACGCUAGACAUAUGAUUUUCAUUUCACACAAAUUUCCUUCUUGAGUUCUUGUCUAGGGCUAUCUAUUUAACUAUGUCCAUUUUCUCCAUACUUUAUGGGCAUUCUUCAGAUUUUUGAACCUCAUACACUUUUGUAAGGCUAAAUAUUAUUAUGGUUCUGUUUAUACUUUAUAGUUAAUUUUUAUUUUAGUCAUUGUGUUUUUAAAGUUUUUACUUUUUAGUUCAUGUAUUUUGUUAGCUUUGAUUUUAGAUUUCAUUAUUAACAUGGAUAAAAUAUGAUAAUAUGGACGAAUUCUUAAAUACAAAAAAAAAAUAAAGUUUACGAUGAUAACUAAAAUAAAAGUCCACUAAAAAUACAAGGACUAAAAGCUUUAAAAAAUAAAUCAAAAUCAAAAUAAAUAUAAAGUAGUCACCACUCACCACAAAUCACACUUAAGUCAUUUGUUAUUCUUUUUACCUCUUCUUUUCACCAUUUUGUUUUGUAUGUAAAAAUUAUUGAACAUGUUUGAUACAAAUUAUAUUUUUAGUUUUAGUUUAUAAACUAUCAUAUAAUAAACCUUAUUACGCAUCCUCAUAACCUCAGCCCAGAAAAUAGACUUGAAUAAUUUAAAAAAUUGCCCGCUUUUGGUUCUUAUCUUAGACAAUAUAUUUAAAAAAUUCACAAGUUUUAUAUUUUUAGUUCUUAAAUAAAACUUGCCCAGUUGGUUCCUAUCUUAGACACUAGGCUUGCAGAGAAUCUCAACAAACUUAACAUAAAUUCUUAAGCGAUAAAUUAAAUUUUUGGUUUACUUUUUUCUUAGGACUUGUUUGGAAGUGAAUUUUGGAAGGGAAAGAGGAAGCUUAAGAGUCAUGAAAUGCACUUGUGAGAUGACUCUCAAGCCUUCAAUUUUUCUUCAUUCUCCUCCAAAAUUCAACUCUUAAACAAGUCAUGGCUUGAGUUUUGCCGGCAUAAAAUUCAGAUGUGACAGUAUUAUAAUUUAUAAGUUCUAGCUCUUCCUUGAAUUGCACAUUUUAGUUGAUAUUGUUAUUUUACAAGAGUUAUAAUAGUCACAAUACUAUAACUUAUAAGUGCAAGGUCUUUGUUUUCACUUUUCACCACUCUGAAUAUCAUGUGGUUGGUCUUUAAAACAAAGGGACAUGAAUUUGAGAACAUAAUUCCACAUCAUUUGAUUGGGACAUAGUUUGGCAUAUCUUACAUAAUUUGCCCUUAGGUCUCUUUAAUUAAUAAAACUCUUACACAACAGCAAACUACUUUACACACUUCUAUAUACAAAUUUGUGUUACCUAUAUACGUACUUACCAAUAAUAUCAUAUGUUAUCAAUCAAAUAUUCAUACCAUGGUCCAUGGACACUAACUGAUAUAGUGGCAGCCACAAUCAAAAUUUCAGCACCACUCACUACCAUUUCAGUGAGAACAGCAGCCCCAACUUUCCUCAGAGCCAUUUCUGCAAUUUUCUUUCCGAUGGCCCCACUUCCUCCGAGUACGACUCCACGCAAAGCUGAAUAGACAGCAUUAAACACCCUCUCAAACACAGCAUCACCGGCUUGUAAGCUCUUUCCUAACAUCCUGGCAAUAACAAUCUUCCUUGAUUGAAGUUUUUCUGUAUCCAUGACUUCAUCGCCAAUUGCAGACACAUUGCAAAUCACUUCAACGAUAUUGUUAGUAUCAGCAUCUUUAAAGCGGUCUAGCAGUUCAAUGAGUUGUUCAGCGCACUUGGACACUACAAUUUCCUUAUCCACUGGGCUAGCUACUGCAUUAUUUUCACUCAGGAGAAUCUGGCGGCAUAUAAGAAUGCUGCAAUUCCAAAAACCAGAUAAAAUUGUUAGAUAUACAUUCAUGCACACAUUUUAAAUUACCUUGAAAGAAGUACCAUUUCCCAAACAAUUAUUCACAUAAGACGUGAUAACCCCUGGACAGUGGACACAAAUAUCACAGCACUCUUACCUGGUACAAAUCACAAUAAUCUUCUGAAUUUGAGCCUGGAUAGACCUCAACCUGGAGAAGUUAAGAAAUAGAGUUUCUGGCAGAUCUUCUUUGGUCAAACCAGAUAUACCAGUUACUAAUUUUAGCAAACUAAGCCUCACAACUAGAUCAACUUGUUCUCCUUUGCAUUCUGGCUGCUGAUUACCUGAGCAAAUAAUAUAACAUACAUGCGUUGUUAAAACAAGUAUCUGCCUCAAAACCUGUAACGAUGCAAGUAUAAGAAUCACAAAUUCAAUGUUUCGUAAAAUUUGAACCUGAAGCAUUUCCACCAUCAGUGGAAGAGGCCAUUUCACUGCCAGUUGUUUUAAGGAGAAUAUUUCCUCCAGUUCUGAGAGUGGUUGAAGGGAGCCAAUCUUGGGAUGAACUAUCAUUGUUGGCCAAAGCUGGGGAGAAACUAAUGUGUUCUUCCCAUUCCUGAUCUUUGUGAUUCAUAACAGAUGAAAGGCAUCUCAGUGUUGAGGACAGUGACACAUUGGCAUUUGAUGGAGAUCCAUAUCGGUUAGCAAAGGCAUUCCUAAGGUAAUCCAGACCAGCAGGCCCCUUUACUAAAGGCUCCAUUAAUCUUAUGUGUGCCUUGCUUAUCUCUUUCUUAAGAGUCUGCCGGAAGAAUUUAUUGUGUCACAAAAUAUAAAACCAAGUAAAUAAAUAUUUACAAGAAAACUUCCUAAAUGACCAAUUAAGCAAAUAGAACAACCAAUAAAGUAAAGGUAUUGAAACAAACCUGAAUCUGUUCUAAGACAAAUUGCAAACCUUUGACCAAGGUCAUAACACAUGAAUUGUUUGACUCAUCUCCAGAUUGACACAUUUCACUCAACUGUGAAAAUAAUUUCUGGUGUGUUGCCUUCAUAGUCUCCUCAGUGGCUGGAGCAGAGAGCUUCUGCAAAGUGACUAGAGAAAACUCUAGAAUUUUUCCGAGGUAAUCGACAUCCAGAUUACCCGAUAUGAGCACCUUUAGAAAUGAAUAAGAAAGAUAAAUAUCAGAAUCAGAAAAGGAUACAUAAGAGUUGAUAUGUAAAUGCUGCAUUUGCAUAUAUUAGUCAUCACAUACAAGAGAAUAUAACUGGCUGCUACCUGAGAAAGAAUUUUUAGAUCAAUUGCAGCAAAAAUAUCUUCUUUCCAGCUUUGUGGAGCCACAUCACAAAUUUCAUCCCUAACCUCUCCCAUGAGCUGAACAAUCAAAUCAUAGUUGGGCUGGUUCUGCCUAACUGAUUCUAAGAUAACAUCCCAAAAAGCCUUUUCCAUUGUUUGUUUUAUUUUCUGCUGAAGGUAAAAGGUAAAUGAAUAAGAAUUAAAAAAAUUAUAGAUCAUAGGCCCUUAUCAGCUUAAUAAAAUAGACAGCCAUGUCAUGUAGGAAUAAUAACAAAGGCACAAAGCAUGAGCAGGUCAAUGUCAAAGGCCAGAGUAUACAUAUUUUCAUACAAAAUCAGCCAUCAAUGAUAACUUUUUAUAGAGAUGUACUGACUACUGACCUCAACGCCAUCCUGAAUGUGAUCAGAGACACCAAAGCCAUCAGAGAAACUAUGUUGAUGCUCAUGGAGAAAUUCAUUAACUAGAACUUCAUUUUCUGUCACUAACUUUUCAGAGGAAGAAGCCAUCAGACUGUCUGAACUGGUUCUAGGUCCAGAGGAGCUGGACCCUGCAGAGAACUGAGUAUUGGUCUCCUUAAAUAGUGAGCGAACUACAGUGCUUGUACUUUGACUACUAUCAUCUGAAAUGUUUCUUUCACUUGAGCUGGCAAGAGUAGAGAGAGGAGAUACGUUUGUUGGGUUUACCAAUAUAGACACACUUGUAGAUGGGCUUCCACUUUGCUUCACUCUAUAGUACUUAGAUCGUGUUUCAGAUAGUGCACAUUCCAUAUGCUCAAUCCCAGCAUCUCCACUGAGCUGCUGCACCUUUUCUCUCAAAAGUCUUUGAUCUUUAAUAACCUACAAUGAAAGGCAAAAACAAUAUAUUUGUCCAGACGUUAGAUUCUUGACUGAUCUUCUUACAUCUACAUCAUGAAAAGAAGGACAAGGCUAAAGCUUACUUUAUUGUAGCAAUAAUAAAGAAGUUAAAGCAUAUAUCCAAAUUGAAAUGCAUGAACAUCCAAAUAACUGUAAAUUUGCAUCAUGACACAUUUGUUGGAGAAGGGAAAAGUAGUGGUAAUGGUUACUCAUUGCAAGAGGCAGAUUCUGUACACAUCUGAAAAUUUCAAUAAGCCGUAGACACUUUCUAAAGCCAUUAAUGUUCAAGCUUCUAUGAUAUUGCAAAACAGUUAAUCAAUAAUGGGUAACAUUUAAAGUCAGAACUCACAGCUAUUGACAUGUACAAUUACCUUACGUCGAAUAGCUUUCAAAUCAUCACUGAGUUGACCACUAUCUCCUUCUGCAGUUAACUUGCAUGUUCGAAUCAUAGAAGCCUCCAGCUGGCAAGCUGCUCUAACCAGAUCCUCCUCCAGUGAUUGAGCAUCUUUCACCUUCCAGACCACAAAACAGUUCAAGUACGUGUACCAUGCUUUAUCAAAAGCAACAAGCUGAGACCUGAAGGUAACACUCUUUAUUACUGCUGAGCCAGACUCUUGAUCAGAACACUGUAUCUGUCCUAUAGGCCCAUCUAAUAUAACCUUUAUCAUCAACUCAAAUAUCUGGACGAAAUCUUGUGCAGACCUAGCAAGAGCAAUCUCGUGUUCUCCCUUUCUGCUGAAAACUGCAUCUGGAUGACCCAAUAUCAUAUAAGCACAAAAAACAACUCUCAGUGGAUACCUUGAUAACCAAGACCCCCUGACUGAAACUACUUUUUUUGUCUCCCAGGACCUUACAGAACUAGCAGGAGAAGGCCUUUUCUUUUGGGAAGCAACCCGUUUAAGAAGGUGAUCAAUGUUAUCCAAGCUAGACAAGUGACUAGCAGGAGCAACUUCUCUAGACACUUUAAGGCGACUCUCAAUCCGGUCAAGUAAAGCUUUCAAAGUUUGAUGCGUAGAAGCUGAUUCAACCAGAAGAGCAAGCUGCUCAAAAGGCAUUGACUUGACAGAUUUCUCAUUGAUCCCCAGUGUAUCAUAUGCCUUUGCCAACUCAAAGGUGGUUCUCUUCUGCCUUAGAAACUCCCUCCAGUAUCUACAAAACACAAUUAGGUUAGGAAAAGAACUAAGUAACAUCUAGUAAAGUUGAAGGAAAAACGAAAUAAAAUAAUACAACAAAGCAAGAUAACAUCCAUAGCAUAUGAUACAACCAGAAAGCAAUUCAAGACAGGAUGUAUACACUGUAAUUCAGUUUCUAGAGUUAUAAAUUCUGUGAACAGAAAAAACAUUUUUUCUUCAAAUACUAAUUUACAAAAUACUAUUUAGCUUAGACCCUUCUCCAUCAUGACUACAACUGAGUAAGCAGUAGAAGCUAGCAAAACUUCUAAAAUAUUGCAAAAGAAAUAUCCUAAUUUAUAAAUGCAAAUAACCUUGCCAGUUUUAUGGAAAGAAGUUCUGCUGGCUUCCUUGGCAAACUAUCCCAGUUAUCUUGUGCAUGACCAUGCAGCCUUCCCUUCUGCCUGGGACAUUGAGCUCUUUGUAUUUGUGCCUAAUUAAUAUGAAAUUGCAAGGCAUUAGUGAUGUAACAAAAAUCUACCAAGCACCCUUGGAAACUUUUAGGAUGGUGAAAAAACAUACAAAUAACUUCAAUAAACACCAUACCCUCUGUAAUCGAUCUUCAAUUGUGUCCUUUAUUUUCAUUCUCUCAAUUUCACCCGCAUAAGAUACAGAAUUUGCCAAAGCACGUGCCCUCUUCUUCCCAGCCUCCAGAAACUCAAGUCGUUUUCUUUCAGCAGCAGCUCGUUUUUGGUGAAUUGCAGCACGCACACACUCCUUAUAUUUGCUUUCUCGAGCCAUCCUUUGCUUCAAUGAUUGAGAUGACCUUUCUCUAAGGAAGGCACUUCUUUGUCUUCGAGCUUUGAGGAUAAGCGUCCUAUUAGCUUCAGCCUGCUGAACACGUGAUUCCAUCUUCGUCUCAAGCUUCACACGUUCAUUCUUGUAACGCAUCUCUAAUCCAGUUUUUGCUGCUUUCCGCGAUUCAUCCAACCUUGCUAAGCGCAUAUGGGACUUCUCCAAAAUGAGUAACCUGUCAGGUAGACAUUAAAUUAGCACAAUGGAACAGGUUAAGCAUCAUUCACAUAAACUAUUUAUAUCCGUUUCUGGCAAGAAGAGCUCUUUCAUAAAUGGAGUAUAUUUUAAUUACUUUCACUAUAAAAAUUCCAGAAAGAAGUGUGUAAGACAGUGUGUCUCAUUCAAAAACAUAAAAUGCUAACAAAAAAGAAUUCAUUAGGAGUAAUACGAGAGGUAUAUCAGUCAGACUAUCAAAGAGAAGGAUCGUUAUUUUUAAAUUCAAGAUAGUUAAGUUUAUACAUUAAACUAAUGCCACUGAGUACUAACUACAUGCUGGUCAUAUUUGGAGUAAUUAAUUUUCCCAAAUCGAAAUAGUUGGGAAAGACAAGAACAUACUGACAAUGACUCAAUGAGUAAUGCAAUUCCAGUGAGGACACCAAAAAUAAAACAAAGUAAAUGCCAGUAUGCCACAUAUAAUGUCGUAAUGUUCUUGCAGUUUAAAAAUACUGGUAAAGCCACUAGGAGUCUAGGAUUAAGCAAGUGGUGAGGAGUUUGAGUAGUUUGCACAAGAUUGUAGGCUCAAACCUCAGUGCCAUCAUUGUAACAAAAAACUUAAACAUAGGCAAUACAUAUAGCAUGGAACUCGCUAUAGUAUCAAAAUAGGAAAAUUUCCUAAUUUGGCAUUACUACUUCAAAACUUUACGCCAAAAACAAGCAACGUCCCCAGAAUCCAAAAUGCUGCUUUUAGUAGCAGUUAAAAUCUGACCAAGAAAGUUAAAUUGAUAAACAAAAGGAUCUACAGAAUAGGCUGGACCGCUGGAGCAACAUAAAAGCAGCCGUUGCGUUUUGGAAACAACAUAAAGCAACAUGUUCAUACUUGUUAAAAAAAUACAUGAUAGUAAGUCACAACAAAACAACCAAGCAGGCAAGUAUUCACCUCUUCUGUUCAGCAGCUCGCAUCUUAGCUUCAAUUGGAUGGCCAUGAUCUUCCUCCUGAGAUGAACACCUCGGGGGGCUUCUUAGAAAGGCGCGUGCCUUGCUUGACAGCUUCUCAUAGUAUUUCUGCAUUCGGAAAUGGCAUAUCUACAUAAAUAUUCUUCUACACAAACACAGUUUUUUAAAGUUUUUGGUUUCUGGAAAAUUGAGAAUGUACUUGCUCAGUAGUUCACACCAGUAAGGACUAAGAUGAAUCGAAUUUGAAUAAUUUGAACAUGUUUAGAUUAGCUUAUUUUGAGUCCAAAUUAAUUUGUAAUAAAAUAUUGAGAAAAAAAUUGAUUAACAAAAUGACAAAGUGAUAAAAUUUACACAUACUUUAAAUCAAUAAGUAAAUUAUGAACGAGGAACAUUUUCAAAGACAACUACUCAAAUUUCAUUGGAAAAAACGAAUAAUUUAACCAAUCAAGCAGUUUCUAGAGAAAUGGUGAGAGAGAAGAAGAAGAAGAAGAAGAAGAAGAAACCUCUCUGCGAAGAUCAGCUUCCCUGAGCUUAGUUUCGAUCUCCUCAACAGUAACAAGGGACUUGCAAUCUACAUUAACAAGCCGUUGCCGGAGCCUCGUUGGUGGCAUCGCCGGGGGCAGCUCGGGAUCAGCAUUUCCGGCCGGGAACUCCAUCGCAAUGCCGCCUCCGGCGGAUCUACACGCCGGUAACUCCGCUCCAGUUGGCAUAGUGAGAAAAAAUAGGACGGCGUAUGAAGGCGUAAAAUAAUUGCAAAUCUGAAAAAGUGAAGACAACAGAGAAUGAUCGCUUCUUUUUCUGCUAUUUUUCCCUCUCAAUUAAACUGUUUUAAACUUGAGUAUGGUUCAAUUCUAGAGAGAGGUUAACAUGUUGUUUCAUUUUUUUUUAUUGUAAGGUUGUUUUAAUUUUCAGCAUCAAAGAAUGAUAUUUUUUUAUGGUGUGAUUGGUCUCUACCAAAUUGUUACUUUUUAUUCUAGUCAUUCAAAAAAUAUGAAUUUAUUGACAUUGGAGUAGUCAUGACAUGUAAUUACUUUGAGUAGGACGUAAGGAUGGCAACAGGCACUAGCGGACGCGUAAUAUUUACGGGUACCCGUGUGGGUAACGGGUAUUUGGUAUUUGUGGUAUCCAAUGAGUUUUUAAUUUUAAUUAUAAAUUUAUAUAAUUUAUAAUAAUCGAUAUGUAAAAAUAAUUGUUACGUGAGUAGUAUGAUAUUUAUAUGAUAAAUUUAUGAUCAUAGUCAAAUAUGUAUAAUUUAUUGUAAAAUAAUAAUAAAGUAUAUGAUAUAUAGUCUUAAAAUAAUAAUAAACAUAUAUAAAAAUUUAACUACAAAUUAAAUACAUAAAUUUGCGGGUACCCGCGGAACGGGUAUCACAAAACUCACUCCCGCUCAUAAGCUAUUAUUGCAGGUACCCACGGGUCGGGUUUUUUUGUCAUCCCUAGCUGGAUUGUUUCUUAUAUUCAUCAUUUCACCCUAUAUUUCAAUCAAAUAAUAUUAUCUUACAUAUUCGUCUAUAUCAUUAAAAAAGUAAUCACAAGUCAUUGGUCUAAUGGUGUAAGGCUCCAUAAGAUCCUCAAGGUUAAGGGUUCGAUUUCUCUGAGCGACAUUUAUUGGGAGAGACAUCCAUGAACCCAAAAGAGAUUAAUUCCUUAUCCAAAAAGGUGAGUGAAUACAUUUGGUAAUACCAAAAAAAGUUAUGGUUUAUUUAUUAGUAAUUCAUCUAUGCAUGACAUAUUUUACUUUCUUGUGGGUAGAAAGUUUUAGUAGAAUAAAAUAUGGAUACACUAUUUUAAUGUCCAUUAAAAAGAAUUAUUUUAGUCAUAUCGAAUUCAAUUUAUUAUAUCGAAUUCAAGUUGUAGAUCAUUUAUUGUAUUCACCCUAAUAGGGGUGACAAUAUGGGUCAGCCCGGCCUGGCCCGCCUUUGGCCCGUCAGAAUAUGGGUUGGUCUGGCCCAUCCCUUAUUGUUAAAAGGGCUUAAAAUGUCAGUCCGCCCCAUAUUUGGCAGAGCUGGCAGGCCGGUGGGCUGGCCCGUUUUUGUUUUUGUUUUUCAAAACACACAUUAAAGCUUUGAGACAAAAAUAAAUAAUUCAAACAAUUCAUAAAUGUCUUUUAAAACAAAAAAUCACAAACAAAAGACACAAUCUCAUAAUAACAUAUUGCAUUAGUACAAAACUUGUAAAUUCUAAACAAUAAACUACCAUAAUUUUAAACUUUUAGACUUCCAGUUCACAAUAGAGCUUAUAACUCCUAAAUUUUAAAAAUGUAUAAAAAUCAUAACUAUUAUAUUAUAAAUCAAUCACAAUAAAAUAUAUAUGUUACUCAAUUUAAUUUGAAUUCGACUACAUUAAAAAUAUAAAUUGAAACUCAGUCGAAUUCAAUUAAUUUUCCAAAAGGAAUCAAAAUCAGUAGUUCUAUUUGAGUUUCCAAUUUUCCAUUUCAAUUAAUUAAAUGUUUAAAUUUGAUUCAAACACCCCUAAUUGUCAGUGAAACUUCACCUCUAUCUCAUAACAAGUACAAUAAUUGGAUAAUAGUGAAGAUAAUAGAUAACUACAUAAUGUGAUAUUAAAUGUUCAUUUUACAAAGAGAGAAGAGAAUUAUAUGCUUAAGCAUCCAAACAUAAGUUAAAAUUAUAAAAGUUUAAUCUUAAUUGCAAUGAGCAACAUGAUAUACAAAUGAACUUUAAUCUUAAUGUUGGCUCGUCGGGCCAGCCCGAACCCGACCCUCCAUGGCCCGUCUAAAAAACGGGCUUCCAAAAUGGGUUGAAUACGGGCUUUUGGGCUAAAACCCUCAGCCCGACCUGCUAAAAACACAUAUCCAAACGGGCUGGCCCUUCGGGCCAAGCCCAUUUUGCCAUCCCUACACCAUAGUGAUGGAUUCAGGACCCAGGGCACAUGGUGCAAAUUCCAUUGACGACAAUGUUAUUAAAUUCGGCUCAAAUUGACUGAUCUAACCUAGACCAUAUAUCUAACUAGUUUGAGUCGCUCUUUUGAUUGGUCAUGAACCAUAAUUUAUAUGAAUCAAAGACUCGGCUAUUUUACAUAUAAAAUCAGUGACACAAUUGGUCGAGUCAAUCAAAUCAAUAAUUUAUUUUUAAGAAAAGUUGAAAAUGACAACCUCCUAAAAGGAAAAAAGAAUGUUGACACAUAAAAAGAAUGUUGCAUUAUUUAAACCAAAUCAUAUCUCAUUCCAUAUCUCGCACCAAUGAUAUUGAAGUUAAAACAGAAAGAAAAAACAAUAAAUAUUUAAAAAAAUUAAUUGACAUGAUAUAUUUUCAAUUAAUAUGAGACAAAAUUUGAUACAUAGUUUAGAACAACAUACCAUUCUUCCUUACUCAGACCUAUUGUACCACUAGGAUGGUCUAUGUUUAUGGUAAUGCCAGUAGAUUCACAUGUGCCUAGAUCAAUUCUUUUCUAUGCCACCAAACUAUGUGUGACUGACACUGUUGGAACAUGGUUUGUUGAAAAUAAUGAGUGAGAAUUUUUAGGUGUGAAAUAUAAAAAACAUCCAAGUCCCACAUAGGAGAGUUUUGAAAAAACAACUCUCAAGUCCCACAUUGAAGAGUUUUGAAAAAAAAAACUUCUCCCUUCAUAUUUUCUUGCCCCAAGUUGAAUGCGCUUUCAUUCAACUUUUUCUUUCUCCCUCAUAUUUUCUGCCGAUGCAUUUCCGGCAAACUUCUCCCUCUUUCUUUUCGUGGCACUAAGAAAUGGCACAGGUAGUCAUAUUGUGGGAAUUUCGAGAACUGACACUGGUAGUCAAUAUUGUAAGAAAAAAUUGGCACAAUUAGCCAUAUUUUGGGAGUUUCGAGAACUGACACUGGUAGUCAGUAUUGUGGGAAGAGAAUUGGCACGGGUAGCCAUAUUGUGGGAAAUUUCGAGAAUUGGCACUGGUAGCCAUAUUGUGGAGGGUGUAUUCGAGAUUGGUUCUUACAGUGCAGUAAGAAUUCGAUAACAGAGAUCUGGGCUAUUUUAUCCUGGGGACGACGUGGUUGAUAGUCUGCUUGCACAUUUUGGACAGUGUCACGAAACGUCUUAAAAAGAGCAACCUGGUCGUGCCUCAGUCAGUAAGUAUUAUUUCGUGCCAUUUAUAAUUGCUACAAGCUACGAUUACAACAAUUUUAAGACGUUAUACUACAAUGACAUUCGUAGAUAAUAUUACUGGACCAAACAGUUAUGACCUGAACAAGCUAUUUCGGUUUGACGGAUGAGACUGAAAAAGAUGAAAGGGAUAAACUGACUAUUGAAAUAGCUAUCUGGAAUGAAAGUAAUUACUUAUGUAAGAAGUUCAUUCUGAAUGGGUUGUCUGAUGAUCUGUAUGAUUACUACAGCUCAUACAAGUGUGCCAAAUUAAUUAGGUAUGCACUUGAGAAAUAAAGAAAUAUGAUACCGAGGAAAUUAAGAUAAAAUAUAUAUAUGAUGUUAUCACUACCUCAAGUAUCAAAUGACUGAUAAUAAAUCAGUAGAGUCUCAGUCUUAUGAGAUACAUAAAAUUGCUCAUGAAAUUAUUUUUGAUGUGUAUGGCCUUAGAGAGUUAAACUCAGAGAGCCUAUGAAUAUAUAUUCAUUGGGUAUGAUAUAAACAGUAUUGUGUAUAGGCAUUACGACCUUAACCCAAAUGAUCAUUGAUUCUAACGAUGUUGAUUUUAAUGAGAAGAAAUUCCUUUUUAAAUUGAGGAAUAGUGGGGGCACAUCAACUAGUCACAUACUUAUGAUUAGAAAUAAUGAUAGAAAAUGAAAGGUUUGAAAUAUAACCUAGAAGAAGUAAGAGAACAAUAAUUGUUAGAGAGUAUAGACGUGAUUAUAUGGUAUAUAUAUUGGAGGAUAAUCCAUCAAUCUCCAAUAAGUUUUUUUUGGAUGUUGAUUUGUGAUGAGAAGCCAUAAAUGACGAGAUAGACUAUCUAGAGUCUAACAAGAAACAAACUAUAUUAUCUCAAUUCACUAUGAAAGUUGAGAUGAUAGCAUUAACAACAGGUAAUGAAGAAACAAGUUAGCUGAGAAGUUUGCUUGUAGAGAUUUCUCUAUGGGAAAAACAUACAUCAGUUGUGUUGAUCCAUUGUGAUAGUACCGCGGCUAUUGCAAAAAAAAAUUGAGAACCGCUUUCAUAACAGUAAGAAGCGACAAAUACGUCGUAAGCACAACACCAUUAGAGAAUUACUCUCUACAUAAGUUGUUAGAGGAGUAGAUCAUGUACGCAUUGAGAAUAACUUAGCAGAUCAUUUGACGAAAAGACUAGUUAGAUAGAAAGUUCAUAAUACUUCUAAGAGUAUGGGACUAUUGCCAUUAGAACGAGGAUCACUCAUGAUGGUAACCCGACCUAACUGACUGGAGAUCCCAAGAAAUGGGUUCAAUGGUAAAUAACAAGUUGUGAAGUGAUAUGAGAAUGAACAUGCUAUAAAAUUAUGAGCAGCAUGAUUCCUGUAGCAUAUGAAGGGUGAGUUAAAACUCUUAAUGAGAUACUCCAAUUGGAGUGGAGUACCUAGGCUAUAGGAGUACUCUUGAUAGACUCACCUAUGUGAAUGUGGAAGUGGAUACCGCUUCAUAUGAAAUUUUGGGGCAUAAAUUUUUAGAGCGUUCACUAUAUUGAGAUAAACGUGCAUGACCUUUAACGCACGGGCUUUACGUAAUACACCUUUGAUUGGGUGUGGUUUGACGUUGGAGAUAGAGUUCAAGACUACGAGUCACUCUAGUAAAAUCUGGAUCUUACUCACUAUGCAAAGGUUCAAGUCGCAUGACACCUUUGUUUAUGCACAAUCUUAUUGAGACCACAAAUAUUCUCGAAAAUCAUUUUUUAAUUUCAAGUGGGGAUUGUUGGAACAUGGUUUGUUGAAAACCAUGAGUGAGAACUUUUGGGUGUGAAUCAUAAAAAACACUCAAGUCCCACAUAAGAGAGUUUUGAAAAAAAAAUAAAAAAUAACUCUAAAGUCCCACAUUGGAACUAAAGUCCCACGUUGGAAAAACUAGGAACAUGGAAAAAAUCUCUAAGUUAUAAAUAGAAGCAUUCUCCCUUCAUAUUUUCUUGCCCAAAGUUGAAUGUGCUUUCAUUCAAUUUUUUCUUUCUCCCUAAUAUUUUUCGCCGAUUACAGUGCAGUAAGAAUUCGAUAACAGAGAUCUGCUGUUUUAUUCUGCUGGGGACGGCGUAGUUGAUAGUCUACUUGCACAAAGAGAGUGAUCUGGUCGUCACUCAGCCACUACUCUUAAUAAGUGACAUACUUAUGUCUAUUCUGGACAUGAUAGGGAUUUUACUUGUUUUUUAUGUUAUUAGGGUCUCUCUUUUGUUGUUUCCUUUCGUGUAUGAGGAUGCUCAUGGGAUCAUUAUCCUAGAAUGAUGUGCUUUAAUUAUCUAUUGACCAACAAUAAAUUAUUAUUGUUAUUUAUGAUCAAAUAAUAUAAAUACGUUGUUACAUAAUUCCAUUCAAUAAUUUUUUAAUAAACUUUCCUUUACAUAUUCACAUAGAAAUCAGCAAUGGAGUACAUAUUAUGCCCAAGAGCCAUAGGCCUAUCUGGAAUGGGUGGAACCUCAAUAUCCCCUUCUAACAUCUUCAAAGCAUCCAACAUUGUUGGUCUUGAAUCAACAACCACAUGAGAAGAAAGAAUUCCAACUAGCAAAAAUCUCUCUAAUAUGUUUCUAUUAGCAUUUCCAUCUUCCAAGAUAGAAGCAUCAAAAGCUUCUUCUAACUUUCCAGAUUUCAUCAAUGACCAAACCCAAUCUGUGAUCAAGAAAGCAGGUGUUCCAGAUGAAGAAAUUUCAAGAGCUUUUCUUCCACACACUAUCUCCAAAAUAACCACACCAAAGCUAUAAACAUCACACUUUUCACUAAGUUGACCAUAAAGUGCAUAUUCUGGUGCUAGAUAUCCAUGAGUUCCAGCAAGUCUAGUAUUUAGCUGAGACCUACUUUCACUGCAUUGUUUGGCUAGUCCAAAAUCUGCAACUUUUGCUCUCAUACCUUCAUCAAGCAGUAUAUUGGUAGCUUUUAUGUCUCUAUGAUAAAUAGCAGGUUUAACUCCAAAGUGCAAAUAAACCAACCCAUUUGCAACAUCCAAGAUUAUGUUUUUUCUUUGAGGCCAAGUCAGUGAUAAUUUCUUUGCUUUUGUAUUGUCCUUUGGUGGAAAAAGAUGGUCUUCAAGGCUUCCAUUAGGCAUAUAAUCAUAAACAAGAUAAGUUCUUGUUUUGUACUCUGGAUUAUCAUUCUCAUCAACCACACAACACCCUCUUAGGGGCACAAGAUUCCUGUGCUUCAAGUUGCUAAUGAUCUCCACCUCGCGGUAGAACUCAGCAUGUCCUUGAGAAUCAGAUUCUUCAAUCCUUUUAACUGCAACAACUGUGCCAUCAGAUAUAAUGCCCUUAUAAACUACCCCAAACCCACCUCUACCAAUAAAGUUUUGUGGUGAAAAUUUGUUUGUGGCCUUGUCAAGGUCCUCAAGCUUGAACCAAAUUGACCCUGAAUUUGGUUUUGGUUUCAACCUCCUUGGUUCCUCUGAAUCAGCAUAGAAUCCAAAGUUUUCAGUACAUUUUUUCCUCCUAACCCACCUUGUGUACCAAAAAUACAAACCUAACAAAAUGAUUACUAGGAAUGCAACUAAUGUUCCAGUUAAUUCAAAUAUAAGGGCAUGAUGGCCCUUUCUUUUGGUACCCUCUUCUGAAUUAAGUGGCAACUCUAAACUACAAGUCAUAACACCUUUGCUUUCAGGCCCAAACUCAUUCACAACUCCAGCAGAAUAAAGUAUUAUGAAGUAAAAACAAUCUUUGGAAUGUGAAGCAUUACCAUCAAUGGCAUUCAAUGUCUGCAGCACCUUGAGCCCUUCAUUCACACAUGCAUCACAAUUAGAAGAAACACUAAGGUCUGGUUUACAUGCAGUGUCAAAUGGUGGUGUAGGACCAAGCUUGCUUAGCCAAUCUUGCUCGGUUUGAAUAUGAGCACAAAUGUUUGGAGUGAUAACAAACUGAAGUGGAUCAAAGCAAGUGGACACAAGAUUAUUGGGAAGUGAGAGGGAAUUAAGCUUGGACUGGAACUCUUGAAGGCAUGAGGUGGAGCUAGAAAGGUUAGGGAGUUGAAAAAGAGAGUUCUUCUUAAGAUUUUGUGAAAGUGCUAUGCCAAAGAGGGAUAAAAGAGUUUGGCAACAAAAACUAUUCUGUGUUUGGUUUUGUGAUGCUAAGGGUUGGAAGUUGUGGCAACUAGAGGAGUUCCAAGGCACUGUUAGCACAUAAUUCAUGUCCACUGGACAUAUAUUGUUGGUUGGAGAGGUUGUUGCUGAGGUUGGAAUUGGAACUAGGACAAAGAUCAGAAGCAUAAACAUAGUCACAGACUUCAUGUUUUGGCUGUUUAUGCUGUUUUGGAGCUUGAUAUAAUGCUCUAUUUAUACUUAGAAACAUUUUUAUUUGGAUGACCAAGUUGGUCGUAGCUGUAUACAAGGGGGCAAGGAUCUUCUAUCCCAAAAAUAUCCUAUCCUCAUGUCCCUAACCAAUAAUAUUUUUUAAAAUAAUAUAAAAUAUUAAUUUCUGUUUUUUAUAAAAAAAAUCUCAAUUAAAUAACACAUUUUAAUUGGUUUGGUACAUCAUUGGGGACACGAAUGAGCACACGAGAUCUGCCUCCUAUGCAAGGGAUUAAACAACCAAGUCUUUAAUCCCUUCUAUGUAAUGAUAUACAUAGUACAUCUUAAAUCCAUAUAAAAGGUGAGGAAUGUGUUAGACAAUAGAUAGCCGAUAUAAAACUUUGUCGAAUCUGUAAGAUAUGGAGUUGAAUACAAUAAAUAAUAAUUUAUUAUUUAAAACCAAUAAAAAUAUGUUAUAUAAAUUUUAAAAAAUUAAAUAUUUAUUAUUUUUUCUUUAUUAUCAUUGAACAUAUUUUGAAAUAAGAAAUCAUUGUUGGAAUCAAGGGGCAUGGAAAUAUAUAUUUUUCCUUUCUCAACCGUGCCAAUUAAGGCCUGGUCAAGUCACAGUCUUCAAAGUUUGAGUCAUUGUGAGUAAUAUAAAAAUGAUUUCAACCAAAACGGAAGAAGUAAUUUUCCAUUGAUUUUUAAAACCAACGAUGACUGAGUGGAAUACUGAUGUCUGAUUCUGUAGUGUUAGUUGCCCUGCAACACACGCAGUUGACUUUGUCUCAAGUGACAGCUAAUGAACAAAAGAGAAGACUUUAUCAAAAGUCUUCGACUACAGUCUCUAUGAAAAUUGUAGAACGGGGGAGCAUAGACUAAAAAAUACUAUUAUUUUGUUGGGUUUAUUCAAGUGUGAAGUCCCACAUUGGAUAUGUAGGGAGGAGUGAAAGGGUUUAUAAUAAGGAAAGACUCAUGGAACUAAUGCCUUAAGGUUUUGGUUCAAGACGUGGUGUCUCACUUGUGACUCUUCACUCUUCCCAUACCCAUGUAACAAUGGAACUCCCCGGUGGUCGGAGGCUCCCCGGUCGCAGUCUAGGUCCAACAUAUUUUAUGAUUUAACAGUUUAAAAAUGAGAUACCGGAAUGUAAGUACAGAAUAAAUUUAUAAGUUUUUAAAUUAUUUAAUUUGUAAGUUUUUAAAUUAUUUAAUUUAAAAAUAAAUAAAAACCUACACUUUUAAAAAAAAAAUGGUCUACAGAGGAUUGUGCACUGAAUAUCAAAUCAUGGACUAUCCAACGACAUCAAUAAUGGAUCAUGCCACAUCAAACUACAAUAGAUGAUUUCUACAUUUAAUGCCCAAAAAAUAAUCAAGAAGUUGAAGUAGAAGGUGACCAGUGGUGAUGAGAAAGAAAAGCAAUUAACAAUGGUCUUCUAUCCAAAACUAUCUUCUUGCGAAUUUAUAAAUAUAAAAGUAAUUAAAACUAGCUAGGUAAGAAAUUUAUUGAAUUAAAGUUAUUUGGUAAAAUUAGUGAUGAACUAAUUAGCAUUAGUUAAUGGGAUAAUUGGAUAUUAUAGUAAAUUUCUUAGGGUAUUCGAAUGUUGUCAACACUUUGUUUAUCCUAUUGUACAGCUUCACAAUCUGAAUAGAUUUGACAUGAAAAUCAUGGUUCUUAAGCUCCUGUAAUGCAUCAAAAUCAUAUUUGUCAUUGUCAUUCGAGUAAAAAUUCAAAGGCUUCUUAAUAAACAAAUUAAUGAAAGAGUAUAACUAAGUUAGAAACUACGCGAUCAAAAUGAUUAGGAUAAAGAUACAAGUUUAGAGUUCUGAAAUGAAAUUAGAGUUAGAUGAGAUUUUGUUUGGUGACAUUAAUAAUAUGGGAUUUCAAACUUCAGCUUUUGGAUUAGCUUCUUUAUAUUAAAGUGGUGUAUUUAAUUAACUAAUUAAAAAAUGCAUUAUUUUUAAGAAAUUAGGUUGACCUCCCUUUAUGUUUUUCACUAAAUUAUAUUUGUCACGCUUUUUUUUUUUUAAAUUUAGGAAUAGCUUUUAGUAUAAUGUUCCCUUCGUUGACCUUAGACCAAAACUUAGCUAUUUUUCUUAUAAUGUUUGGUCUAAAUUCACAGUUUUACCUAAGAUUAAUGUGUAAGUAGGUGAGAUCAAAGUAACCACAAUCAUAAACAAUAUUUUCGAUCUUACAUAUUAUUUUAUAAUUUAUUACAAUUUUUCAUGAGAUAAGAAUAAUAUCUAUUUGUUCUAAAAAAUUCUAAACAUUAUUCUUAUUCGAGUCUCAUAACCUACCUCAUUCUUAACCAAACAUAUAUAUUUUCAUUAUAUCUCCUCGUUCUUAUUUAAGAACAAAAUUCAUAAAAUAAAAAUGACACAAUGAAGAAUAUAGUAGAAAUAUUUUUAUUAUACUAAAAACAACCUUAAACCUUACAAACAACAAUUGGGUUGCUCUUAACUCACGUUUACACCAAAAAAAUAUCCAAUAAUUAAUUUGGAUGGUUAAUAUAAUCAAUUAUCCAGAAUGAGAAAAAAUACAUAAAAAGAUUAAAUAUAAAAUAAACAAAGGAAUACAUUAAAAGCAAACUCAUAUUACAUUACACGACUAUAAAUCCAAAUUCCAAUUACAGAAUAAUUAAAGGAAACUUAUAUAAACGAUAUUAUAGCACCCCAAUAUUCAGCAUAAAAGGGUACUUAUACAUACAUAUAUAUAUGAAGUGAAAUUAAAUAGCGGAGGGAAUGAGAUUUAAUUUGUAGUAUCCUUAAACUUGGACAAGAAAAGCUUUAGAAAUUCUGAAUCCACAUUGAGAGCUGUUUCUAUCACAACCGGUGAUAAAACACCCCAAAUGGAUGCCCUUCCACCCAACUCUUCAAUCAUAGGCCUGCAAAGAAAUAUACAAUUUUUCUAUUAGUAUUUUUAUUAUGUUAUACUUUCAAAUACAAAUAAUUUAUAAUAUAAUUAUAUCUCAUGUAGCACUACUUAGUUUUUAUAUGGAUCGACAUUAUAUUGUUAAAAGUCACAAAAACUUACUUUGUAGUUCUUACAAUAGAGUAACUCUCCAACCCUGCUUUCCCAGCAAUUUGAGCAACCACAUAGAAUUGUGGUACCACAAUUAAUUGACCAGCCUCAACUUCAGUAUUCAAUAUAUUCUCUCCAUUCAAGCCCACAAUUUCAAUCUUGCCACUACCUCUAGCAAUGUACAUCAAUUGGGCCACAACAUUAGAUGGAUAUGCUGGUGCCUUAAUAGCAUUAGCUUCAAGUGUAACUCUAAUCACACUUAACCCAACUUCCCCAAGAAAAGGGAAAGUAGCCUCAGUUAAGGUUGUGAUUAAUGUACCAUUUUUCACAACAUUAUGUAUAUUUGGCCCAUCAACAUUAAAAACUAACUCUUUGGUGUGCUCUAUUUGAGGCUUUGGCAUGGACUUAUCUUUUGUUAGCUUCACCAUCAUAGGCUCAGUUUGGCUUUUUGUGAGCUUAUGUACCUCUUCUUGGGUCAAAUUAUAGGCCUUGCUUGUUAGUUCAUUAGAGAUGCCUCUUAUAAGUCCUUGAAGUCCUGUUGGAAAGAAAUAACUGAUUUCACCAGGAAUAAGAGCCUUUGUAGUUUCACCAAGAAAAAUGAUUAUAAUAUCUGUGUCUCCAUUGUUGAACCACCAUGAGAAACUUGCAAGAGGUACUGGUAUAAUAUCUCCCUUCUCAAGCUUCACAACUACCUCUUUUCCACUAUUCAGGGUUACUAGUCCAGCUACACCACCAUUGCCUACAUCAUGUGCCAUACAAUUAAGGAAAUUUGAGUCUAUGUAUAUAUAUAUAAAACAAGGGUAUAAGAAAGUUAUUAUCCUAUUAAUUCAGAUUACAUUAUGAAAUAAGUAUAUAUAUAGAAUACAAAAAACAAUCAAUAUUUUCUUUUGUUGGGGGAGUAUUAACAUUUUUUUUUUUGCAUCUUUAAGCUUCAAACCUAUACCAAUAAAGAAUAAGGUGUUGGUCUAAUAGUCUAAGGUCCUGCUAUAUCUUAGAUGAUCAAAAUGUUAAAGGUUCAAUUUUUAGUAGAGAGACUUGCUGGAAUGGACAGUCACGUGCUCCGAAAUGAUUAGUUCCUUAUUCAAAAGGGUGAGAGGAGACCUUUGAUUAGUUCCUUAUUCUGAGUUGAGUUUUGAAUGAGAAGAAAAAGAAAUAUAAGACUUGAGAGUCAUGAAAUAAAUUGGUGAAAUAACUAUGAAGACUUAAAUUUCCAUUCGUUUUCUCUCAAAACUCAACUUGCAAAUAGAGUUAUUUAUGAGUUGAAUUUUGGAGGAUAAAGAACAAAUGAGAAGACUAUAUAGUCAUGAAAUAUAUUUAUAAAAUGACUCUAAAAUUUUCAUUUUCCUUCUAAUGCUCUACUCACAAUUAAAGAUAGGCAUAGGGCACUAACCUUGAAGAACAAUACCCAAUUUGGAAGCAUCUGCAUAAUGAGGAAGAGCGAAGCCCUGAGGAUGCAGCACAAGCCUACCAGCACACAAGUUGUUCUUAGCUAACAGUGGCAUUUGAGAACUUGUCCAAUUGUAGUAUCCUCCACCUUCUCCUUCCAAUAGUGUUUCUGCUGUCUUUGGUGUUAAGUCCAAUGCCAUUGUUUUCUUUUCACAUUAAGUCAUUUCAAAUAAUUUAGCUAGGAACAAGAUCAAUCACUUGUGUUAUUAGAUUAUCAUCAACGAGUUUUUUAAAUAUUUUAAAUGUGUAUUGUUUUCCAUGUUUACUUGUUAACAAAAGGAUGUAAAAUUAACUCUUCUGUUUUUUAUGUUGAACCUUCUUCAUUAUGUUUUUCACUUUUUUGGUUUCCCACAAAUAUCAUCGCAUUAGAGACAAUCAUGUCCGAACCGAAAAUAUCCACAAGUAUAUGGACUAACUCUCCAGCGGAUAUUUUUUUCAUCCACAAACCUCAAACUUGAACCUAAAACCUUCACUUGAACCACACUAGUUGGUUUAUGUUUUUUUUCUUUUCACUUUGAUGCUAUUUAUUAAUAAUUCAUUAAACUAUUAUAAUAGCAUCAGCAUCUCAUGCAAAUGAGAUUCAUCUUCUGUCAACAAAAAAAACAUUUUAUUAUAAUUUUAUUUUAUAAAACUAAUAUAUUAAUAUUUAUGUGUGUCGAUUUAAGUGGGUAUGACAAGAAAUGAGACACAAAUUAGGGAUAAAGAUAUAUAUUGGAUCUCAUGAUGAUAUUUAUUUUUUUCCUUUGUGACUUGUCUACGUCUGCAUUCAUGUGCGUGUUUUUUUUUAUGGGCAUGUAAAUUUGUGCAUGAAAGCAUUACGCAGACAACCUAGUACCUUGACUUUUACAUAGUACUGAUUCUUAGAAAUGUGAAAUUUUGUUAGGUUUCGUACACAUGAAAAGGCCAAUUGUGUUGUUCACAAUUCUAUUAGCAUGCAUAAGCAAAAAAAAUUAAAAUGUAGAAAUUAUAGGUGCCAAUAAAUUUUUAAAACUAAAAAACACAACAACAAAAAAAGAUCAACUGAAAAUGAGAUCAUAAAACUGAAAAUUAAAAGUGAUUUUAAGAAGUACCUUUGACGACCCCUUUUUCCUUUAUGAGUAUCGGAUAUAGAAAGAGGAAGCAAAAAAUUGAUAAAAGAAGAUAGGGGAAAAUAUGUGCAUGAAGCUUAAAAGACUAGAAAGCAACGCACACAGAGACAUAGGGGCGAGAGGGGUAUUUAUAUUAUUUUAAAUGACAUAUACGGUCCUUACAUUUUAUUUGACUAUGUUAUUAGUAGUCAUUACAAAGUAGAACUCUAUUGAUUUUGUUUUUUUAACAUGGGAGAGAAAUCAAAUCUAAAACUCAUAUUACUGACCUAAACAAGACUUUGAAGUUUGAACAAUUAUUUUCAGUGACCAAAAUAGUUUAAGAGUGUUUAACAUCAUUAGUUUAUGUUUAACUAUCAUUAACUUUUGAGUGUAAUAUCUAUGUAUUGUUAGUAUAAAUAUUUAUACAUAGAUUCUUCACCAUUUAUUAAUAUUAUAUUUCUUAAAGUGCCAAUGAAUAUUAAACAUGAAUAAUACAUUGAUAAUGUUAAAAAUUAUAUAUAAAAUUACAUACAUUUUUUCUAAAUCUAAAUAAUACAAAUGAACGAGGGUAAUAUAUUUUUUUUUUACGAGUAUCAAAACAUAUUAAAGCCUUAUUAUUAUAUCCAAUAUUGUUUAUACAUUUAAAUGAGUUGGCUUCACGAGACUCAUCACUUGAUGAAGACAUUAUCUCACCGCUUAUAAUUUUUAGCAAGAUUCUCACACUAACAAGGAAUUCAGAUUCAUGUAAUUUGAGAUACAAGAGGAAUAUGUAUUAACGGAAUAAGCUAUUGAUUUUCUUUUUUCCUUUCGUAAACCAGUUUUAUUGGUUUAAUUCUAUCUAGUUGAAGAUAAAGGUCCUUAUCACAUCUUUCUAAGGCACAGUGUACUAUUUAAGGUUUAAGGUUUGGUGUAACAAUCCAAAUUUUACUAACAAUUUCUAAUUAAAUGGCAUUUUCAUUAGUAAUUUUUGUCUGCAUUUUCUAUUUGAUGAUCGAUUAACAGCAAUAUAAUUAAUCGAUUAACUGUUAGUUGUUUUUAGUUUGUUAAUUAUAAUAUUGUUUUCGUUAAUCGAUUAACAAUAUAAUUAAUUGAUUAACUGGUUUGUUGUUAGUUAGGCAACGUAGUAUAUAAAUGGUCCCUUAGUUACCGUAAUUCAAUUCAAUAAGAAAUAUUCAAUAAAUAAUUGAAAAUAAACACAUACUAACAAACAUAAUGAGUGAGUAAGCAUGAGACAGGUCCAAGCGGGUUGUGUUUAUCUCAUACUCAAUCAUAAAUAUUGACUAAAUCUAAAUUUUAAACCUGAACUCAACUCUAGAUUUGAUGAGACUCAAUCCUAUUUGGGUCCAACCAUGAUCAGACUAAGCCGAAUGAGCAAGUAGGGUCGAGUCCGACUCACUCACAAGUAAGAGUAUCAUCUCCUCUCAUAAGUAAAUAACUAAUCUUUUUCGAAUGUGUGAUUAUCUCUUCUAACAAGUAUCGCUCAAAAAUUCUUAUUUAUACAGAAUUUUGGCUUUGUGAGCCCGCUUAGCUCAAAGGUUAAUAUAGUAAUACACUAAUACCACUAGAUCAAACUAAAAAACGUUUGAGUCUUCCGGAUCCUUUCUCUGUGCCACUCUAUUUUUAGGAGAAAGCAAAUUUUAUUUCCUUCCUACCUCGAUUACUUUAGGUGAAAAUAAUUUUGUUGUAUCGGUAUCAUCCUCCCUUGAAACUCAUAAAAUUAUUGGUAUUUCCCCUUACUUUUUGUUGAAGAGAUAAAAAAUUUACAUUAGAAAACAUCUAUCAAUAUUUUUUUAGACCUAGCUAUCAUACGAAUUAUAUACAAAUAUUGAUCAUCAACUUAAUUUUAUUGUCAUGCCGAUAUUUAAUUUUGUAUUUAACGUUAUACUUAUAGAUAUUAUCAUCAUGUCCUAUAUUUUUUGACAUUAUUCUUAUCAGAUAUUCCUAUGGGAUGCUGUCAUUGAUGUAAUAGUAAGAGGUAACAAAACCGUUUAGAACAAAGUGGCUCCAUCAUAUGAUGUGCAUGUACUGUUCGUUUAUGAAUAAUAAAACGAGUUAAGUAAAAGUUUAUAUACAAAUACUACAUUAUUUAUUAUUUAUUUAUAUUACUUUUUGAAAAAUCAAUGAAUUAAAUAUGAAUGAUGAAUGAUACGAUGAAAAUAUAUCAAACUCAUAUAUUGUUUGUAUAUAUAUCCUUUUCUCUAAUAAGACGGUGGCUAUUCAUUAUUCAUGCAGAAAAUGAGAGCCAAUUAAUAUAGGCUAGAUCUUUGCAUUAAAAGAUGUGGUUGGAUGAAUCAUAUGGACAUAUACAUAGCGUGAUAUUCGAUUCUAAUGUCAUUUUCAAUAAAAAAAGAAAAUAAUAUUGGAUGUAGAAAGAUUUUUAUAAACUGUGAAAAAGAAAUUCACUUGCUCAAAAAAAGGAGUGGUGUUUGAAAGCGAUGGAUUGUUGUGUUAAGGUAGUGGACAAACACGAUGUCGUCGUCUACUUUUUGGGUACACAUUACUAAACUGAUCGUUUUAAAAAGAGAGCACUAUGUUUGGAAAGUCCUAAUAUACUGUGAUAAAGUAUAUUUAUAGCUAUGUAACAAAGUCAAAUAUGUAUGCUGUAUGCAACAUACACAAAUACACAUGGAUGCAUAAAUGGUUAAUUUUAUUUUUCAUUUUUUAGAGCAUAAAGAAAUCCAUACUACAAUUACAAUAAGCUGUGGAGUUUGUAAAUCAGCACGGGGAACAGAGGAGUGUCAUGAAUAGUAGGUGAUCACAUGCAUUUCAGAAGGGUGAAAGCAACAACUUCAGUGCUUAGAAUGAAUUACGGAGUGUGUUUGCUUUUUCUAUAGGAUUGUCCUUGUUUGCUUCUCAAGACAUAAUUUUGGCAAGCACUUGUAAUUUAUGGUUCACUUUAAGCAUUCCCCUUUCAUUGCUUGAAAUAGAUAUGAAGAAUGUUGCAAGAACCUAUUUUCUAUUCUAUUAUUACAAUAUAUAUAAGCUGAGGCAGGAAAUGUGGAGAUGCCAUGCCAACUUUUUGGAAUGUUGAUCAGCUGUCUCAAGUUGGUAUCUAUAACUUUAUCUCGCUCAAUGAAAUAAUGUCACAUCAUUUAAAAGUGUGCGCUGAUCUCAACUUGGGUCUAUGUGAGUUGAACUUUUAAAUGAUGUAACACUACCUUAUUGGGCGAGAUGCCGGGACAUGGUUAGGGAUAUCAACAUGGGAGCUUUCUUCAAUUGCCACAUCAGUCAUAUUUGAUGAUCCAGAGCUCCUCAUGCAAUACCUUUUCUGUUCAGCAAUCUUGCAAUUUUCCCAUUAACUCAUUAAAUUUUCAUUCACCUUGAAGAAUUAUAAUUUUCCCACCACCUCAUUUAGCGCCAUGUGUGUUGAAAGAGAGCAUUCCAGACAGAGAAGAAAUUGUAGAACAGAAAAACCCAAAAGUUGGAAAUCUUUGAGAAGCUCAAGGAUGUCGAGCACUUCAGAAUAAAGCUAUUGACAUGAAAACCCCAUACACAUUACAAGGGUGAAUUGAAGGCCAAAUGAAGGGGGAAUUACUUUGGUCAUGUUUUUAUGAGUUUGCAGAAUAUUCAGUUAAUGGCUACUUUAACAGGAUCUUUUUCAUGCUUGGUACAUUCACUACAUUAUCAAUUUACCUUUGGCUGGUUAGAGCAAUGUCCAAGAUGCAUGUUUUAGAAGUAAAAUGAAUUGAUUGUUUAGCAUUGGUGGCAGAUGCAAUCAUGAACCUGCUAAGUUAGAUUGCAAGGCGCGCCUUAAAAAUAACAGUGAUUGAUAUGUGAAUAUCUAGAAUGUUUUUCUUGCUGCAUUGAUUUCAAUGUCUAUUUACACUUUAUCAUGCUAGAGCUGUUGAUGUAUAUGCAUCCACAUUCUUCAAACCAUGGUUUGUCCAAUGAAAAACAUGCUGCUUUUAAUAGAAUUUCCAGACAAUGUAAUACAGGCUUGAUAACACUAACAGCAAACCUGCUUAAGGCCAAUCAAAAAUCACAUGCAAAUUUGCAUCUACUUCAAGAAAUUAAAUUUGAGUGGCUAUGCUAACAGUGUAAAGAUUAUACACAGUCACUAUAUCAUUCACCAUUCAUUUAUAUUACUUUUAAUUAAAAGUUAAUGAUGAAUGAAAAUGAAGGGUGAAUGAUACAAGUGAUAAUGUAAAAUGUCUUAUCCCGUUAGUGCAUACAUCUUUUACUUAGGAAUGACAACAGAGCGGAUGAGGUCCGAUUUGUACAUAUCCAAACCCGAAAUUAAAAACCCGAACCCAAACUCAACGGGAUUAAAAAUAAAGAUAUUAUCCUCGAACUCGAUAAAAAACCCAAAAAUAAUAAAUGUACUAAGGAAAGUAUGAUAUUAUUUUUAUUUCAUUUUUAUCUAGCAUUUCUUUUUUCCCAUGUAUUAUUUUAUUUUUACAUUCGAAGAGUCAAUAAUAUGUAAAGAAAAAUUAGAAAUUAAAAACAAUGGGUAUAUGAUAGACUUUCGAUUUUAAAUUGAAUUACAUUAUUUCGGGAUGGGUUCGGGGUAGGGUUUUUGCUCUACCAAACCCGAACCCGAAAAUUAAACUCAGGUAAAACCUGAACUCAAUCAAAUCGAAUUUUCCCUGUUAAACUCGGGUUGGGUUCAAGCAGAUAUCCCCUUGUUCAGUUUUCGUAAUCCCUACUUUUACUACACCAUCAACAUAGCUCCUUAACAUUUUAUCACAUUAAAUAUUUGGCAACUUUGACAUCUCAUAUAAACUGAUAUAUACAGAACAAGGAUUAGAUAACAAAUAUUAAAAUUAAAUUCCUAACUUGAACAUUAUAACUUACUUACUAAGAGAAUCUCAAGUUCCAUUGAUCCUGUCUAUAACAGAGAUAAUACCUUGAGUGCCAAGUUUGCCAUCUCCAUUAGCCACCAUACUUGAAAAAAGCUGCUUACACAAUGCAGCACCAGGCAACACAAAAACCUCCCCAUCCUCCACAACAUCCACUCCCAUUCCCAAAUCCUUCACCUGAUACUCUGCGAAACCACCGGGUCGAAAAUCCCUCUUUAUCAUCCUCUCCCCAAACAACUCCAAAGCCUUAGAACCAGCAGCACCAUCUCUAAUUGCACCCAUGAACUGCUCCAAAUCCAACCCUGCUUUCUUAGCAAACACCAACCCUUCACUCAACCCAACCAAAUUCGAUCCAAUCACGAUCUGAUUCGCAAUCUUACUAGUCUGCCCACACCCCGCAGAACCCACAUAGUUAACUUUACCUAAAACCCUAAACAACGGUUCUAGCCAUUUUACAACAACAGGUUCCCCUGCCGCAAAAAUGGCCAGGUUCCCGUCUUUGACGCCAAUAUCGCCACCAGAGACAGGAGCAUCGACAGACCAGCAGCCUUUGGACCUCGCCAGGGAGAAUAUCUCCCUGGCCAGGUCCGGAUGGCUGCUGGUGUUGUCAAUUAUGACGGAAUUGGGGUUAAGGCCCGAAACGAUGCCGUUCGGGCCUGUGUAGACGGAGCGGACGUCGGAGGGGUGGGAGAGCAUAGUGAAAACGACGUCGGAUGAUUGGGCGAGUUGGGAUGGGGAGUUGGAGAAGUGAGCGCCUUGGGAUUGGAGAGAGAGGGAGUUAGGGUGGGAUGGGUUGCGAGCGUAGAUGGUGAGAGAGUAGCCGGCGGAGAUGAGGCGGGAGGCCAUGGCGAAGCCCAUGACGCCGAUGCCGAUCCACCCGAUUCGGGUUUCAGAGGAUGUGAUGGGAUUUGGGUAUGGUGUUCCCAUGUUUCUGGUGAGAAAAUAGUUGUUUGCUCAAGGUACUUACCAAUAAUGAUGGCAAAACGGACAAUAUGUCAUCUUUUAAUGAAGAAAAAAUAUCAAAUGAAAUGAAACAUAAGAACCUUCAUAAUCUUGCAACACAUUUUUUGUUAUUAGAUAGACACCGUUAAUUAUUUAUAUUUGUUUACAAUUUUGAAUAAUUUAAGCAGUUAAAAUUACUUCUAAUGGUAUAACUUUAUUUUCAUUCAUAAAUCUACCUUACAAAUAUACCCACAUUUAUAUUUAUCUUUUGUAAUAUAUUUUUACUCACAACUUUAAGAAUGAUGUUUAUUUAGCUUAUCGUUGUGAAAUAAUAAUAAGAACGACUCCUCCCUAGCACUGAACUUGGGAAAAAAACAUGUUUGUUUUGCAAAGAACGAUUUUUUGUUACCAUUGUAGGUGCUCUUAGUAUGAAUAUAUAGAACAUGGUCAAAAUAAUAGAUCUCUAUUCUUAUUUCACGGGCUAAACACAAGCUAAGUAGUAUUCGAUUCAUUACAUAAUAGGUUGUGUGAACUGCAUCAGCCCAAAAAUAUUUUGGAACCUUGCUCUCAUUUAGCAUGGUCCUCGAGAGUUCCUCUAGAACUCUAUUUUUCCUCUCAAGAACUCUAUUUUAUUGAGGGGUACGGGCUAAACACAAACUAAACAAGUUGAAUGACAUUUUUAUCACUACUUAUAAAUUACAUUGCACAUGAAUGAAACUCUUUUUAUAGUAUGACUUGAACUCUUGAUAAUUAGACUAUAAAUCACUUCAUAUAACAUGAGAUAUAAUGUAAAUGAGAGGUCAAACUCAACUUGUUGCACAAUUUCUUUCAUGUAUGCCAAGAAAUAUUUACUCAUAAAAAAAGACUUCAAGUAACUUGAUACACAUCUUUCUACCCAAAAAAACUUGAUACACAUCUCCUAUGGAUGAUAAAAAUGAGAAAUGGAGUGGAGGAAUCUAUCAAGAGAAUUGAAUUUAGCUAGACAAUGGGAACCUAUAAAAAAUGAUCUAGAUUUUAGGAUAAGGAAUGUAUGAUCAAAUAUUCAAAAUGUUAGAUUCAAUUUAAUGGAUCAAAAUUCAAGUAAGGGAUUCUAUGAUCCAAGUGAAAGGAUUAAAAGAAGCCCCCUAAACCAUUUUAUCUAUGCCUUGCCCUGGUUGGAGAAUGGACUUAGGAGGAAAUGGACUUCAAAUUUGGGUUUUAGGCCUAGUUGGUUGUCUUUUAAAGAUGCUUUUUUUUGUGUGAUAUUUUUUAUUUUAUUGGUCUCUUUUAAUUUUUAAAAAUAGCCAGGACUACAAUGUUCCAAUCACAUAUGAUAUUAUUCCUUAAGAAAGGUAAUGCGUAUAGCAACUUUUUUUGAAACUAUUAGUGGAUCACUAGAUCAAAUUAUUGGCUAAAGUUAUUAGUUAAUUAUAUUAAAUAUACUUUUGUUAGCGUUUCCCCUAAUCAAAGUAUUCAGUUGUGGCAUAAUAAGAUGCUUGAUGCUAUAUGCUGUUGAAAUGUAGCUUUUUGACAAAGAAAAGUGUUUAUGCUUGAUAACUUUCUGAAUCAGAAAGCAAUGAGUUAAUACAGAUAAUAUAUGUUGUUGUGAAAAGCUAUUCACACACGAUUAAACACUUAAUUUUUCUAAUAAUCUCGAUUCUAACGUGACUUGUUGUUUGAGGCACUAACUUAAUCUAUUUAAAAGUACUACGUGGUUUGUUCCAAUAUAGGUCUUGGUAGUAACCCCACUUCCAAUCCAUCCCUUUUUCAAGAAUAUUUGUUCAUGCACUUUAUUCUCCGUGCACAAAUUUCUAAUAUUAUUUCUUAUACUAAUUGAACCUUCCUAUGAUAAUUCAAAUUAAAAGGUAUUGCAUCUCAGUCUUUUUUGGCAUUUUAGAUGGAUUGAAUGACAUUUUGAGUUGAAUUAUUUUUUAAACUAGAAGUUUAUACGUAUUAAGUAAUGUAUAAUUAAGCUUCACAGUUAAUGAAGAUUCAUAAAAAUAUUUAUAAAUUACCUAUUAAUGAUAUCCUUGCACCAAUACCAAAACUCACUACUACAGUGUUAUAUAAUUUAUAUAACUUUUAUUUGAGUUUAAAUUUAAUUCAUCAUCAAAUAUUUUUUAUUCAUUCUAUCAUUUUCACACAAUAGGUUUUGUAGUGUAUUUUUUGGGCAAAUGAUGGAGUAAAAAAGAAAUGAAGAUACCAUUUUUAUGUUAGUAGACCAACCUAAAAGUUAUCAAAUUUAUUUUACAACAUUGAUGUCCAUCUCCCUUCCCCCUAAUUACUUGAUAGAAAUUUAAUGACAGAAUCCAUUCUCAAAACAAUGAUUAUCUCCAGUAUGGCAUAAUGAACUUUUUUUUCAACUAGUGCCUACAAAUACUUCGUGUUUGCUGGUAAAUAUUACAUAAUACUAUAUAUUAAAUUUUUAUAUAUUUCAUUUUUUAGAUUUAGAAUAUAUUUGUUGUAUUCGGUGUACUUUAUAUUAUAUUUUUUUUUUGUGUUUAUGAUAAUAUUUAAUUUAAUGUGAGAUAUGUAUUUAAUUAAUGUGUUGAUUGUAAUUGCUUAGGAUUAUAUGAUUUUUUUGUAAAAAUUAAAUAAUAUUAAGGACAAAAUAGGAAGUGAAAAUUACAGCAUGAUAAAAGUUAUUUCAAAUUUUAACUUUAUAUAUAAUAUAAAAAUAUAGGUAAUAAAAAUACUAUUUCAUUGUUCACAAAAAAUAAAUAAAUGUGUUACAUCAUAUUAUUUUUUUUCCCUUUGUUUUUUCAUAUUAGAGUGGGCUUGUGCUAAAUGACAAUGGGAACGUGCAUGCUUGCCUAGGGAUAGGGCAAAACCCCACAAACUGGGACCCAAAUGUCUCGAUUGAUAUGGGUUGAGCUUAUGUAUGAAAAACUAUUUAAACAUGUACUAUAUGAUAAAACAAUAAAAAAAGAAUACAAAAAUAUCAUCUCACACUUUUUGUCAUAUAUUUUUUCAGUUUUAUACAUAAUUUUAUAACUAUUGAUUGCUUAUAAGUUUAAAAUAUUUGCAUUAAUAAUUAUUUUUGUUCACAAUAAUUUUGUUAUUCACACAUUAAUAAUAAUUAAUAGUGAAUAAAAUUAUAAUAAUGUAAUUUUACAUGUAAUUAAACAAUUCAUUUUCUACAAAAAAAAAUUGAAAAUAAUAAAGAAAGAAAAAUAUAUAUACCGACAGUAUAAGAAUUUUUUAUAAUAUCGUUACAUCAUUCACAAUUUAUUUCUUAUAUUUUUAUAAAAAUAAUAUAAAAAAUAGUAAAUAAUAUACUGAUGAUGUUACACUACUCAAGAAGAAUAAAAGUCGAAAUCGUGACAUAUAUACAAGUAUAAAAUUAAAAAAAGAAAAGGGAGAAUAGUGGGGGCAGUAGUGGCUUUGGUGGAAGGGAGAAUCAGCUUCGGGUAGGGUACCCUUUAUUCCUUUCUUUGACAGACACGCUGUUGUCACCGCCAGGCAUUAAGUACACCUAAUGGACAUAGAUUAUACUAUUUUUAGGUAAAGUUGAGUAUAUAAUAAGUACAAAAUGCCAUAAUUAGUGAAUAAACCAAAAAGAAUUCGUCACAUUUUGCCAGAUUCCUCUUUGCAUGGCAUAGACAACCAAACUACCAAUCAAACCGUAGUUAGUCCCUACUAGUUAACACUUAAAAGGGAAUAUAUAGGUCAUAAACGUAAAUACUUCAAAGUUCAAACAAACACACGUGUGGCUGUCUAGUACAUGUGUUUGAACGGGACACAAAUAUGAUUUUUAUUUAGAAAAGAGGCUCUUUGUACUUUGUAGUAUUUUAAUCCAUUACAUUUAAGUUGGAGUACUAAUUAAGUGUUAGUCAAAUGUAUUAUGCCUCACUAAAUUCCUAUGUCGAAAACUGAUACUUGUUGAAAGGGACAACCACGAAAAAAAAAACAUACAACUUUAACGGGUAAAAAUUCUAUUUUUUCCUCAAUUAUUCCCCCUCUAGUGCAAAAUACUAAUCACUAACCUUUUAUGGUACAGAUAGAUGUUUAAGCAAAAAUUUCUCCGGACAAUAUUUUUAGAGUGUAUUAUUUAUAUAUAAUCAACUUAAUAGUUAGUAUAUGAUGAAUAAUGAUUAAAUUUGACUGAUAUCUCUGUAUACACGUGAAUGCAUGGUACAGAACAAUGUAUAAGGUGCAAGAGUUGUCAAAUAAAGUUGAGUGGUGGGGCAGUUGUCGACUAGAGAGUUAAAUAAAGACAGGUAGAGAGAAGGGUAUCGUUGAGCUAAUGUUUGAAACAUCUUUGAACAGAGUUUAACUUUCUUCUGAGGGAUUUAUUCUGGGUUUCAGUUUUGCUUCAUAUUACAGCAUACUACUAAUUGGCCUUCAAUCCAUUAUUCCAUUCAUUCAAGGUAAGUUCAUGACUUCUUAUGUCAAUUUCUGUUUCAAAUUUUAUAUAAGUGUUGUGUGGACUCAUAACAUUAAUAAGAGAUUCUUUUUAUGGAUGCCCUUUGAUUGAACUAACCCAGUUAGCAUUUCUAGAAGAGUUUGGUUUUAUUACUCAUUUUAUGCUGAUAAGCGUUAAUAAACAUGGAAAUGAGGUUACUAAAAUUAUGUAUCAUCUAUCAGAAAACAAACUUGUGUUAGACCAAGGUUUUAAAGUUCAACCUGCGGGUUAAGAUCCUCUCCAGCAGUACUGAAAUAUGAGGGGAAAAAGAAAGUUUGUUAAUUUUUAACAUUAUUUUAUUAAAAAAUAAUGAAAAUAUGGACGUUAAAAAAUUCUCUGUAGCACUUGUAAGUAUCUGCACACCAGUAUUGGACUCUCUAGGUGCAGGAGUGGAGAGGAUCUCUAUUCAACCCAUGGUAUCAAACCCACUUAUUGAGGUUUCUCAUCUUAAGACCAUUGGAUGCAAAUCUCCUUCAUUGUUUAUGCUUCAUAACUCUUAACAAAUGGUGUUAUUAGAACCAAUGGUUUGACAAAUAUGAUUAGCAAAAGAAGACAGUUGUUGGUGGAACCAUGUGUGGGAUCUUUUGUGUUAAAGCAGCUAAGCAGCUUAUUCCUGUAUACAUGAUGUACAAUGACAAUACAAAUACCUCUUAUGUAAAUACAAUUUUUUUUGAAAUCAAAUUGGUGGGUAGAAAAUGUUUCUUUUUUUUCUCUUUCUGAUUAUGGUGUUAAUUUCACUCUUUUGAUACAACAACAACCAAACCUUUAUCCCACUAAUUGGGGUCAGCUACAUUCUUCAAACGACGCCAUAAUACUCUAUCAUAUAUCAUGUCCAUUUAACAAAGGUCUAAGUCUUUCUUUAUCGUUCCCCUAUGGUUUUUCCCAAACCACCUAAGGCGCGAUUUUAUCAUCUUUUCUCUACUUUGAUAGGUAUACAUAAAUAUUUCAUGGAUUGUCACUGACUCACAGCUCUAGCAAGAAUAAGCAUACAUUUUCACAAGUAAAUCUUAAAGGUUUCCGUAAAUAUAUCAGCGGUGCUCGCAUCGACCUUUUAUCUGAUUUAGAAAGAAACAACUUUUAGAUUUCAUUAUUGCAUGAUUUUUUUCUUGUGUUGCAUUUUGAGGUUCGUUAUGAUCAUUGUAUAUGUUACAGAGUUCACUGUGGGGCACAAUAGUGUCGUCAAGUUGGUAAAGGCAGAGAUGAAUUUCCUUAUCACACCAGUGAGCCACAAGUUCAACAUUUGUAAAUAAAUGGCAUCUCUUGGAGUUAUCCUAAUAGAUUAUUGAAAGGCUGCAAUUCAUGGAGGACAGCGGAAGGUAAUAUCCAUAGAAAUUCGCUCAUCGUCUUGUGUUAUGUAUUUUAUCUUUUUUUGACUAUAACUGUUCUGUUUUGUAUGAAUGUACUAUGAUUUAAAUAUUUAAUGUAAAUUAUAGCUCUGAAGAGAAGUCCUUUUCAAAUGGCGAUGUCUACAUCGGUGAGAUCAAGGCCAAACUGCCCCAUGGCAAGGGAAAGUACACGUGGUCCGAUGGAACAGCAUAUGCGGGUGAUUGGGAAGAUGGGAAAAUGACAGGGAAAGGAGUGAUUAUAUGGCCAUCAGGAGCAAAAUAUGAGGGUGAAUUCUCUGGUGGUUACCUUCAUGGUUACGGCACCUUUACAGAAUAUACCGGUUGUGUUUAUAGAGGCAGCUGGAGGAUGAAUGCUCAUCACGGGAUUGGACGGAAGGACUAUUCUAAUUCAGAUAGUUAUGAAGGUUUAUGGAGAGAAGGGAUUCGUGAAGGAUGCGGAAGGUAUUCUUGGAGUAACGGAAAUACGUAUGUUGGGAAUUGGAAAAGUGGGAAAAUAGAUGGGAGAGGGGUUAUGAAGAGGGCUAAUGGUGACAUCUUUGAUGGUUGUUGGGUUAAUGGUCUUAAGCAUGGAUCCGGAGUUUAUCGAUUUGCCGAUGGGGGGCUUUAUAUUGGAACGUGGAGUAAGGGCCUAAAGGAUGGGAAAGGGACAUUCUAUCCUUCCGGUAGUAAAUAUCCAUCUCUAAGAAAAUGGUGCAGCAUUAAAGGCCAUUAUAGUGGUCUACCAUUGAAUGCAGAGACACAUAUGGAUCCAAAAUCAAGUGUUAGGCGUAGCUUUAGUGAAAAGAUUUCAUUCAGUAGUAGAUCAAAAAGUUCGCGUAAAAUAUCUCUAAGGACCUCAUCGUUAGAUGCAGAUUGGAGCCUACGAGAUCCUGCAGGAGGUUGCAUAUGUCAUGAUUCCUCAUCCGCUGAAUCACAGACCCUUGAUGAAGGUCAAUCUGAGGUCUCUGGUACAAGUACUUUGGUUUAUGAAAGAGAAUAUAUGCAAGGAGUUCUAAUUAUGGAGAGAACUAGGACAUAUUCAGAUUCAUCACCUAAAAAAAAAAGGCAAAAUAAGUUUAGUGUGAAGCCAGUGAUGAAGAGUUCACUAAUGGAUAUUUUCGGAGGCCGCCGAAGCUAUUAUCUGAAGCUUAAUUUGCAGCUUGGCAUCAGGUAACGUAUUUGGUCUAUUGUCACCUUCUAAAACAUUUUGUUGCUGUAAAAUUUGAUAUAGUUAAUUAUCAUUUCCAGUUUUUAAUAUCACAUUUCUUUCCACUGCUGUUUUUGACUAAUUAGUUUACUAACAAAUAAAAAAAGCAAAGUACAUUCUGAAAAAAAUAUUCAUCUUGUCGGCAUUAUAGUUAAGGGGUUAGGAUGGUGUGAGUGUGUGUUUUAAAUCAUCUUUAAAGUGGCUUAAUCCAUUUGGUAUUUAUGUUUAAUGUUAAGUUUUAAUUUGAACAAAUUUGGAUGAAAUCCCAGGUAUACUGUUGGAAAAAUUACACCAGUGCCUGCACGUGAAGUUCGGUCAUCUGAUUUUGGAGAACGAGCUAGGAUAAGGAUGUACUUCCCUAAGGAGGGUUCACAGAGAACUCCUCCACAUUGUUCUAUAGACUUCUACUGGAAAGAUUAUUGCCCUAUGGUGUUCAGGUAUUUAUUAACUAUAUGCAAACAUGCGUCAUAAUGGAAGAGUUGUAUCAUGAGCACCAUGCAUAGGAAUCUUUUCCACAUGGCUAAUGUAUCAUUCUUUUGUCUUAAAGUUUUAAGAUAUGAAAGCAUUAUCUCCUCUCUUUUAUGAUUGAGUUUAGAUUACCACCAUUGGUGUAUCAUAAUUUAUUGAAGUGGCAACACAAAAUGAAAACCUUAUGAAGAGUUUCAAAGUAGUGAAUCAAUGUUGUUGAAGUUUAUUCCAAUCCUUUUCCUUAUCAGAAUAUGUCCAAUUUUAAAUGUGACCAUAGUCAUUGUCAGAGUAAUAUGCAUUAAUUGUUGAUAAUGUGAAUAUAAGAUUACAUUGGCAUAAUAAAGUGCUUAGUCAGGUUAUGGUUAGCAACACGUGCUCUUUCGUGAUAUAUUUAUUGGUAGAAUCUAACAACCACAGAUUUCCAAACUAACUCUUCAUACAUUUAAUGAUAUUGGAGUCAAGCACAUUUUACGUUUAUAGUAUCUUUAUUAUUUCUUAGUUCAUUGCUUAAUCACACAAACAUAUUUUUCCAGGAAUUUGAGAGAGAUGUUCAAAUUAGAUGCUGCAGAGUACAUGAUGUCCAUUUGUGGCGACUGUGGUCUGAGGGACAUAUCUUCACCUGGAAAAAGUGGUAGCAUCUUCUAUCUUUCUCAAGACGAUAGGUUUGUGAUAAAGACACUGAAAAAAUCUGAACUAAAGGUUGGUAGUUUCCACUUGUUUUUUGCUUAGUGGGCCAAGAGACAUUUUUGCACUAAUUAUUGUGUUGAAUUCAUCAACUGGUAGGAGUUUGACCGCUUAAGACUUCUGCAACUGGAUAAAUAAGCAGAUUAGAUUAUAUAUAGACUAAAGAGUGGUAAAACACAAUUCCGCUGAUGCCUGCUAUCUUGAUCGCAUAUCUACCAAUAAUACCUGGUAGUACCACUAAUAUGAUAUAUAAAAACAAAGUUCAUGAAAUUCUAUGUCAAAGUUGUUAACUAAGGCCUCUUUGGAUGGGGUUUCUCAGGAGAGAAGUGCUUUUUAUUUUCAAUAAAAUAGCACUUUUAGACCAAAGUAGAUGAUUGGUUGCAUUCCCAUCUCUCAUAGUCCAUAUAUACCAAUAGUUCUUCUAGUGCCACUGAUCUAAUGGCAAUUUUUAUAGACAAAGUUCAUUAAAUUCAAUGGCAAGAUGGCUGUUUAAGACCACAUUUAGAUGUGUUUUUCUAGAGAAAAAUGUUUUUGUGUUAAAAAUCACUCAUUUACCAAGUUAAAUGAUAACUACAAACUUCAUGAUUAUGCACAUGCACUUAUGCAGUAAGUGAUGUUUAUCUUCAUGUAGGUUCUGCUCAAUAUGCUUCCUAAAUACUACAGUCAUGUAGGAAAGUAUGAGAAUACUCUUAUUACAAAGUUCUUCGGGGUCCACCGAAUAACACUACGAGGUGGGAAAAAGGUAACUCCUAAUAUCUAUCUCUACCUUCUUCCUCCUUACUUGGUAAUUGGUUUAACUAAAAAUAAUUCCUUGUCCAUCAGGUGCGCUUUGUGGUAAUGGGGAAUAUGUUUUGCACAGAACUGCAUAUCCACCGUCGUUUUGAUCUGAAAGGAUCUUCUCAUGGAAGAUGCACAGACAAAGAUAAAAUUAAUAGCCAUACAACAUUGAAAGAUCUUGAUCUAAAAUAUGUCUUUCAAAUGGAUAUAAAAUUGCGAGAAUCACUACUCAAGUAAGUUUCUAUUUUAUGAAGCCACUUCUGUUAUACACUUAUACUUACUAAUAUGCAAUGUAUUUUACUGUAUAAUCAAGGAGUACCUGUUGCAAAUUUCAAGAAUAUAACAGUGUUUUAUUCUAUAAAACAUAAUAUAUCGCCUAUUUCAUGGUGGAUUAACAAUACUGGUCCAAUAUUGAUCAUUGUUGUAAUAGAAUCUUACCCUUAAAAGUUAAAACCAUAGGUCAUGAAACUACUUUGCAUGUAAUUCUGAAUUGUCACUAUUUCAACUCCACAUAAAUUGAAAUAGAUGGUCUUUUAAAGUAGUAGAGAUAUAUUGGAUUAUCUCUAUCUUUAAUCAAGCUCUUUGUUAGAUCCUGCUGCUGUUACAUCUAGUGAUCACAGUGUCUGGUUGACUUUGAAGGGAAGAACUUCUAAAGUCAUAAAUUUUUACAUCUCAUUAUGUUUUAAAAAUGAAAAGAUUAACAUAGAAGUUCACAUUAGUAUCCAAAAACCAUUAUACGUCCGUCUUAGAGGUGAUGCAUUUCCCUGGGUGAUAAAAUUUGUAAGAAAUAAUCAUCAAAGAUGCAACUUGCUUCCGUGAAUUUUAUUUAGGAUGGUCAAAUUUACAAUUCAUAUUUAAGAAUGACUAACUGGAACUCAGCUACUUGUAUAAAUAUCGAAUAGUGGAGCCCCUCUUGGUUAUGAUUGAUUACUUUCAUACUUGGCAUGUGAUAGUACUGAGUUGUGACUAAUAGCCUGAGUAUAUAUCCACUAAAAUGUAUCAUAACAAUUGCAUUCAAUUUCUCAUUGAUUGAAGGGUUAGUAAGAUAUUCUAGUUAUGAUCAAAAUUGUUUUUCUGGUGCAGCCAAAUUUCUCUUGACUGCAAAUUCUUGGAGUCCCGGCACAUAAUUGAUUACAGCCUUCUGUUAGGAUUACAUUUUAGAGCUCCAGAGAAUCUGAAGGCCUUAGCUGAACUUCCUGGAUCAAUGCAGCGUCAGGAUAGCAUACCUUUUGGAGAUGGUAAAUAUUCCUCUGAUGCCAGUUAUUUAUAACGUGAUUCGGAAAAUUUCUUUCAAAAGUUAUUGUAUUUUUCAUAUACAUAAUUUAAAUGAAAAUAUUUAAGUUCACAUUUAUGGUAUAAAAUCUACAGAUGUUAAAUAUGACAUUUAGAUCACAAGGAAUGUUUUGCAGUAAACAAAUUGCUGUUAUAUCGAGAAGUGAUGUAUCUUAGUCAAAAAUGGAUGAAAGGGUUCUAGCAAUGAAGUUAAGCUAAUUUGACAUAAAUCAUACACUCAUGAUUAUCAUUUUGGUUUUGUGCCCUAAGAAUUCAAGAAGACACAUGGCAUUCAUCAAAAUAUUUUGCAAAAUGGGCGGUAGCAAAGUUUAUUUCAGUAACUCAUUUAUAUGUGGGAAAAAAGGAUUAACUGCUUCUCUUUGCACCCAAAUACGUACUAAUGAUAAAUGAUUACAGCAUGCUUUCUAUGGAUUUCUUCUCAUCUUUUGUAAUAAUUUUUUCUUAACUUGUCUCAUUGAUUCUAUCUGCGACUCUGCGAGUGUGAAUUCUGGCAUAUGCAAGUUCACAUUUACGCCUCAGUAUUUUUCUUACUAUUGAGUACUUUUUCAUUUGCUUUGCUUACAUUAGAUGUCAAACAAGGGGAUCAAUUGAUUAUUCCUAAAGGAUUGCUAUUAGUUGCCCAUGAACCCAACUUUGUGAACACUGCACCUGGACCCCACAUUAGAGGGCAUACAUUGAGGGCAUACUCCAUAGGUGACAGGGAAGUUGAUCUUUUGCUUCCUGGUACUGCAAGGUAUCUUCUACUAAACUAGAAAUUAUUUUUUGGGGGGGAUGAGUUAAAUUUUUUAAAGCGGUUCGAAAGUUUGAAACUUUAUAUCAUAAAAUUAUGAGUAUAAUUUGAAGGGUGCAUUAAAUUAGUUUCCCUUGAUAUGCACCUAAGUAUCAGAAGUAGAAAAGUAUAAAUUUAUAUCUGGCUAACAUUUAUGUCUUAGCAAGAGAAGCAUUCACAGUAAUACUUUGAAUGCCACAAGCUUCAGGUCAUGUUGAGCAUACCAUAGGCUGUUUAUUUCAUUAAGCAUUUAUGAGCUUGUUUCCUAUGGGAUGUUCAACAUUUUACUUUUUAUAUGGGAUGUUCAACAUGCAUAUAGUUUUGACCUAUAUAUACACUAUACUAUAGUCUGCUGAGAUUUGAUACUGUCAGAAUUGAAAGAUGAAUUAUGAAAUGCAUCAAGCAUUUGAGUGCUAUAAAUGCCUGUUCUGAAUAUAUUCCACAAGGCAUUGAUUCUAUUUACAACUUUAUUCAAAUUGAUAAUAGAAAGUAUUAUUUUUUUGUUGUGCAUUCUGUUUCUUCCACUGUAAUUCAUGUCACACUCAUUAACAAUCUAAGCAAAAAUUAUUACCUCUUUGUGUUGGAUUGUAAAUUUGUAAUACAUAAUAUGUCUAAAUACAAAUUUGUUAUAUAUAUAAUUUGUUCUCAAUUUUUCUUCUAAAAUGAAUAAAAUUAUCCUCUCUUAUAAAAACCCAUCUAAUUGAAUGUAUCCUCAUUUGAUUACUUAGGUUGAGAGUGCAAUUAGGAGUAAACAUGCCAGCUCAAGCUAUUAGCAAAGUUCAUGAGGAUAAAGUGGAUGCAUCAGAAGUUGAGCUUUUUGAGGUUUAUGAUGUGGUUCUCUACAUGGGCAUAAUUGAUAUAUUGCAAGAAUACAAUAUGAAAAAGAAAAUUGAGAAUGCAUGCAAAUCACUGAAAUUUGACCCCCACACUAUAUCAGUAGUAGAACCUAAGAUAUAUGCUCAACGUUUUAUCAAUUUCUUGGAUAAAGAGGUUUUCCCACACAAUGCCUGAAUAUGUAUAACAAUGUAAGUAAUUGUUACACUGGAAGAGUGUUUUAUUUUAUCAGCUUAGUUUUCAAAUUCUUUUAUUUAUUUGUAUUCUAUCUAAAAUUAAUAUCAUCUAUUAAUAUCAUAAAGAUUCAACUAAGCUUUACAGGUUGUGAUUCGUUCUUGACAGUGGUUAAUUAGAUUGGUGUAUAAGGCCAUUGCAUUGCAUUGCUUCUGUAAUUAAGACAUGAUCUUGUUGUAAGGGCUUGAUACCUUUAACAAAUUUUGAUUAUCGGGAAAAAGGUAAUGAAGUGAAAUAUUAAUAACAAUUGAUAUUUGCUUAAACAGAGUUUAUGAUUUAUGUUCUAAUAAAAACUAUAAAAUUGUUAGAAUAUUCAAUCUACCAAAAAAAUCAUUAGCAUUCAUUUCCAUGAUGGAUAAAAUCCCGCCUUUGACUUGUCAGAAUUUAGGCUAGUCCGACCCGACUCUUAUUGUUAAAAAGACUCAAAAUGUCAAUCCGACCCAUAUUUGGCAGGAUUGACAGACCAGCGAGCUAACUCGUUUUUUUUCUUUCCAAAAAUACACAUUAAGGUUUAUAGACAAAAAUAAAUAAUUCACAUGCCUCAUAAAUGUAUUUUAAAACAAAAAUCACAAACAAAAGACACAAUCUCAUAAUAACAUAUCGCCUUAGUUCAAAACUUAUAAUUCUAAACAAUAAAUCAACAUAGUCUUAAACUUUUAGACUCCUAGUUCACAAUAAAAAUUUUAACUUCUAAGUUUUACAAAAUGUAUAAGAAUCAAAACUAUUAUAUUAUAAAUCAGUCACAUAAAGUAUACAUAUUACUCAAUUCAAUUUGAAUUCAACUACAUUAAAAAUAUAAAUUGAAACACAUUCGAAUUCAAUUAAUUUUCCAAAAGGAAUCAAAAUCACUAGUUCUGUUUGAGUUUCUAAUUUUCCAUUUCAAUUAAUUAAAUGUUUAUAUUUGGUUCAAACACCCCUAAUUGUCAAUGAAGCUUCAUCUUUAUCUGACAAUAAGUACAAUAAUUGGAUAAGAGUGAAGAUCAUAGAUAAGUACAGAAUGAGAUAUUAAAUAUUCAUUUUGCAAGAAGAAAGAAGAAUUACAUGCUUAUAGCAUCCAAACAUAAACUAAAAUUGUACAAGUUUAAUUUUAAUUGUAAUGAGCAACAUGAUAAGCAAAUGUACUUUAAUCUUCAUGUAAGCCCGAUGGGCUAGCCCAAACCAACCCUCCAUGACUCGUCUGAAAAACGAACGUCUGAAACGGGUUGAAUACGGACUUUUGGGCUAAAACCCCCAACCUACUAAAAAUAUCUUUUCGAACGGACUGGUCCGUCAGACCAAGCUGAUUUUGCCAUUCCUAAAUGUUUGUUUGAGGACUUUGGCAUCAAACAUACAUUUGAAAAGGGUCAAGUCCAUAUUAAUCAGAUUAUAGAUUUCCACAAACAUUCUCUUUAUUAUAAAACAUUCUUUAUUAGCAAAAAUCUAAUAAAAUUGAAUAAUGACAUGAAUACUCCAUAGGUUAUCUGAAUUAGGGGUGAGCAGUACCUGAUCUUACCCGCUCAUUCUAUAUGACCCAAUUAUGAUCGGAUCCGAAUAAAGUUGGGUUUCAUCGGAUUAAGUUUGAGUUCAAAAAUUAGACCUGGUUAAUAUUUACAGUCGGGUAGGAACCAAAUAUGAUUUAUACUGACUCGUCUCAUGGUCAUUCAAUAUGUUUGUAUGCGUCUCUAUGCAAAUGACGCAACCAAGAUUUAGGGUUGGGUAAAAACAAAUCUUAACUCAUCUCAAGCUCACUCCUAAUUAUUUGAACAUAGAUCGUCUGUCCUUAAUGUUAUCCUUAUUCUCUCUUCCAGAUUGAUCAAAUUUUAACAAUUAAUAGAAAAAAAUUGUUUUUUAUUUUAAAGUUUUUUCUAUUGAUAUGAGAAUAUCUAAUUAAUCCUAGAGAAUAAAUAUCAUAGCCUUUGCUAUAAGUGUUCUAUUUUCAAGUUAUCUAGGACAAUUCCCAAGAAAAGAAGAAAGAGACAGGAGAAUAAGCACAUAUAUAACUGCUACAGGAUUUAGAAUCAGGUUUGUUUCAACUUUAGUGCCCCACCUCAUAAAAGAAACAUGAAAACUAUGAGGAACAACCAACAUAGGAAGAAAAGGACAAGAGUAAUGUAUGUUACUUUUCUGAACUGCCAAAAUGAAAACAAAAACCAACUGAAUAAAGGCGUUACCCUUGAACAGUGUCAUCAUCACUACCCUAAAAAAGCUAAUAACAAUCACUCACUAAUCAUCAUCAAAGAUGUGUAAUUAUUUGAAGAGAUUGAACUUAAAUGAGAGGUGAUUAGAAAAAAAUUACGAUGAUGAUAAACAAAGGCACUGUGGUCAUUAUAAAAGAGUAUUACAUCUAAAGUUUAGAAUUUAUAGCAAAGUUUAUGUACAUUAAGUUUGACAACUUUUUCAUGCAAGAAAUGAAUCUCAUCAAACUUGUUGUAUAAGGCAAAAUAUAUAUUUCUAGAGUAGUACUCUAAUUAACCCAUAAACAUAUUACGAAAUACCCUACUUGCUAAAAUUUGAAAUGCAAGUCAAGGGCUGCUAUAUAUGGAGACAUAUAAAUCAUAUAUUAUUGAAUUGUGAUUUUGCAUCAAACGUGUCGGUGGAUUAAUAUUAUAGGUGGCUGGUGUUCAAUUUGUUUUAUAUUACAGGAUUAGAUCAUUCUAUUCAGCACCUAUUUGUGUAUCCCAUAGAAUAGUGGGUCAAUUUUAGAGAAUGUUUUAGUUUGUAAUAGUUUGGAUCAUUUGGUUGGAUGGUAAUUUUCCAGAGUAAACUCAUAUGUACUCAUACAUGAUAGAUUUAAUUCAAGUUGGAUUUUGAAUGUGAUUUUGGUUUAGGUUGCCUCCAUGACUUUACUCAAUGAUAUGUUAUAUGUGGUAAUCCUUAAUCAUGUAUCAUAUGAACUAUCUUCUUUAUAUCUUAAAUCUUUGUAACAUGGUUUGAUGAGUACAAUUUUAUAUAUGGAUGAGCACCCUUUUUUCUUUUUUCAUAUUACUUAUUUUUUUACACAAGUUAAAUAUCAAAUAAAGAUAUUAUGAAUAUGCAUUCAAUCAAGACUAGAUUCUGACUUCUGUCAAAUCAAUAACACUUUUGAUAUCAAACGGAUUGCCUAUAAAAAUAACAAAAUUCUCGAGGAUCCAAAUGCUUCAUAUACAGUUUUAUCAAAUAAGAAAUGACAUUGAUAUCAAACUGAUUGCCUCUGAAAAAAACAGCAUUCUUGAGAUAAAUGCUUCAUUUAACAGUUUGCCAAAUCUCUUGACUUUUCCUUUGAACAUUAUUACACACACAGACUCAUAUCAUAAAUUUAUAUCUACAAGAAUAGAAUUAUAGGAACAACAAAUCAUAUUUGUUGUAAAGAAAAAACAUAAUUCAUUACAAAAAUGUUCUACAAGUUCUAAGGGCAUCUUUCUGAGAUUUUACGAUACAUCAUGAAUCAAAUGAGUGUAAUAGACCUUCCAUAAAAUGAACCUGUUUCUUUUUUUAAAUUCAUUUAAAGAGAUAAUAUAUAUAUAUAUAUAUAUAUAUAUAUAUAUAUAUAUAACUGAAAUUAUUUUUACACCAUAGUUGAUCCAUUGAUGGAGAAAAUGAUAUAUGAAAAGGAAGGAGAGUGAAGAGGGAUGGAAUUAUUGAUGGUAAUGAAGCCUGAUCCGGAUUCACAUAAAUCAUUAGCAACAAAAUCCAGAAGCAUUCUUUGUUUCAAAGAUCCAAAAGAAGGAAACCCUAGAAAUGGAAGCUUCAAAAGAUCUUUGAGGCAUAAUCUAUAUAUGAAUUCGGAUCAGACAACAUUGCCAUGAACACCCAAACUCCAAUAAUAUGCCAUGGGGAGAUAUCUCACAUUCGUGAAGGAAAAAAAAACUAUAGAGCCAAUAAUGAUAUGAAUUACUCUGAACCUAAAACAUUCUUGAUCUCUAGAACUUGGCAGAACGCCUCUUUAUAUAUGCAGAGGGAGAGUAAGAUAAGCACUGAAAAUGUGAUACUUUUGUCUCAACUCUGAUUGAAACGUGUAUACCUUGGGAUUGGGAAAAACUAUGGGCUCAGACCACCGUUUAUCACAAAUACAAAUGCUUUUCCACACAUCUAAAUUUAGAUAGGUAGAUAUUAAUGUUUAUUUUUGUAAAAUGAAAUUAAAAUAAAAUAUUAUUUUUUAUUUGUCUGCAAACUUUUAUCUAGUCGGAUAGAAAAUUUUAAUUCCAUUUGUAAGACUGAGAUUGCAACUAAGAGGAGGGAAAUUAAUUGACUAAAAAUUAUGACUAUUUUUUCUGCAAAAUGAAGAGUUAUAGUGCAGCGGAUAAUAUUGUAGAAAAUAAACAAGAAGAAAUCAAAGAGGUAAGGGAGAAGAGAGUACACAAGAAUUUUAUACUGGUUCACCUUCUUGUCCAACGAAGGCUACGUCCAGUACUCUUGCUUGCAGCACAAUAGAUUUUCCACUAAAUAUUAUGAGUUGUAAUUACAAUAUCUCACCCCGAGAUCUCUAUGUACCUUACACACUCACUAAUACUUAUACUAUUAGAAAACACAUUUCCAAGUAACUCUAUCCCCUUUCUAUUCACACCCCGUGAAAGAAAGUUAUUACAAUGAAUAGAGAAUUUGAAUGAUGGCUUUGGAUUGCCUUUACAAGUAUGAAAUAUAAUAACACUUGCAAUCCAAUCAACUCUUUUGUAUACUUAAUAAUAAUGUUCUUUGAGUUUAUAAAAGUUUGAAACACUUUACUUUGAAAGUUUGAGUGCAAGUGCUUAAAAGUGCAGAAAAGUGUAGGAAAGUUGUGAGAAAAGAAUUAAAGAGUUUUUCAAAAGGUUGUUUUCAUUGUGAGUUCUAAUGCAUUUAAAUAUGCUUUCCAAUCAGUCUUUGUUCCUUUAUGAAAGAGUAGAAAUUGUUUGGAAUGAAGACAUUUCGUUUGGGAUGAAAACUCUUGAGUUUCAAAUAUGAAAAACUGAUGUAACAUCUCUCAGUAACCGAUUACAGCAUUGAGUAAUUGAUUACCCAAAUGUUCUGUCCAACAGUGAAUAAUCGGUUACUCAAAUUUGAAUAAUCGAUUACUCCAAUUCAAAUAUUGUUGGAUAAUUGAUUCUCACUCAUGUAGCAUGUUACUCAAAUUUCAAAAACGUGUUAGACAUUAUUUUAAAAAAUGUUUUCAUUUAAAACUUAAAGAUGACCACUACUAUACAAGGGUCACCAGCUAUUUCUGAUUCAAUUUUAUGUGAACUCCUCACAUCCUUCAUUGUAUAUAUUAUUUAUAUAUUAAUAUGGAUUGAUAUUUUCAAAUAAUGUAACACAUAUAAAUAAUAGAUAAUAUGUAUAUAUUCAUUAAAUUAUUCCAAUUGAAAAAAUGAUCAAAACUUGUCUUUCUUCUAUAAAAUUUGGUGUUUGUAACACCUUAUAAAAAAAAUGUCUCUUCAUUGAUGAUGCAGUUAGCCUUAGCACACAACAUAAAAUACUUAUAGACACAUAAAAAGGAGAGUAUAAUAUGGAUGUGUAAAGAUUUAUAUACAAUCGGUGCAUUAUUCACAUUUCAUUUGAAUUACUUUUUCUUAAAAAAUCAAUCUUGAUUAAAAAUGAAAGAUAAAUAAUGUAAUAACAAUGUAAGAAAAUCUUACACUUAUACACCUUUUUCUCUCAAAAAUAUAUUUAACAAUGCAAUUUACCAAAGAGAAUUUAGAUCUAGUCAUUGGGGAAAGACACGUGAUCAAAGUAGCCAGGUGUAAAAUAUAUAUAGAUAUGUUGUCUCACAUCAUGUCUCCUAUCUCGUGCCAAUGAAAAAAUAUUAUAUCAAUUAAAAUUUUAAAUAUUUAUUAUUAUUGUUUUUACUUCAUUAUCAUUCGCUCAUAACAACAUAUGAAACAUGAUUUAUAAGAUAACAUAUUUCCAUCAAAUUAACUUGAAUGAGGCAGGGUAUGAGAUCAUAUAUAAAUGGUUUUACUUAAAAUCAAGUAGCUUUCUUUGUUUUAAAAAUCACAACACUCUUAGUGAUAUGCAAAAUUAUUGAAUGUUUAUAUAAAAAUUCUAUCAAAUAUAAACUCUAAAAAUAUUCAAGUUGGUUCAAUAUUCCAAAUGAAACUACCCAUUUCAGACCAAAAUAUAUAGAUUUGAUUCAUACUGAGUGCAGAUUAUAAUAAUCAUUUCAUAAAACACAAAAUAUAAUUACUUGUAGCUUGUACUACUAGACCCAUACAAAGGUCUAUAAAUUCAAAAGGUCGAACAUAUUUUAAAAGGCACAUUUAUUAUAUGGUGAUCAAGGAUACAUGAAUGUACAUUCAUCCUAAGUAGAAGCAUCAUUUGGUUUGAGAAGAAUGGCACCAAGUCCUAUCUCAUUGUUGGGUAUAAAGUUGUUGCCAUUGUUGGACAGCAAAACCUCCUCCUCGUAUGACUCAUUUUGUUCCAUGUCACAUUUUGACAAUAAAAGAAGUUGUUUUUGAAACAUCUCCAUUGGUGUCAUGUUCUUGAGAACCAUUCUUGAACGUUUUCUUGUUGGUAUUUUGAAGUUCAAUAAAUCACCUAUGAAAAUGAAGAUACAAAAUAUUACAAACAUUUUAAAAAUCCAUAGUAUAGAUCUUAAAGAAAAAGUUAAUUUAUAACUAUAUCCAUUACCAAAAACUUUCAAUUUGCCUCUGCUCUUCAUUUCCUUCAGAUAUUUGUGGUGUUGUUUUUGCUUGCAGUGCUUGGGAACAUAGUUCUUAAAAGUUCCCCUUCUCAUGUAUCUCGUUCCGCAGGCAUUGCAUAAUGUUGGAUUCUCCUUUGGUCCUUUACGCCAUAGUGGAGUACCUGAUCAUGAUCAAAACACGUUACUUUAAUUUGCAUUGUAAGAACUAAGUUUAUAUCAUUGUCUUGGUUACUUUAUAGUUUUAUUUAUUUAUAGAGGGACAUUUUAGUUCUUAAGAAUUGUAGCUGCUUAUUCUGCUGAAUCUAUAGAAAUGACAUAAUAGUUCAUAAGUGUUGUAUCUACUUAUUUUAUAGGAUUUUCUUAACUUUAGCCCUUAUAUAAGAGUCUAUAACAAG
rnacentral:lncRNA from 1 species